UGGUGGUGGUGGUGGUGGUGGUGGUGGCGGCAUUGCUCUAACGUUUUCAGGGAAGUUGAGUUUUGCUCUGUUUCCUCUGAAUCUUAAAGCAGCUUCAUCAUAAGCUCUUGCUGCAGCCUCUGCAGUUUCGAAAGUUCCAAGCCAUACUCUUGCUGCUUUGUGUGGAUCACGAAUUUCUGCUGCCCAUUUUCCCCAUGGUCUCUGCCUUACUCCUCUGUAUCUUCUUCUCUCUUCACUACCACCUUCUUCUCUCACUGUUUCAUAUCAAAAUACUAAGCUUUUGCAUUAUCAUUCUUCUAUAUUAUCGUUGGAAAGUAAGUCCCACAUUGUCUAUCUCAUUCUCUCGGAAAUGAUUUAAAUGCAUGUUGGACUACUCCUAUCAUUAUGAAUUAGUUUUGAGAUGAAACUUUAACAAUUAUAGACUCAAUUGUAUAUCAUGAUGUGGUGAGGUGAGAUUAAUCAAAUAUUCAUUUCAUUUAUUGAUGUGGUCCAACAAUACAUGAUUGAUAUAGAACUAUAGAGUAAUGGUUGAUUAAGCAAAAUUUAGAACAUGCAAAUAAUGAAUGAUACCCCAUUUGGUUAUUUAGACUAAAAUUGAAGAGAAUGAGAUUUUGUUUAAAGCAAUUGCACCUGAAGAUGAUUCUCCUUGGGGUAUGAUAUUUUCAUGUUCACGCCCUCUUUUGUGUCCAACAGAACAAGACAAACUAGGAGAAGAAGAAUAGAAUGACAUCAUAGGAGAACCACUUCCUAUGACUAUGCUACUACUUUCAGCAGAUGCAGAAGGAGUUGAUACCACACGUGUCAUCCCCGAAACAAUGGCACUUAAAUCUCCUUCCUCCUCCUCCUCAUCGCUGCCGUGCUCCUCCGUCAACUUCCCUGAACCCCUUUGAUGCGCCACCGUUAUAAAGCACAUGUAAUCAAAACUCUUGUGUUGUGUAGUUGAUUCCUCCUCUUUCUACUUCUUCUCUGAUAAAGAAAGAAUGAAAGAGAGAAGAGUGAAUAUAUAAGACAAAUCCAACUACAUGAAUAGUAACCUUGUUCAAUAUAUAUAUAUAUAUAAUCAUACACCAUGCACACAAAUAUGAGAGUAAAAAUACAACAUACUGUAAUAAUAAAUUAAUAUAUAUUGAUAUAUAAUACUGUUGGGUCCUCCCUUAGAAAGAGUCUUUUUUGUACUGAAACUUAAUGGAGAUGGAACAUGGAAUUAAUGGAGAAAACAGUGAUCGUCUUUGAAUUGAGUUCCUACACCCAAAUCAGUCAAAUUUAUUUAAUAAUGUGAUUAUGUAUAGUCAUUCUAUUACUCCUCUUAUCCUUAUCAUAAGUUUAAUGAUGUAGUGUGACUCACAAAUUCUAUGGGAUAAUAAAAUCAUGUUUAUGUUUUUAUGUUUGGUAUUGUUUAACAUAAAUAUAAGAAUAUAUGAUAUUUCAAAAUUGUAUCACUCCAUAUCUUAUUAAAUAAUAUGAUCGAUUAGAAAAAAUAUUCAAGUUUAAAAUAUAAUUAUUAAUGUAAUUGCAUGGUCAAAACACUGGUCUCGAGGAACUCAAAAUGCAAUUUCGUGCAUGUUUUUCUCUCUAUUUAUUAAACGGAAAAUACUAAUCCUUGCAUAAAUCUUUUCAUGAAACCCAUGUCAUAUGUUAUGUCCAUCUAAUUUUUAUACCUAAACCAUGUUUAGUUUUUACACUUAUUACGUAGUUUUUGACAAUUUCGUUCUCACAUUUUCUAGAAAAAGAUGAGUAUAUAAAAAGGUGUAUGAGUUUAAAGUAUAAAAGUAACAUUUUUAUAUGAUUAAAUAUGGUGAGUUAGGCAUGAACGAACUGAACAACCAGAGUGUUGAAUUUGAAAAGAUGGUUUCGUAAUUGAACAAAUGAUGAAUCGGUGGGGUUUGUCCUUAUAAAGAAAAGGACACUCCCACGUUCUCCCACCCAAAUAAUUACGUACUAAGUAAUAUUUUCACACAAAUUCAUACACUUUUUUUUACAUAAUUUUUAUUAUAAUUAAUUUGACCAAUAUUUUAUGUACAUUUUUUUUAAUUUUAACGUUGCAUACUAUAUUAGGUAACUAGAUGUAAAAUGAACAUUUUCAAAAGAAGGUUUCUGGUUUUUGUGUACAUGAAAAUGUCAUAGAAUCAAAAGUUACACAUUCACCUACCCCUCACUUAUACAUACUUACCUUCCAAAUACUAUACAAGAAUAGAAAAAGCUCGAGUACGUGGUCAAGAAAAUAAAAUAUAUCUUUAUAACAGUAAAUAAUUUAUUUUUUAUAAUCACUAGUCAGUAUAAAUAUGACAUGUAUAUUAUUUUAUUUUAUAAAUAUUUUUAUAGAAAAUGAUUAAAUAUGAAAUAUUUCUAAGUUAAUAACUGUAAUUAAAAUCGGACACGACCAUUCCAUUCGACUAAAAUAAAAAAAUGGUAAUGAACCACAAUGAGUACAAAAACUGGUCAACCUAUUCUGAACCUAGUUGACCAGCUAGAAAUGUUGACUAUUGACCACGCGUACGGAAAAAAGAAUAUGGGUGAAAGGUUAAUCUAUGGGACUUAGUUUCUUAUAUUGUGUCUCAAUGCAUGUUACUUGUAGCACUAAAAGAGGUGCAAUGUAUGUCAACCCCACUCUCCCGCAAACAUACGAGUCAGACUCCUCUUUAAGAAAUGACAGUUAUAUUUUGAAGGACAAAAUUAUAAUAACAACGUAAAGUAAGGGAUAAUAGUGUUAUUGUCUUUUAAAUUUUUCAUGUAUUUUUAACUAACUGACUUAACAGAGAAGACAAGAAUGAGUCAAAUCGGCUUUGAAUUAGUGAGAACCAAUUCCAUUCAGACAAAUUGACUAGCUUGAAAUGUUGAAUGUUGAUCACGCGUACACACACAAAUGAGGAUGGAACAUUAAUCUAUGAGCAUUUGAUAGAUAUAUUCUUAUAUUGUGUCUCAAUCUUACUUCUACCACUAAGAGAGGUUCCAACAAAUGUCAACCCCUCCUCACGUAUAUACAAAAAAGAAUAAGUGUCUCUUUACAAACUAUCAUUCCAAUUUCGAAUUGAGUUUGUGAUUUUAUGUUUGGAUUGUACCAAUAACCAACAACAACUUGAGAAGGGAGCAUCUUUUGUUUUGUGUUUAAUGCGAUUUUAAUUGAAUUUUCCAAACAUAGAAUUCUAAUUCAAAGAGUAAGAUGUCAAAUUUGAGUUUAGGUAAAUUCAGUUUAAUGGCCUAAUUUAAUGACCGAUUUCACACAUCUAGUCACCAUAAUUACCAAAUAUAUCAUCGAUCAUUCAUUUUUAAUCUUGAUUAACUCUUGAAUAAAAAUAAUAUAAAUGAAUGAUGUUUUGACUGUAUAAAAAUUUAUACAAUGUCAACGCAUAAAUAUUAUGCUCUAAUUUAUAAACAUUCGUUAUAUAUGUGCAUCGAAAAAAAAACUCAAUAAAGUGUAUCUUAAGGAAGAUGAUUGGCGUUGCAAAAAAUAAAAUAAAAAGGUUAAUACCCAAUAACUUCUAAGUAACAUAGCUAGUAUGUACAUUUUUUUAAUAACCCUAAUACAUACUACAUUCUAAUCAUUAUUACAUGACUAUACAUGUAAAAGCACUAACAAAAGCAAAAACACCUACAACAAAUAGAUUAUAUAAGUUUUAGAGUAAUGAUGGAGAAAUCAUAAAAAUUGGCAAAGAAGGCAAAAUUUAACAAUUCUUACAAAAUUUAAAAUAAAUAGUACUAUUAAAUAUUAAUAGUUAUGUAAAAUCGAAUGUAAUCAAAAACCAAUUAUAUCAUAUAUUUUACAAAAAUAAACAUGGUCAUUUUUUAUAAAAUAAAAAAACACAAAAAAAGACAUACUUUAAAUUAGCCAUAAAAAAUAUUCUAAAAAUUUGGUAGGAAUAUUUGAAAAUUUAGAAGGAGAAGAAAUCUUAUUAAAUUUGUUUUUUGGGUUGCUGCCCUUAUUUUGAUGUAACUAGUUAUUUUGUGGAGGGAAACGUCCCAACCCUUAAAUCAUUUCUAAAUAUGUGGAAUCAUGAACCUAUUCGACAAAGAAUUAGGCAGAUAGGUUUUUUCCCCAACUUGAACGAUGCAAAAUAGCUGGUAGUAUAACCGAAAAUCGAAGAAACAUAUAACAUUUAGAGAUAAGUGUAUUUAUACUUAUUGAUGUUAUCAUUUAUAAUUAAAUUUUAAUAAUAAUUAAACUUUUUAAUAUAUUGACAAGAUUAAUUUUUUAUCUCCAUAUAUAUACGUCUUUGUACAAGUCUUUCUCAAUUGUUAGUUGAUACCUUUCUGUUUUUUUGUUUUAUAUUAAUUGUAAGUGUAGACUAAUAACUACACUAGUCAUUCCAGCACCGACUGUUCCACACGUGUAUCAAUAUCUCCCGCAUAAACUUCAUCUUUCAUUUUCACGACCAAAGGACCAUCUUCGGUGCAUUUCAUCAUUUAUCUUCUCCGCUUAUAAAAAAGAAAAUGAUUGUUUUGUCUCAUAUUUUUAAUGAUAAAAAUGUGAUUUAAUACUAAAUAAAAAGAUAAAAGUGUUAUUAUAUAUUGUAUUUCGUGUAUUAUUUUGUGUUAUUUGUCUCUCCAUUAAUGUAGAUCAUUCUUGCUCAUUUCAUUAAUGCAAUAUAUAUCAUUAAUUGUGUUAAGAAUUUAAAUUGUAAGUUGCUUUCUGAUUAAUUAAGCACGUGUUUUAUUGUGUUGUAAUGUACUUUAAAAUAAGUUUGACAUUUUCUUAUUAAAUAGGAGUAGCAUAGUACAAGAGGCUAAGGGAAUUAUUUAUCUAAUUUUUAGUUUUUUGGUGUACAUUAUCUAAUUUAGUUAAAUAAUGAAUAAACAUAAUAGAGAUCAACAUGUGUUAUAUUAAAAGAUUGUAUUAUUUUAUGUGAUACUUCUUCUGAUUGGUUGAAAAAUUUAUAUUUAAUUUUAAAAUUUAAGAAUAAAGUAUUUUCUUGAGUAAUUAAAAAAGUGAUACGUGAAGUGACAUACUUUUUGGGAUAGAAAAUAUAUAUAAAGAUAAUCUUACAAAUUAAAAAAAGGCCUCUUAAUUACCACUAAAUAUUGGUUUAGGAAAUUGACGUACGUAGUGAAGUGUGAAUGGGAUGAUUGUGUUAUAAGUUUGGUGGGUGGAAGAGGAGAUAGAAUUUGAUCAGGUUCAAUGGUCAUGUCUGAAAAGAACCAAAACGACAACACAUAACUUCAUAAUCAUUAAUCUAACAUCUUCAAUGGGACCAAACUAGAGGCAACCUAUUAUUCAUUUCCAACAUGUGUAAAAAUGAGGAUAAAUUAUCUCUUUUAAAAAAUAAAUUUGCGUGUAAAUGAGUAAGAAUAGAUGCACUUAUUAUUAAUUUAAUGCAAUCUUAUUAAUAUUUUAAAAAAUAUAUAAUGUUCUUAUGAUCAUCAACGAUCAAGAGUAAACUUGUAAUAGGAUUAUUACAGCCGAAUUUCGGUCCAAGGAUUAUAAUUUAUGUGAAAGACAAAGAAAAGAUAUUGGAUAUGUUCUAGUACAAGAUUUUGGCCGUCCAAAUUUGGGGAGGAUAUCUUUUUGUCCGAAAAUAAUGUACUAUUUUAUAUAUCAUUACUUAUGAUUGGUAAAAAAAAUAUAUUUAAUUACUAAAAAAUUAAUUUAAAUAUAUUUUUCAACCAAUCACAAAAAAUAGUACAUAGAAUGUCAUAUUAUAUCAGAUAGUAGAUGUGUUCCUCAAACUUUAUAGAGUACGAACUCUUUAAUUACUCACGCAUGGGUGCACAAAAACUUUUGGAGAAGCAUAUAUAUCAUUGCUUCCCAUGCUAGGUUCACACUUUAGGUUUUGAGAAUAAUGAUUACCUUUGGUGAAUUUUGAUACAUUGAAGUUAGAUAUGCUUUGGGUAGAAGGCAUCACUUAACUCAGUUUCAAAAAAUUGAGAUUUGGGUUGUGUUGGAUCCAACCUUUGAAAUCUUGUUUUUUUGUUUCUUAUAUGUAUUUUUACACUGGAUACAAUCUUAUCCUAUCCGAGAAUAUUUAUAAAUAUGUAAGACUAACUCUACCAGUGAUAUUAACACGGUAAAUAUUUGUAUGGCGAUUAACAUGGUAAAUAUUUGUAUGGCGAUUAUUUUAAAGUUUUUGUUGGUGUUUUUGGAUUUAUUAUUCCUAAUUUAAAUGGGAAAAAGUUGGAUGUUUGGACAACACUUUCCAAAAAGAAACAUUCUUUUCCAUUCAACUUUAUUCAGAAACCCUAAAAGUUUCUCUUUCUUAAUCUCAAUCCUCUCCCAACCCUAACACCAAACUAAAAUAAUUACACUAGGUUGAUAAUUGACAUUACACAGUUUCCUUUUUUGAAAGGCUUCUAUAUUAAUACGCGUGUAUAAUUAGUCAUUUAUUUUUUUAUAAAUUAGCUGCAUGCAUGAAAGUGAUGAAAUCCUUUACUAAUUUUGUGCAUUUUUUAUUUCAAUCAUUAGUUGCUCCGUAAAACUUCAAGUAAAAAAAUAAGGCUUUACUCUUUAAUGAUGAUGUAUGAAUAAUUAAUAUUUGUCAUGUUUUUAUAGAGAAUAAUCAUCUAACAUGAAUCUUUUAUAUGUAUCACUUCAUGUGUUAUUGAUAAUAAACAGUCAUCUCAUUAGAAAUUUUAAUAACUUAUUUUUAAUAGAUAUUAAUUUAUUUUUUAAUAGUGACAAAAAAGUGGUAGUAAUUAUAAAUAUAGAAUUUUUUGUUUCAAAUUAUCCAAGAUAUAACAUAGAAAAACACCUCAUUUUUAAUGAGUAAGAUGUGUGUUAUAUAACACCUCAGACAUGCGACCCCCGGACCUAUGAAUACACCAAGCAUACUACAGAUAAUACCUAAUACCUGAGUUUUGACAUGCGACCUCCUAACCCAUGAAUAUACUGUGCAUAUCACCUACAAGCUUAGAUACUAUUGCAGUAUUUUAUUCCCACAAAAGGGAGUCUACCGCAACUAAAACUCAUGACUUCAGAGACAAAUACCAUGAGUAAUACCAUGAGUAACUACCGUUAAACUAUUGAUGUCGUGCUCAGUAUAUUCAUAGGCUCACGAGGUCAUGUCUUACAUGUUAUAUGUUUUAAGUUGGGGGAUGACAAGCAACCCCUCCUGUUAAGGAUAAGACCAAAAGUCAAAUCCUAUUCUCAUAGCAAUGCCUAAAUAAAGAGAUGGCCUAUGCUUUGAUAGGUACAUGGUUUAGGAUAGAAACUUUUGACAUGCAUUGAGAAUAUAAUAAGAUGAAAGAUAAGUCUGAGUUUGAAAACACAAUGUACAGUUUAAAAAUAUAAUCUCUCAUUUGAUCACACUCCUUUCUAUUCUCCAAGACUAAUCUAAGGAAAUAGUGAUGGAGAUAAGAAGAUUAAUGAUUGGGAGAAAAAAGGGUCAAAGAGCAUGUCUUAGUUAUGAGUAAAACAUAAUAAAGAACUUCAUCAUCUGCAUUAAGAAAGUAUCCUUUCCUUUAUCCAGAAUCCUUCUCCCUAACACAAAUAUCAUAUGUUCUGUAGCUGAGAGAAGGAGAUCCGGACUACCAAGCCCGAAAUCGAGGUUGCGUGCUUGCAGACGAGAGCUUCAGUUGCCUGCUCUUCAGUCUCGAACUGAACAAGAGCCUGCUUUUUCCCAUUCAUUUCGAAGACCUUGCAGUUCAAAAUGGUUCCAUGGUCCUCUACUAGGUUGACAAUAUCCUCUUCGGUUAUGUCUUGUGGGAGACUGGAUAAAUGGAUCACCCAUGUUGGAGAGCAGCAGUAUCGGUAAUUCUUUGCAGCAUUACGAUUGAAACGAUUUAGGUUUGAGUUGGCAUACUCGCGUGUAUCAGCACCUUGGAGUAUGGUUGCGUGCUUUGAGAAGUUCACCUCUAAUUGUCUCUCAAAUAACAAUGCUCCCUGUAUCUCAGUAAAAAUGGUUCGGUGAUUAUCUUUAAAACUAAAGGAGGAUCCAACAAAAAUACAAUGUAUAUAUGAAAUCACUGCCAAGCCAGUAUAGAAAAUUGAAAAAUGCAGUUCACAAUCUUCUAUGUUUACAUUGAACCAAAAGAAACUAUCAACUAAAUACGCGAUGUUUAGCUUAUUCAAAUUUAAAGAGUGACAUUAAACAUUCUCAUCUCUUAAGGAUAUUACAGCUAUGAUUUGUAUCAAACAUGUUUAACAUCACCAUCUCAGAAGCAUUGGCCAAUACUGGUUAUUCAAAUCAAUGCAUGCAAAAAUCAAACAACAAAUAAUAUCACAGAUGAACAAUAAAUAUGAAAUACACAAUGCUUUUUAUAGUAAAAAAAUCUUUAGAAUAAACAGACAUUAAUUAAGUUUCCUCUCCUUAUAAAAUAUAUCAUUCAAGUUCAGUCUUGUUCCAUAUACAAAGGCCUCGAUAAAAUAUAACCAUCAAUAAAUGAAGUUAAUCUUAAAACUUGGGUAAAAGAUUUGCAUAGACCCUGGUAGACAAUGACAAAAGAUAUGGUAGAAACUUCCAUUUUCUUCUAGUGUGAAUGUACAAUUGUAAGGGUUUGGUAAAAAACAUACACUUCAAAAUAAAUUUGUUAUGAACAGAAUGCUUACCAUAAAUUUUCAUGGGAAACCCAAAUAUUCAAGAUCAAUUAAAAACAGACAUGUGAAAAUUAAAUGCGAUUCUGCUCUUAUCAAACUUUCCUCAAGUUCAGAAUAACUAAGUAAACUUGGAUUGUCUAAUGCGUAGUGGCUAUUGUUGACGAAAAGUAUUGACUUAAUAUACAAAAUAAUAUAUAGCCAGGAACAACUAUAAAUAUUAUAACAAACAACGAUAAUUUCUCCCUUGAGUAAAAGAUAUCACAAAGACCUAGUAUAUCGGUUAUGUAUGAUCAGCAAGGUAUACGUGAAACAAACCUUCAGAAAGUGUACUGCCAACUCAGCUUGGAAACCAUCUCCCAUCUGGACAAGUGCAUGAUCUGGUUUGUUCCGGAGAAGUUUAAUUCUCACAAUGUUCCCAUAAAUGGAGAACAAGUUGAACAGUUUAUCCUCAUCUAUUCUCUGAAACAAACAAACAAAUUUCAAGCUAAAUACAUACUCACAUAGGGAUUGAACUUUCUAGAUAAUGCCAGACAAAGUGCUUACAUCGGGAUUCAGAUUUGAGACAAGAAUAGUACAUCUUUCAUUUUCCCCAGUUAUCCCAGGAGGCAAGUUUCCUCCAAAGGCCGCUGUAAUGGCAUCAGCAUUGCCGAUCUAUAAUUCAAUAAAUAAAUAAAUAACAAAUAUAUAGAGAUCAAAAAGAAAAGAAAAAGAAAGAAGUUCACUUGCAUGUAUGUCUGCAGUUGGUUUACCGAAAACAUCAUAGUAAUAUGCUCAUACUAUUAUGUUGUUUAUCUCAAAAUGAAAGAAAAUCCCACACUUCAAGUAGCAAAAAUCCAACAAACUCACAACUGCCUCUCCCAAUCACACCCCAUUUUGAAAAAGAAAAUCAAAUUAAAGAAAUAAAGCCUUAUCAUUGAAUGAUUAUGCGGGAAAUCAACAAAAAAUCCUACAAGUUGGUGGUUACUAUGAUGUUUUCAGCCGACUUACUGAAAACAUCAGAGUAAUAUGUUCAUACUAUCAUAUCAGAAAAUCCCACAGUCCAAGAAGCAAAAAUCCAACAAACUGACACCUGCCUCUCCCAACUACACCCCAAUUUGAAAAACAAAAUCAAAUUAAAAAAUAAAGCCUUAUCAUUGAGUUAUUUUGUUGGAGAUCAACAAAAAAGUCCUACAAAUUGAUGGUUACAAUCAUACAAACCUGAUGUUCUGUACAUCCAUAUUUUAAAAGGAUAAGUAAAAGACAUCAACCAUCAUACAAAAAACAAAGCUCGGAUGGGACUUCAACUUGGUGCAAAAAAUACUCACGUGCGAAAGUCCAGCUGAAAGGGGAAAAGGGGGACAAACGUUAUUGAACAAUAAAAAAAUGCAAUAUGACAAAUAAACCAAACCAGCCAAAGCAGUUUAAAAUAAAUUGAAGUACCUGCCCUGGCGCCAGACCCAUACAUGUUUCCUGCAUCGAGCUGUUCGACAGGAGAUUAAGGGUAAAAGAAUAUUAGAUUGGAUUUAACAAAGACCAACAAUAAGAUUUGAUUCAUAAGUAGAUAAAUAUGAAACAAACAGAACAUACUUGUGAAGGUCUGCCUUUCUGCUCGACAGGAAGAUUUGGGUUCGUGAAGUCUCUGUGAAAGAUGAGGAUGAAUAAAGUCGGAAACACGUGAUAAGAUGUUAAAAAAGAGGUUAACAAAGAAAACAAAAACAGAAAAACAAUAACUGAAUGAAUCACCUUGAACGGUCAUUAUUGUAGUUCACUUGUAAUUCAUCAAGGCUGCAAUUAAGAUGAAUUAGACAACCAUAUAAGAAAAUAAAAUAAAUAAAAAACAAAGAGAAAGAAGAGGAAAAGAUAUAAGGUUCAGGGUAAUAUAGACUCAACUCACACGAGCAUUACAAAGUUUAAACCUACAAGUGUAAAAAUAUACAAUGAAAUCGUUUUGAUAAAUUUCACUUACUUUGAGAACUGAAUGUCCAGCUGACAGCAACCAUCAUAAACAUUGCGUCCCUGGAAAUUUCCAAAAUUUCAAUCACCAUUCACAGACAAUAUCAGAACUAACAAGCCAAGCCUAUUAAAGCCCCGGGCUAAAAGGAAAUGUUAAACAACCUGAAGUGCAUUUUUCGCAGUAACAGCACUCUGACGUGAUUGAUACUGAAUGAGAGCCUGACAGCCUACUCGGUUUGCAAAUACAUGAUGAAACAAUUAUUAGAAAACACAAACUAUAUAUGCAUAUAAUAUAAUGAUAAUUUUACGUUCAUAAAAAUGCAAUCAUAGUCCUCAACAAUAAUAAUAGGGCAAAGGCAUGACCAAGUCUUGUCCUGCUAUACAAGUCGGCUACAUGGAUUAAUCAACACGAUUGGGUUCUUUCAAAAAUAAAACUUUUAGUAAAAGGCUUUGUUAUUUAAAUACAAAAUGACGGAGUAAAUGGUAUAUCUCAAAAUAAAUUAUUCAUGACCAAAAUAUAAUCUCGAUCCACAAGGAUAAAAAAAUAAUCAGGAAAGAAAGAAGAGAAAGGGAGAAAUAUGAGGAGAGCUGACCAGCUGACUUCUGAAAUGUUACAAUCUUCUCCACAGAUCCAUGGGGAGAAAAUACUCGAUGUAGCACAUCCACUGUCAUAGGAUACAGCACGUGAUGAAUUGUAACUAAGAGAAUUCGGUUUGGCUGCGCAUCCAGAGAGUUCACGACCACAGAACAGCAUAGAGAAAGAGAAGAAGAGACAGAGAAAGGAGAAUGAAUAGAGAAGUAAAUGAUAAAGAGUAAAAAACUAUGGAACACAAACAAUUUUACAAACUGAACCCAGUGAAUAGGAACAGUCUAAUAUAACAAUAAAAAUAUGCAUGGAUAAAAUAUCACAUAUAAAUUAAAGGUAAAUGCCCAAAAAUGGGGUAAAUAAUUAUUUUAUGCUUUAUUGAGCAAUCAAUAAGAUGAAGCAUGCAUUAUUCAAUUAAAAAACAUAAACACAAAAAAUACCAACCUCAUCUCCUCGUCCUUGAUUUUGAUCCAUUGGUGCGAGUUCCUGAUGUGAGGAAAACUGGACAUAAACAUUCCUUCCCCUAGAAUAAAACAAUCAGAUAAUUAAGAUUGUAAACAAAAUCUCAACGUCAAUGUGAAUCUGUGAAGGCAAGAUACUUCAAAAAUGGGAUGCAAUUCUAAGAAUCAAUGAAAAUGUUAGGAAUGGGGGAGCCCAAUGCAAUGCGAUAUUAGCAACAAAUUGGUAUAGUGAAUAGCCAAAUAAGUAGGCUUGCCACCACAACUUGACCCAAAAUCUUAAGGCAUUAGGCUUAUGGGUCUUGCCAUUUAUAUGGACUUGAACUUAUCCAUUCUAUUCCAACGUGGAACUUCUUUCUCCCACAUAACUCGCCCUUGGAAAUUCCUAAUGUUUUCUAACUGAGUUUUCUCGCCCUUAUAUACAAAAAACUUUUUUUUAAUUGAACUAAUCAUAGCAUUAGACAUUACUUUAGUAAAGGUGCUUUUAAAGUGUAGGCUAUUAGAUAGAGCUGAAACUUCUGAGUUGUACGCAUGCUCAAUACUAUGUAUAUGAGCUUCUUACAUGCGAAGAAUAAAGCAUUAUAAAUCUCUGAAUAUGACAUCAAAGAUCUUUAUCAAAACAAUAGUCAAGCAAACCAUGCAUGGUUUUGAAAGACAACUAAAGAGGCUAUGAAUACCUUAUGUUUGGCUGAACAUUUUCAUAAAAUUGUAAAGCACUAACUGCAGUAGCAACAUCUUGCAUUUGGAUCAGAGCCUGACAAUUUUGCACAUUGUACAAAGAAAAAAAAUGACAAAAUGAAACACACUUAAAAUUCUAAGGAGAACAGAAAGUCUCAUCCAAAGGCAUGAAAAAUAAAACCUGGUUUUUUGCUCGCAGCAUUACUAGUUUUGUUAUAACUCCAAAAGACUGAAAUAGCUGAAGCAAAUCAUUCUGCAAUCAAAGAAGGCAAAUAUUAUAAAUCAAGAUUUUUCUAAAACCAAGAGUUCAAAGAACAUUUUGAUGAGAAACUAACCUAUAUUUGUGAAGCAAACAGCAUAUAUAAAUAUAAAAAUUAUGAACUCAAAUACUCAUCUCAACUUAUGCAAUGGACAAGGGAUAAUCCGUAUUUAAUCUUGAUCACAAGGUAUCAUUUUAGAAUCAUUCUAGUUUGGGGACAGACACACAUUAGAGCAAACAAAAGGUGGUAGGAAUCAAUCAGGGUUGCCCAAUGUAUGAAGCUCCCGACUAGUGGGGUCUUUGUAGACAGCCUUACCCUUACAAGCGAAGAGGCUAUUUCCAGGGUUGGAAUCAAUCAAUGUAAACAACAGAGAACAACAGUAUACAAGAUGUUUAUGAACAAGUUAUUUCUUGAAAUAAUUUAGGGUUUGUUUGGUUCAUGUUCAAAAAUAAUCUGAUCAUCAUAGUAUAGCCAAUGCAUGAUCCUAUUAUCAAAACAAAUGGAAAAUAAAAACAAUAUAGACAUCCAACAAGAGAGAGAGAGAGAGUACUUCAGAUAUCUCCUGCCCCACAUUUCGAACAUGAAUGACCUUGGAAGGUUCAGCCAUUGUGAAUUAAUUAGCCUGUAAAAAGUAAGGACAAAAAAGUCACACUCAAUUACUUCAAGUUCAUUUUUUUUCUAGCCCAAUUUAUAGCAUCAAACUCAAUUAAUUAUCUACUUUGAAUCAAUCUAAAAACUAGCAAUUGAAGUUGAAAUUAACAUCACUCAUGCUUGAAAAUGCUCACUGAAACUGAACAGCACCUCAAAAGCAAGCAAAAGAACAUCACUUUCAAUUUAUCUAUUUUUUUGCAAAACACAGUUGCACUAAAUCAGAGUGCAAAACCCGAUUGUGGGGCUUUCACAGACUAAGUACAAAUAGUGAGUGAAGAAGAAAAAAAUCAAUUUUUUAUUUGAUACUGAAUGAAACUUGCAUACCCAAAUGGAGAACUGAAUCUAGGGAGUAGAGGAAUGAGCAAAAUCGCAAAAGAGAGAAAAAGGGUAUCUUCCAAAUACAAGCUCAGAGAUAUGAGCAAAAGCGAUAAAAAGUGAAAAAGAUAAAACGAGAAAACAUGCCUGAGAGACAGUGACAGAGAUAGACGAAUAGAGAGAGUGAGAGAGAGUGAAAUAGAGGAGUGAGGUGAGGUGAGGUGAGGUGGGUGUGAAUAAUGAUGUCAAAAAUGAGAUUAUGAUGCCAUAUCUGAGUUAAAUCGAAGAUUUUCUCUCUGCUUUUUUGGCCUAUCCACCGCUACCACUGCUAAAAAACUUAUCCGGAUUUUGUUUUAGUUGCCUCAAUUUCUUUGUGCAUAAUGAAUAUGGUAUAUUAUAUGUGUUUGUAGACAAAAUAGAUUAUCAUUAUAUUUUAUUUAUGAUUACAAUUUAUAAGAUUAUAGUCUGAAAGCAAAAAAUAGCAAUCUUCCUACACUCUUUAUUAACCUUAACCUAGUUUAUUUUAUCCAAUGAAAAUUAGAACUGGGAAUUGCUUCUUGCUUACUAAUUUGAGGUUCUUUUAUGAAAUGAUUUUGUAUAUACAUGUCCCAUUAUGCCUAAGCCUAAAUGGAAUGGAACAAUCCAGGGAUUCUUAUGUAAAAAUAGGAUCUAUUUAGAUACAUAAACCAAAUUUUCACCUACAUUUGAAUUUAAACAAAAAGCAGAGAAAGAAGAGUAAAUGCUAGAAUUAACCUGGAAAUUUUAUUAGUUAUUCGGGAUUCACAUGGAAAAUUUUGCACGCAAAAGUGAAAGGAAAAAUCAUCAAAUCCAUGGGUGUAUAGUUAAUAGUAUUUCAAUUUGAUUUAUACAUUUUUAAUAACUACUCAUAAUUUGGUGAACAUAAAAAAAUAAUAUUUUUUUAUAAAUAAGAGUCCAAAAUAAAAUAUUACAUCAAGAGACAAGAUUCAAGUUUAGUACUUGAAAAAGUCCAUUAUCAUUUGCUAAAAAUAUUUAACCUUUUUCAUUCCCUUGACUACAUUUUUAUUUCAUCCGUAAAAAAAACAAAGGUUAUCUUAGCAAUACUAACUCUAGAAUGUGUCUCCAUUUCUUCCUCAUUACUCAAUCAUAUUCUUAUCUCAUGACAAGGGAAAUAAAAACCCAGCAUACAUGCAUAUAGAAUAAAAUGCAAGAGUAUAAGAGAAGGUGCAGAACGAUAUAAUAAAGAAACAAAAGUUGUAAGUACUUGGAGUACAACUCCACCUUGUUGAAAGAUUCGACCAACAUAAAAGAAAUACUCAACAACCAAAAUUAUCCAUGACUUACAAACAUGAAAGGAAAACACUAGAAAGUUUUAAAAGAUGGUAACAAAAUAUAAUAUUGCUAAGUUCAAGCAUAUAUUUCCAUCCCAAUUAAGCUUUGAGGCGACCAAAGAACUUUUGCUUCUCUUCUGUUGUCUGGAAGCGACCAUGCCCAAACUUCGAAGAUGUAUCGAUGAACUUGAGCUUGAUCUCCUCCAAUGCAAGACGAGAAGUCUGCUUAAGCAACGAUUGGCGAAGUGUAAUAACCCUUUUCUUAGGACCAACACAGCCACCCUUCACCAUCAAAUAAUCAUCCUUCACAAUACCAUAGUGAGGGAACCCACCCAUUGGAGUAAUGUCCUUCUCAGUCCUAUAGCACAAAGAAAGAGAAAAAAUGAGAAAAAAUGAAUGAGAAAAAAUGAGUGACCGUAGUUGUUAAUCAGUGAGUCACUGACCUAUCAAAAUCAGUGACAGCUUCGUGAGACUCUUGUCCAACUUUUCCAAGCCUGUAGAUCUUCUUGUUCAAUUCAGUUCUGUGAUGGUAUCCAUUCUGACCAGCCCUAGCCACAGUGAAAGAAACUCUAGCCGGAUGCCAUGCACCAAUACAGGCAACCUUCCUCAAACCCCUGUGAGUCUUACGGGGAAGACGGGUGACACCCCAACGGGUAACCACGCCUUCAUAACCCUUACCUUUGGUCACACCAAUGAGGUCAAUCAUCUCAUCCUUCUGGAACACAGCAUCAAUAGGAACCUGCUUCUCAAAGAAGCUGUAUGCAAAGUCCACCUUCUGUGGAAUAGUCCCACCAUUAACCUGAAUCUCCAUGAUAUGGGCCUUCUUCUGCUUCAAACCCUUCAAUUUCCUGAUCUGAGAUAAAAGUAGGCAGACACAAAUAUAUUAGAAAUAUAUUUAAAUAAUAACAUAAUACUAAAUACAUGGUAAUAGCAGACAGUAUUACAAAUAGCUGCAAAAUAAAAGAACAGGUAAAUUUUGGUAUGGAUACAAAAAUGGUGUAUACAUACAACAAAAAACAUUGGCUGACCAAAUAACCCUAAUUACAUGUCUCCUUUUUUUUUUACUAUAUAUUUCUAAAACAACAUGACAGCUCAAAGAAAUUAUAGAAAUUAGAACAAGUGAGAGUCAGAAAUCUCGUGUGGAAAGUGCCGCUCAUUGCACCAAUUUUUAUAGCACUGCGUUAGCACAAAAAUAUCAUCAUCCUCAUCAUAAACACGAACAAAUACUAGAGUUUACAAUAAACUCAGUAUAAAAAGCAAACUAUAUACAUUGAAAUGAGGCAUACAAAAAAGAAAAUAAUCAAAUACAUUUGACAUGGUCAAGAUACCUGAGUGUGAGCCAAAACACGGACAACAGUUGCAUACUUCUUGAUUUUCUCAAGUUGUUGCUCAAUGUUUUUCUUUCCAUCCUCAGACUCAUACUGCUUUGAGUACUUGGUAAAUGCCUUCUUCUUGGACUUGCUCCAGUUCUUGUAGAACCUACGCUUAAUUUCCUCACUCAAAUGUUGAGCCCACACUGUGUUCAAUGUUCUAAGACCACGGGGAGUUUUCACAUAACCAACAACACCAACAACAACCAUUGGAGGGGUCUCAAUGAUUGUAACAGGCUCACAAGUCUCCUUUUUGUGAAGCUCUGACAUUUAAAAGAUAUCACAGAAUUAGAAUAAAAAAACAGAGGACAUGACACCAUAAAGAUAUUCAUCAGAAGGAGAACAAAUACAAGUGAGCUUAAUUAUCUGUAAAAGAGUACUCCAAGAACAUUAUUAUCAAUAUAAUUUUCCAAAUACCAAAAUGAAUCAAGGGGUGUGGCAAUUCUAGAAAUAUAAAGCAUGUCAUUAACUCAGAGACAGAGCUCCUUUAAAUUGAGAGAAAACACUUACACAGACAAACAUCAAUUUUAUAUACAAAAUUGUUAAUUAUUUCACCACUUAUAACAAGUGAAGACAUUUAAUUAAGACAUAAUUAUUGGGAAAACAAACCAUACAAAUUCAUUUAACAGAUUAAAUAUCAGCGAAAGAGAAUACAACUUACUGGAUCCGGGUUUCUCGACCUCUCUAACAAUGUGAGUCAUACCAGCCUUGUAACCCAAAAAGGCAGUAAGCUUUGGCGCCUUGGUUUGGUCAUCCUUGGGGAAAGCCUUCACUGCAUGAGUGAAAUUAUAUAUAAUCAUAAGGUUAAAACAUAAAAUCAAAUCAAUAUUCAAUACUAAAUGUGAAAUGCCCUUAAUUAAAACAAACCUAUGUAAAACAAUCUGGUUAAAAACUAUAUCUUAUUCGAUAACAACAGGAAAAAAACAUUUCCAACAUCACAGUUUUCAUAUAAAAAAAUUAAUUUGCAAAUCCACAAAUCAUAAAACCAGAUAUAUAAGAAAGGACAAUGAAUGGAAAAAUGUACCUUUUCCUCUGUGACGAUUAGCACGCUUCCUUGGAAGAAAUCCAAGAGAACCGUGCCUUGGGUGUUCAAACUUCCUGUGAGACAUUCUUCCUCUCCUAAACAAACAAAUAAUCAAAGUAAUAAUUAAAAAAUGUAUAAUCUAUUUAAUUUGGACGAAGAAUGAGAACAACAAACUAGUAAUUCACUCGAGAUAACACUUCACAAACAAAUCGUUACACUUAUAAACAUAGCUAGAUGAAAACAACAGAGGAACAAAGAAAACAUUGAAUCUCGUUAUAAAAACAAAUCAUUAUAGUUGAAAUGGAAUUGAUAAAAAUGAAUUGAAAUAAGAAAAUGAGAAUGUGAAUAUUGUGAGAGAAAAGGAAAACCUGAAGUUGCUCCUGCGGCUACUGAAAUGAGAAAGCUCAAAAGCAGUGAAUCUAAAACCCUAACUAUUUUGUGUCUUUAUAUAACCAUUUGGCCCUUUCGGUUUAUUUUAUGGGCCCGGGCUUUUCGGUAUCUAUGGGCCUAAUCUCAAUUUACAAAAUCUAUAGCCCACCUCAUUAUAUAAUAUUAACAAAAAUAAUAUAAAGUUGCAAAAGUAAAAGCAGAUUGUAAUAUCUAUGUACUGUCGGUGUAAAUAUUUAUCACAAUCACUGUAUCAUUCAUUAUUCAUUAAAUUACUCUUUGAAGAGUCAAUUAUGACUAAAUAUUAUUUGGGGAUAAUGUAUCAAUACAUAAUUUUUUAUUUUUUUCUCAGGUAAGAAAACAAGGGGAUCUAUUUGGUCAUCAUAAAAAAAAUGUGAUUUUGACAAUUAUGUACAUAAUGCUUGAUGAACUUAGCCAUCCAUCAAUUAUUAUGUUAAUAUGUGAGUAUUUUUUGUUCUUCUUUCCUCUCUUAUCAAGCUGUGAUUUGAGAUUAAUUUUCUAAGUGGAAAAUAUAAUUUAGUUUAUUAAAGACCUAGAGGCUGAAACUAGUUUGAUAGUUAUUAUGGUAAUAAUACCUACCCUUUGCAUUCUUAUUAAGAUAGUAGAUAGACCGAGAUGAAACAAAAGAUGAGUGUGGCAACCAGGUCAAAUGAAUUAAGGCAAUCUUAACAUUUCACAUAUUUUCCAAGGAUUUAUCUAUGCAGGUGUUUGUUUAUUAUAACAGGAAUUUAUUCAUAUUGUUUAAAUCUUCAUUUUUUUUAUACUGCUUUGAAGAUAAAUAUAAUAGAUCAAUGGAGGCUGGGACCAAAAGGAUUAAUUUCAGAUUACAAAUGGCUGAUGAUCAUUCCAACCUUGAAAUUCAGGUUAAUGUCCUGAGGGAAAUCUAAUUUUUUUGUUUUAAUGGUUUUUUUAGUUGUAGCAAUUUUGAGAUCUUUUGGAGUCCUAGCCAAGACCCCAUAGAAAUUAGUAUUAUAAUAUAAUGAUUGAAGAAAUGACAUGGUCCAAAUUAGUAUUAGGAUGGUUUAUGAUAUUUUAUUUGGGUUUUGAUGAUGGGGAUUAUAAUUCUAAAAUGGUUAGUUUUGUGAUUAUAAGGCUGCAAUCAAUGUUGGUUUCAUUUUUCAAUUCAAAAUCUUUUUCCUUGGUGCUCAUAUACUUCGAUGUAUACAUUAAUACUCCAACUCUCAAGGUAUCCCUUUUCUGCUUGUAAUCUAAUGUAACUAUAAGAAAAAAUAAAGCAAAUUCAUAUAGGCAAAACCAGAUAUCUUAAAAAUACCACCCAAACAUAAAAUAAUCAGGACGAGAGAAAAAAUGUAUUUUAUAUAAAUUAGAUCAUUUUGAAGUUAGCUAUAUGUUUCACAAUAGUUCUCUGAAAUUAAAGAGGGUUUUCUAAGAGGAGUAGCCGAGUAAAGAGUUAGAAUUUUCCUACCAACAACAAAAGAGGCAUGUGGGAAUUUAAAAAAUUGAAAAUCACUAUUUUUUUUCACAACAAGGAGACCACAAAUUGGUACUUUUCAACAAGCCAGUGUCCAAUUUGGAGGUCAUCUUAAACAUCUCUCUACACCAUUACUACAUUUCCAACGAGACGUUAGUCUAAUGGUCCAAUGACUCAUUGAAUCUCCAUGUAAGUACUAGACCAAAUGUCAAAUGUCCGAUUCCUGUGAAUGAUAUUUGUUGGGAAGGAUAGUCACACACUCCGAAAGAGAGUACUGGUGAGAUGCCCUUAAUAGUACAAAAAUAAACCACCACUACAUUAUAUGCUAGUCUAAGUCCCAGUUGGUCUUCUAGUAAUACAUGUGCAUUAUGCGCAGGAGAGAGGCCAAGAUGCCUACUUACCUUCUAAACUACAAUUUCCAAUUCCAUACAUAUUGCUGCUUGGAUCUAGACUAACCGUUGGAUUUUGACCUUUAAUUUAAAUAGAUGAAGAAUAAUGUGACCAUAUUAUUAUUUCCCCAUCAGUAUCAACAUCAUUGGUGGAAUCUUCAGUUUACAUCUUGCACCACUAGUGAAUUUGAUCUACCACUGCAAGGAGCGAACCCUGCGAAGUAAACGUGGUGGCCUUCGCUUCUCCACAAUAGGGAUUAAUUUUUCCAUAAGCUGCACAAAAAACAAACCAGGUCAGUAGUGACCUGAUUACUUUCUGAGCUAACAUAUACUUUACAAAUGUAUAUUUGUUUCCAGAGAUAAGCUGGUGAAUAAAAAUUCAACGCUUGCAAACUUUGCGAUACAAAGAACUUGGCUGAAUACCAUACUUGGCAAUAUAUUUUUUUUUUGCAUCUCCUAUGGAGAAUUCAGUUAACUUGCUUAACCCUUGAUAUAUCUCAUAUCCAAUAUUAUAUACAAGCAAUCUUAAUGGAAGACUGCCCCUGCUUUUUUCUGUUGCGAGAGGAAAGUAUUAAUUUCAUGAAUCAAUGAAAAUAUGUACAAUCAUGACUAAUUACCAACCAUGCUGCAACAGCAAUGAGUCUAGAAGAAACAUUGACUAACUGCCACAUAUUCUGUUAGUAGCAAGUAGCCUUAGGAUAAGGUAUCAACUAUGGAAGAAUUUAUUUGAAGCAAUUAGCUACUCAUAAAUAUUUUUACCAAAAGGUUUUGCACAAACUAACAUAAGGACAAUCCUUACCUGCUUGUACCUUUCUUUUCUCUUCUCAGCCUGCACAAGAAUAUCUUUCGUAAGAGAUUGAUAAAAUCUGAAGGAUAAAAUGAGCACGAGACAUACAAAAUUUGAAUGUGUUUCGUGGAAUGCCCAAAUCCCUUAUGUUCCAUGUACUGGAAACAUUAAUUCCAAAACAUGGGCCGUUUGAGACCAAAAAUGCUGAAAGCAGCAUUCCAAACUCAUACAUAGUAGCAAUAAAAACAGGCAUAAUAGCACUUAUUGGGACUAAAAUAGGGAGUCCGUACCUCAGUCAUAGGUAGCAUGACAGGUACAGAGACCAAAUUCUGAGAGAGUGAGAGACAUAUUUUUCCUAACCAAAGAAAAGAUUUCUUGCUUGGUAGAGAGCAGAUUUAAUAUCAUACUUUGAAGUUUGUUAGUAGUGAUCCAAUUCUAACUUUCUAAGAAAAUCCUAAAUAGAAAAACAACUAAGUCUACCCUCUCCCCCAUGGUGCAUACCGCAUAAUGGGAAAAGUCGCAAUACACAAUCAAUGUAACACUGAUUUGAACAAUCAAUGAAGGAAACAUUGAUAUUUCAGGGUGGAAAAGUCCAAGCUAUCUUAAUAAUGUUCGCCAAACAGUCAUUAAUUCUACAGACACCAGUGAGAAUAAUAAUUAUAACCAGGGAGGUGUCACAGAAAUCCUGAGUGUUGCUAAUACAGCUUACUUUCAAUAAUUCAAAAACUUAGAACGACGCACCAAUCUCAGAGGCAGCACUCUGAAGUACGUUUGGUAAAUAUGCUAGACUGUAAAGCAUAUAUUGACAUAAUCCUUAUAUUAUCAGUACUACUACUUGAGUACUUGCUGAAGCAAAAUAGCUUCCCGCAUGUACAUGGAAUGAAUCCCACUACAGGCAGUUGAAAUUGUUUCUGGGAAUACUGUGGCCAAAAAAUUAAUCAUAGAGCAUAUAAAUGGUAAAAUGAAGGUCAUCUAAGAGUCCUUCAACCUUAUAUCUGAAAACAGUAACAUACACACAACCAAGUCAAAAGCAUAUGAGAAUUGAAAAUCAGCACAGCAAUGGUCCAACAACAAAAUCAAAGCAAAGCAAAACUUAAUGUCAUAAUUACAAAACAACACAGCAGGGAAACAUUGGCAGUUCGUACGGAAGUGUACGAGGAACAAAACAAAUAGAGUACCUUCUCCUUCAUGAGCUUGUCAUUUUCUUCCUCUAGUUUAACCGCCAGUGACUCCAAUUCAACCUGGUAAGCCUGAAAUUCACAAAAACAACAAAAAUCUACAUUAUCAAUACAUCCAACAAUAAAUGGCAACCUACCUAGUGAUAUAACUCACAUUACUAUGUGGUCAUAGUAAGCAGUCUUAUCUUGCAUUAUUCCACGACUCGAACCUACGACAAACACGAGAUUGAGAUAUGAAGAUAUCUAUAUAUACCUGCUUGCGUUCCCUUGACCUAGCAGCAGAUUCUCUAUUCUUAAUCAUUCUCUUCUGUCUCUGUUGCGCCGCCUUAUCCAACUGCUCCGAAACCGAACGUCCCCUCUUCCCCCUCCCUCCACUUCCACCACCACCACCACCACCGUCCACUCCAUUCCCAAACCCAAUCACCUCCAAACUCUCCAUUCCACCACUCUGAUACACUGGAUCAUACACAAACAUGCUUGCACCACUACUCAAACUCUGAGUUAACGGCAUUGGCAUCUUCACUUCACCAUCAUCAUCAUCGUCAUCACCCCCAACCUCGUCUUCACCCACUGCACCCGCUUUCAUGAGAAAGUCCUCUAGGGUCAUCAAAUCAUCGUCGGGGUUCUCCUCCUUGCACUCCGGUUUCCCGUCGCCGGCGACGAUCUCCCGCCAGACGUCGUCGACGGUUCUGGAGGACGGAGGAGGAGAAGGGUCGAAGAAGGUGGAAUCGGAAAUGGGGAUGAAAUUGGUGGUGGGAAAUUGGGGAUUUGGAGAAGGUGAUCUAGAUUUUCUGGAAUUGGAAGACGACAUCAUCAUUGGCUUGGAUGACGCCAUCGUCAUCAAAGUAUGAUGAUUAGGUAUUCUUCGAUUUUGUGGAUCCUAGGGUUCUGUGAUUUAGGAAUUUGGGGUCUCAACUUAAGCAACACAUAGAGACCAAAACCUUCACCAACUUAAUUCACGUCUGGUAUAAAAUAUUGUUGACAGGAUAGUUUAAAAUCUAUGUAUUGAUAUUGUAAAGUAUUUUAUAAUGUCAGUUUAUUCAUCUACCAUUGCUUUUGUAUUACUGUUAUUACUUUUGAGUAAACGAAUAAUGAAUGAUUUGUUGACAAUGUAGAAAAUACUUACGAUGUCUUUAUAUGCUUAUUAAUUCAAUUUUAAUUAUUGCUUCAGGUUUUAUAAUAUGAUAUAAUAUAAUAAUGUCAGUAGCAGCUCACUCAAAUAUCAUAUGCUACCAAACUUAUAGUGUGGCAGAUCAUGCUCAUUUAUAGCUUGAUAAUUAAAGACUUGAAUUUCAAUUUGUUCACUUCAAAUUAUGCUAGUAGAUGAAAAGAGGAAUAAAAAAAUCAUAGGUGAAAAAUUAUAUAUCAAAGUUUUUGUCAAAAACAUGAUUUAUGAUAUGAAAUAUGUAGCUUGAUUACCAUCACCUAUUAGAAUUAAAGUUCUCUACUUUGUUGUUGUAAUUGUUUAUAUAAAUUGUAAAUUUUAAUCAAGUAGAAUUUUUUUGUAUAACAAAUAAUAUCAUUUUAUUUAAUAGGUAAAUAAUUAAUCAUUUUUGGAUAUGUAAGUAUUUUUGGCAAGAAUAAAUUAAAACCUUGAAUCAACAAAUUGUUUAUCAAGUUUGUUGCCAUUCACAAUUAACAUAUUGUUGGAUUAUUAAUUAAAACAAUAUAUUUAUAUAUAUAUAUAUAUAUAUAUAUAUAUAUAAAUAUAUUGUUUUAAUUAAUAAAAAAAGGAAAAUAAAUAAAUAAUAGUGUGUAGUGCUUUAUACAAAAUUAGUUAAGCAACGAAAAUUAGUUCAAAUGGUACAUGUUUGAUUCAUUUUAAGCAAAAAACCUGAGUUCAAGUCUUGUGGAUGAAAAAAUGUUCGUUGGGAGAAUUAGCCUCAACCUAUACCUCCAUUACAGUGCGAGGAUACCUGCGCGAAACCAAAAAAAAAUACAAAAUUAGUUAAACUUGUUGACCUGUUGUUUGAUAUUUUCCGCAGCAAUUAACAUCCUUUGUCGAAACCAACUACUUCUCUUCCCAAGACUGUAAUUGAAUAUUCGAAAUCUCUUUCUAAAUUUACUUCCACCGUAAAUAACGUCAUUGAUUUCACGCUAUUUCUUUUACCAUUUCCUCUUCUUUUCUUUUCUUUUGCCUUUAACUAGUUCUCGUGAACUACACACACUUCAAUUCGGUUUCGGAGUUUGUAGUUUCAAAAAGAUUCCACCUUUACUGUUUCUGAACGUUCUUUCUGCUUCAAUUAUUACUGGGUGCGUGCUACUUCUUCUCUAAAUUAAUACUAAUAUUAUAUAUUCGUUACUCACCUAGCCCCACUUACUUACCAACUUUUCAGAAUCAGGUUCUCUGUAAUGAAUUGAAAACACUGAUUCUGGGGAUGGUAAGUAGUAAUUGGAUUCAAUAUUUGUCCAAACAAGAGUUAGAACAAUAAGGUUUUUAUACCUAACACAAUAAAUAUCUCAGACAAAUGGAUUAUGAUGAUUUGAUCACAGUGGGCAUCAGCUCUCAACAUGGAAAUUUUGAUUCAGCUUAUUCUAAGGAGGCCCGAGAUGUCGAGGCAAAUACGGCUCAGAAUUCGUCGCGAGUUUCUUCGCCACCACGAAGAGGUUUGUGUUCAAAAGCUCUUUGUCAAAGUUAGUUUUUUCUGUUAGGAAGCUAAUGAUUUCUGAUUUGUGUUUGUUGUUCUUGUUGUAUUGUUGGUUAAGAAUUGAACUAUGUGAUGGGUUUUUGUUGUUAUCCUAUGCAUGCUUAAUAAUUGCGAAAAUAAAGAAGUACAGAAUGAAGAAGGGAAAAAUGGAGCAGUGUGUGAAAUUGAGAGGGGCACACAUGAGGAUAAACAUAAGUUGAAAAAUGGAGAAGGGAACAGAUUUGAAGGGGCAAGGAGUGGUCAGGGUGGACAGGUGUUCUCCUCUGCCCACUACCCGGCUCCACCUCUGGCAUUUGGCUCGGUAUAGCUUAUUGUUUAACUAUAUCGAAUGUCGUGGACUUUAUUACUUUUUCCUUUCAAGCGAACAAUGGGAAGAUGAAGAAGAAUGUAUAUGUAGUAAAUAUGUCAUGGGUUGUAUACAAAAAAGUGUCACGGUUCUAUAGGAUUUGGUACCAAGAUUUAGGAAAAAAGAAAUGUUACUUCACUAGGCCUCUUCUUCAAAAGCCUUUAUGCAUUUAUCACUUAUCUGUCGGGUCUAGUUAUUUGCCUCUCCAGAUGCCUUAUCCAAAUAGCCACUUUCAAUUUUGUGAUGUAUAUAGCUUCCACUGUCUUUAAAUUUAGAAAGGCCAAUUUAAUUGAACUAUUUUCAACUGCCAUCACUUUAUCUCCUUUUAAAAAUGGUUAAGUGCAUGCUACUUCCUGCCUUGGUUAAAUGUUGAAUGUCUUGCCCCCUUGAACUAUUGUUUCUAACUUGCUUCUUUUAAAUAUGUUUUGUAAUGUUGAACUCUGUUCAUGUAGUUUUGGAGCAUUCCUUCACAGCACCUAUUGGAGCUGAGAGAAAUCCACUUAUAGCCGACAAUGAGAUUAAGGUUUCUAGAUCAAUGACAGAGAAGAGGAGGUUCCCAAGGCAUGAUAUACUGGACAGGCUGUCAGAGCGUGAGAAGGUAGACACAAGCAUUACUAUAUGGGCAUGGUUUUAAGUUUUAACUUGUGCUCAUAUGUUUUUAUUCUAAUCGGAUAAGUUAUACCUUUAAUAUCUGUCUGCCUGUUCUGUUCAAUCUCCUCCCGAAGAUGCAAAUCUAGAAGAGUGCUAUUAUUUAUUUUGCAUAUUGGAUAUAUUCAUGUUGAGUUGCAGCCUUGCAAUUUUGUUUACUGUGGUCUCUCCACUCUCUAGUGACCUAGUAUUCAGAUAUAUGGUAAUUUAAGUAAAUAUUACCACUCCUUAGUCCUUAUUACUUCUUAGGUGCUCAUUUGCACAUACUAGAUAUUUAAACUCUUCAUCUUGUUUCCUUUUCUGCCCAUGGUGAACUCUAAUAGCUUGUCUAAUUCUGAAGAACCUUUGCUUCUUUUGGCUCUGGGCACGUGGCUGGUGUAUUUGAAAAAUGUGGCUAACUGGUUUUGCCUUUAAAGCUCUGUUCUUGACACUGUGGCCUGUAUCUGUGAUGUAUGCAUUAGACUUUCCAAAUUAUUUCCAUGGACAUAACACUUUCUUGUCUUGUUUCUUAGCAAGAACUGAUUGAUAAGCUAGUGAGGAUACAAAGUGAUGGAACUGUUAAAGUUGAUCUAGAAAGAAGUACAUCUGUUUCAGAGUUACUUGAGCUCCAAUCUUUUGAAGAGUCAACAGUGAGUGAAAGUCUUACUUCUGAAUCAAAAAGUUCAGUUCCACGGUUACAAAUUGUCAUGCUUGUGGUUGGAACUAGAGGCGAUGUACAACCUUUUUUGGCCAUUGCAAAGAGACUUCAGGCAUGUUUGAAUAUUUUCAUUUGAUUUAUAUGGUUGCACGCUAGAAUUGUAUUAUUAAAUCAUUAUGAUUUCUUUUAUUGUUCACUCGUAUGUUGUAUGGUGUAAAUGUCUCUGGUAUUGCAUUUGCUAUGCACCAAUUAAUGCCCCCUAACUAGUAGAAUCUGCUAUUUGGUAACAUUCAUUUAAGUUGGUAACAUUCAUUUAACAUUGCUAAAAGAGCUUUUACGGUUUGUAACACAUUGGUAUCUUCACAACUUGUUAUAUGGGUGAUUGGGCAUUGGUGAUAACUACUCCGAACUGAAGUUCUUGAUAAGAUUUCUCUAAUAAAAUUUUUGAAGGACUUGUUCUGUUCUUUUGAAGUUUCAGUUUGUUUAGGGUUCUCAAAAAUGUGAUUCCCCAAAUACCUUUUGCUGGCACAAACUUUUUUAUGAGCCUCAAAGUUGAAUUUCUGCCCUUUCAGAUGAAAGUUUUGAGUAAAGUCCAACAAAAAAAGGAUAUAAAUGUCAAAAAUGAUUUUUUUUUUAUAAUACACCAUUUUUAUGAAAAGAAUCUACACAAAUGGGGCCUAGUUUUGGUCAAAUUGUCUUAGAAUCUUUAUUUUUCCAGGUUGAAAACCCCUAGCUUUGUUCACAACAUUUUGUACUAAUGAUCUGUCUGAAAGGAUGCAAUUUUUUAAUUUUAUUUUUAACUACUGUUAUUGAAUUUUACAUCUCAGUAGUCAUUUCUUUAGUUCAUACUUUUUUACUCCCAGAGAUGAACCAAUGUUUUCUUUUGCAGGAGUAUGGUCAUCGUGUUAGGUUGGCAACACAUGCUAAUUUCAACACAUUUGUAAAGUCAACUGGUGUAGAUUUCUAUCCUCUCGGUGGUGAUCCUCGUGUAUUGGCAGGAUGUAAGUGAUUCCUUUUUAAUAUUUUCAUUAAUAUCUACUAUUUCUCUUCCAGUCUGCUUGUACUUUUUGCGUAACUUCACUUUUGACCCUCUUUUAGUCCCUUCCCACCUAUGUAAUCUGUGUUUAGAUUUGAAAACACACUGCAAUGAACUGAUAUCUCAUGAUGCUUGAAUUUGCGUAAUUGCUCUAGAGUGAUUUCUGAAAAGGCCAACUCAAAGAUUUUAUUGAAUACUUUUCUAAUGGAUUGCCCAAAUUUUUAAGUGUUAAGAAUAGAGUCAAAUGUAAAAUAAAUACUUCAAUAUGGACCUAAAAUGGAUCUUAAAUGGAUAUGGAUGUAUGAUACAGUAACUACCUUGAAACAUUAAAUAUCAGGUAAUGGAACAAGAAUUUCAAAUACAAUCCAAGCAUCUUAGAUAGCCACUAGUAUUGUAGGGUUAAGAGAGGAGAGAUGAUUAAACCGAAUAAAACGAAAACCUUCAUUAAUAUUCUUUUUUAUAUACUAUGGAGGCAAAGUAACUUCAAUCCCCAUAAAUCACAAGAGUAAAACAUACUCCACUGAAACAGAAUUGUUAAAGUCUUAUAAUCUCAAUUUUUUUUAAUAAACUCUUAAUACAUUUAAUUCCAAGAUAGUAAUCCUUGUAUUGAUGAAUUUUUUAAUGGGAGUUGUAAAAUAAUUAAAUAUCAUGUUAAAAAGCGUUCUCAUUACAUUCUCCAUCACUGUCCAAUAGCCAUUUAUAAAAAUGCUCAGUCUAUAUCGAGCUAACUUAGACGUGAUUGAUAUUGUAAGCUGUGACUCAGACUCACUGACUCUGUUCUACUCCAGGCUCAUUCUCUCUUUUUUAAACGUGCUAAAACAACAAUGCAUUUCUUCUUUAAUCUUAUUCCAUCUUCACUAUUAUUCAUCGCACAAGCACAAAACCAUAUAUUAAAUGAGUUAAUUCAAUAAUAGAUAUGGCGAGGAAUAAAGGUUUAAUCCCUUCUGACCCGGCUGAAAUAUCUGUCCAAAGGAAGCAGCUGAAUGCAAUUAUUGAUUCCCUUCUUCCAGCAUGCACAGCUGCUGAUUUAGAAACCGGUGUUCCUUUUAGAGCUCAGGCUAUUAUUGCCAAUCCUCCUGCAUAUGGUUAGUGGUUAGAAGAUAUUGUAUUGUGUAUUUCUUCCGGUUGCUUUUUCUUUUAAGCUUUUAAUUGCUGGUAGUUCUCGUAUUGUAACAUAACAAUCAUAUCACAGGCUUUGCCUGUAUGAAUUUUGGUUGCUCUAUCAUUAACCUUAAGACUACUCUAUGUUUACCAGUAGAGUAGAACUUAUUUCUGUUACCUUGAUGAUAGAGCUUAGCAAUGUUUAUGAUCUUAUUAGAGAAAUGUAAUUGAAUUUGUUAUCAAUGAAAUGUAACAAAUUCAGUUACAUUUCUCACUAUUCUCUAAUAUAUCUUGAUAUAUCUUGUUAGAGUCAUUAUUUGUACCAAACCUGUUCAAAUGAUUGACCCCUGAUAUUUCAGUCACGCUUGGCUACUUGAUAUUUACAGAUUAAAGUGCAUUGGAAAUUUUGCAUUUUGCUCAUGCACAUACUAGUAAUUCAAAACACUCACAAAACAUUAAUUUGGGAUUGAGCAUAUAUCUCCUUUGAUCCGGGUUAAGGAGUAUAAAAUAAAGAAAAAAUAGAUCUUUCAAGUAAUCAAUUUGGCGAUAGAACGAUUGGUAAAUUAUUAUCCAAACAGGAAAAUUAUUAUCCAAAUGGAUAUUUAUAUUAUUCCUUGUGAUGGAGAUAAAUACAAAUAAAGAGAAGUAGUUUUGACCACAAAUAAGUGAAAAGGCAAAUGGGGUAAAUGUGUGAGCUAAUAUGUAGAAAUGGAAAGGAAGAAUUUCGACCUAAAAGUUAACUAGCAAUGUUGAAGUAUGAAACUCAGGGGCUCUCAAACUCAAAGCAUUUGAGUGUAAUGGUAUUUCUUGUGAGUUUAUUUCCCAUAUUCAGGGGCAGAAUUGUUAUUUUUUAUUUCAUAAUUGUUUGCAAGUUUGUCUGGUCGUGACUUAUUUAGAAUUAUAUCUGACCUUAUGGCUUGCAGGACAUGCACAUGUUGCUGAAGCCCUUGGUGUGCCCAUUCACAUCUUCUUCACAAUGCCUUGGACGUGAGUUUAAAUUGUUAUAACAGACAGUUUUUAUAUCUUAGAAAGAUGAGGUUUCAUAACAAAGUAUGCAGAACUUUCUAAUUCUUGAUUUGAAGUUUUCAUACAGUACAAAUUUCUUGUUAUAAUUACAAUCAGGAUUCAGGAACAACUGCACCAUUUAUGUAUCUUCCCUUUUUAUUCACUUUGUGAGGUCAUGUACAUUUUUUGUCAAAUAUUAGGCCAACAUAUGAGUUCUCACACCCCUUCGCACGUGUUCCUCGAAGUGCUGGAAAUUGGGUAUGCACUUUUUUGAAACAAUAUUUUGUGAUCUGACUUUGAUUCUCUUGUGAAUGAAUUGUGGAACUCCUUUAUCAAUGAACCUGUUUCAAUAUUUCCUUGUUGUAUGUAGCUGUCCUAUAUAAUCGUGGAUCUACUAAUAUGGUGGGGGAUCCGAGGAAUUAUCAAUGACUUCAGAAAAAGGAAAUUGAAGCUUGCUCAUAUUGCCUACUUCAGCAUGUACCGUGGAUCAAUAUCGCAUUUACCAACUGGCUAUAUGUGGAGUCCUCAUGUUGUUCCAAAACCAAGUGGUAUGAUGUAAUCAAUAGUCAUAUCAUCUUAUGUCCUCUUAGUACUUUCUUUUUAUGAGCAAUCCUUUUAUCAUUUAAUUCAUUGGAGUAGGAUAUCAAUUCAGUACUUGUUAGUUUCUAAAAUAGGCUUAGAUGCAAAGUUGACUUUGAUUUGCUUUGAGCUAGAACAUUCAGUCCUAAAACCUUGACUUGUUAGUUUAUAAAGUUAUCUGCUGAAAUUAAAUAUUAUAUAGUUUUGUCAAGGAAAACUUCAACUUUAGAUUCUCUCUUUAAAGAGAGUUCACUGUAUUAUGUAUGGAAUGCAUCAAGUUAUUUUCUUUGGUAAUACACUAUCUGUCAACAACAACAACCACAGCAACAAAAACCACAACAAAGACAACAAUAACAAGCCUUAAUCCUGCUAGGUGGGGUCAGCUACAUGGAUCGAAAUAUGCCAUAAUCCUCUAUCAUAAAUCAUGAUACACUAUCUGUCUCUAACAAGUCAAGGUUUUGGAACGGUUGGUCUUUGAUAAUACAUGGUAGACAUGUUUUGCUUAGUGUCCCAAGUGAGUUGCAAGAACUAAUGACAUAUAACAAAUUUGCAGACUGGGGUCCCUUAGUUGAUGUUGUUGGCUAUUGUUUCUUGAAUCUUCAAUCAAAGUAUCAACCACGGGAAGAUUUUGUCCAAUGGAUUCAAAAAGGACCACCUCCUAUUUAUUUUGGGUUUGGAAGCAUGGUAUGGUAAUUUCACUUGAACUAUGAGUUAUUUUAUCAUGAAUUUAGAUAUGAUAAAUAACUUUUGUCUUUUGUAAAUUGAACUUUUCUGUUUUGGAUGUUAUGGACCUCACUACAAUUUAGUCGUAAUAUUUAUUACAUUCUUAGAGGAUCAAGCUUUUACUUCAAGCAAAUAAAGCCUGACGCAAUUUUGCAUGCAAGGUAAUAGGAGCUAGGAAAUCUGAGUACUGUUAUAUUGAAAUAAACCACUUACUUUCAGAAUUUCAGAUGAAAAUUCUUGUCUUUAUAGUCUUUCAACUGAAAGGAAAAGGAAAAGUAAGUGCAGAUAGUGCUUGGGCAAUGUGAAUAUUUGUAUUCUAGAUUGCGUACAAUGGACAUAAUAAUCAUAUAUUCAUAUUGAACUAUAGAAAGGAUUUGCACUUAUAAUAGAAUAGUGUAAUCAUAUAUAAUUUCAUGAAUAACAAUUUCAUGUAUGCUCAUAAGCUAGUGGACUUGACAUUGUAUGCCUUGACAUCAGCAAAUAUUUAGAAAUGAAUGUUUGAAGACCUCUAAAUGAAAAUGUCUUUUACUUUAUCAGCCACUUGAAGAUCCUCAACGAACAACAGAUGUUAUAUUGGAGGCACUAAAGAUUACAGAACAACGCGGAAUUAUUGACCGGGGUUGGGGCAAUCUAGGCAAUUGUAAGUAUUAUAUUUCAAAUUUAAUUUUGACUCAUUGACACUCUUGUUGUUGACGAAGUUAUAAUUAAUUUCUGGUUUCAUGUUCUGUUAUUUGUUUGAGUGAUUGAAUGACUAAAAUAUGUGGUGCCCAUUACAUUAGUUUCACUUACGAUAUGCAGUCGCAGAAGUUCCUGACAGCGUUUUCCUUCUGGAGGAAUGUCCACAUGAUUGGCUGUUUCCUCAAUGUUCUGCCGUGGUGAGUUUCAAUUAAUAUUUUUGUUUGGCUUUCUUUGGGAACAAAAGAAAAUGCUCUAGACUGUGUCUGAGGGCUUCAUCAAUUGCCAGCAGCUCAAACUUCAAACCACUUAGUCUUCCCAUAGAACGGGGGCUAGUUUUCUUUACGGAAUUUCUCUAAUAUUUCUUUGAACUUACUGGAAGAUGUUUUGGAACAAAAUUGUAGGUUCAUCACGGUGGAGCUGGAACCACAGCUGCGGGAUUAAAAGCAGGGGUAAUGUUCAAUAAUGUCUCAAGAUUUUAAUGACAUUAUUUCAGUGUUGCAUCUUUUCUGAUAUGAAUAUCAUAACUUGCAGUGUCCAACAACCAUAGUUCCAUUUUUCGGAGACCAGUUCUUUUGGGGAGAUAGAAUAUAUCAGAAAGAGUUCGGACCUGCUCCAAUUCCAAUUUCUCAGCUCAGUGUUGAGAACUUAUCAACUGCCAUAAAAUUCAUGCUCCAGCCAGAGGUAAAUUUAAAUUCUGCUUAUCCUGCUUUUAAGAUAUCCCAUUCCUACCAUCCUCGCUUGAACAGCCAAAGAAUAAUCGAAAUCAUAUAAUAAUAAAGGGUUUAAAAGUAAGGCAUAUUAAGUAGCAGCAUCUGUUAUAAAUCUUUUCAAAUCAAUCUUUUGGCCCCGAAAUUGAAACUUAAGUCCUAUUCAACAUAGACAUAUGUAUGAUUCAUGUGAAAGUUGUAAUAACCUAUGAACCAUUCUCUUCCACUGUCUUUAUAUCUUUUAGCAUCAUGAAUUUAAUGCAUGGUAGAAGAGUUUUUUAGUGUUAUUUAUCUUUGUUGCACCGGCGGAGGCUAGCGUAGCUGUAUGCUUCCAUAAUGUAGUACUUGUGCUCUGCAAACAUUGCCAUAGUAUAUCCAAAAACAAUAUUGACAAUUAAUGAAAUUAUAAAUGUUCAGGUGAAAUCUCGAGUUAUGGAAAUCGCUAAGUUGAUUGAAAAUGAAGAUGGUGUUGCCGCUGCAGUUGAUGCAUUUCAUCGCCAUUUGCCUGAUGAGCUACCACUGCCAACUCCGUCGUCUCCCGGAGAGGAGGACCACCAAAAUCCUGUGGACUGGUUUUUCGCCCGAGUUGGAAAGUGGUGUUGUCUACCUUGUGGUGUUGUCUAGGUUUUCUUUUAUUCAUUACAAAGCUUAUAUUUGAUAGGAAACCUUAUAUUUUCCCAGAAUAGCAGCCUAGUGUUUUUGGUUUGGUAUUUCAUUCAUUUUUAUCAACAAUAUCAUGUGAGGGUUUGAUUAACAAUAUUCAAUUAUGUAAUUAGAUCCCUUUUGUAUAGGAGCUUAUCUCAUUUAUGAUCAAUUAGGAGUGAAAAGCUUUUGUUAUAGGCCAACCAAUUUCCUUUUUUGUACACAUCUCUUAUAUUAAUUUGUCAUGGAUUUUAAGAUCUAUGUUUUAUAGAUACUAGGGUGUCCAUUGGCAUAAAAUCGACUCACAUUCUUAUUUUUUAUGAUAUAUAUCAUUUUUGUGUCAUAUUCUUUAAAGAAAAAUAAUUUAAUAUAAGAAACGUUACAUAAAAACUCAAAAAAAUUGUAAAAUCUACGUCAAUCCAUAAAAAUAGGGAUCUGAAUCCAAGUAAUAAAUUAAAUUUCAAAAAUAUAUUAUUUAUAAGACAAAUUUGUAUUAAAAGAAGUAUAAGGACACUUGAAGUUUAUUACAAGAACAUUAAUUUUGUAUAAUGAGCAAAGUGUAGUUUAAACUGUAAAAAGUGAAAAGUAUAUAGUAUAUAGUGUUAGAAGAUGAGGCCUAAAUUACUAACAGAAUUCAAACUUCAACUUCCACUCUCACCUUUCAACAUGCGGUGGUCGGCGUUCAGGAACGCCGGCUUAGGCAUCGCCGCCAUGUUAUACAUCACCGUUGACUACCUCCGUCACAUUUCUCCGAAGUUGCACUCGCGGCUGCAGCCGGCAUUUUUGUCUCUUCUGGCCAUCGCCGCCGUGGCGCGUGUCCCGUCCUACCGCCACUGGUCAGCGGAGUUCCGUGCGGUGAUCCCCUUCGUUGCCUCCAUGAUCUUCAUGCUCGCCACUCUCCUCUACGAGGCCAUCUCUGUUCGCUCCGUCACCGCCGUUCUCGGCCUCGACUGGCACCGGUAACUGUCGCCGGAACUAACUCCGUUCUCUUUCGUUAUUCUGUUCUUACGGAUCUAGAUUGUUAUAUCAUUUUAAGGCAUAUCUUGAAUCUCGAAACAUGUUGCUUCUUUAAUUUCAGUUUAUUUAUUUAUUAUUUCCAUAAUUAGCUAUAACGAGAUCUGAGAUAUUUAAUUACAUUCUAUUCAUGGUUGCGGUUCGGUUACGUAGUUAAUGCAGUUCAUCAAUGUUUACAUUGAGUUUUGUGGGAGUUUCUUUAUGAUCAACUCGUUAAAUGACAAGAUGAAUUCAAUAGGUGAUAGUUAAAGGAGAUAAUCAUGUAAUUAUGAUUUAUUAGUGAAGUAAAUGGAAUGCUUUACUUCCUAAUUUAGUUCUCAUAGAUAGUAUUUGUUUCUAUUUUUAAAUUUUUUGGUCUUUAGAUCUUAAAUUUUUAAGUUUCAGAUCUCUGCUUAUUUGACAGUAUCCUUGCAGGAAAUUUAAUUUAAAAUGUAGACUAUGAUUUUCUCAUUUUUCAUCAGAAACGAAAUUGAUACUUAUGAAAUUGAUGAAUUAUUUGCUACUGCAUAAUGUUGUAUUUUCUCAUUACUAAGUAAGUAGACUUACUUAACACUUUUUUGAAAUAUGAAAACUUAUUUAGUUAUUUUGUUUUUGAUAGUGAAAACCAUCCACUUCCAGACACUGGUCAAUGGUUGUUCCUGGCAUUAAAUGAGAAACUUCCUAGUGCCAUUGUUGAUAUAUUAAGAGCUCGUGUUAUUGGAUUGCACCAUUACUUGAUGUUGUUUAUGAUGCUGGCAUUCUCUGUUCUAUUUGACUCUAUAAGAGCUCCAGGCCUUGGACUAGGUGCGAGAUACAUGUUUACUAUGGCAAUUGGCCGCCUUCUUCGAACCAUAACAUUUGCAUCUACAAUUCUGCCAUCACCCCGCCCUUGGUGUGCUGCUUCUCGGUUCAGAGUUCCAAAACAUCCUCAUCCUUGGGCUCAAAAAUAUUAUGUUCCCUAUACCUCGGAUCAUAACGCUAUCAGUCAGGUGAUAAAGCAAGAUAUUGCUUAUGGUAUGCAGUCUACUUUUCAUUCGGUUCUCCUAAUUGUUCUCAAACUAUAAUGAUUUUACUUCUAGGUUGCCUAUAUUGUGGCCCUUAAUAUUAACAAAUUCACAGGACUUGUAGUGCUCAUUAAAGAUCGUCUUCACACAAAAAAUUCUUCAUAAAUUCCGUUGGUCUGAAAGGGUAUUUUUGAAGUAAAACCGAAAAAUAUUAUAUCUUGGACAUAGAAGUUAUUUGCACUUUCAGCCACUUCGGUGUACUUAUAAGAAAUAUGAUCAUGACCUUCUUUGUGAUUGUAUGAAUUUUAGUUUUACAUUAUUACUUUAUGCUUUAUCCUUAAAUCAACAAUGAAGUCCCUCUGCAUCUGUACGAGCAUGUUCACCCUUACAGAUAUUUUGGUAUUGCGAGAAGCUCGUGCAAAUUAAUAUGCUAUUCUUUUUUAGUUGACGUUGGACAACCAAUUGGUGACCGCCGGCCAGAUUGGGGUUCAAUGAGUUUUCUUAUUGAUUUUCUGCGACCCACUGCAUCAGAAGGUUCAUGGUUCAGUCUGUUAACGAAAGCUGGAGGUGGCUGCAAUGACCUUAUAUACAGUGGCCACAUGCUAGUUGCUGUACUCACAGCUAUGGCAUGGACAGUAAGAUACUAAAAUUUGAAGUUCACUACACGAAUUGUGAUACAAUUUUGUGGUUAUUUCUGCAUUUGAUUUUAAAGUAGGAGCUAAAUUCUAUACUUUUCUAUUUAAAAUUUGGCUUCAGGAAGCAUAUGGUGGUUUCAGUUCAGCUCUUGUAUGGCUACUUGUAAUUCACAGUGCCCAAAGAGAAAUACGAGAACGCCAUCAUUACUCUGUGGACUGCAUUGUAGCCAUCUAUGUAGGUAUCCUUAUAUGGAAGAUGACUGGUUUUAUAUGGUCACAACAAGAUAGGAAACCGACUAAGUUUGAGAAGAUUCAGAGUAGACUAAUCCAAGCUUCAAAGGACUCAGACAUAGAUAAAAUGAGGGAGCUUCUCAAAGAGGUUGAGUUAAGCAGUGAAGGGAGCAAGAAUCAGACUGCAAUGAGACACGCACAGCUGUUUAAGGGUGUGACCAUUGGCUUUGCGCUCAUCAUCGUUGUUCUGGCUUUGAUAUUCACAAGCGAUGGGUGAUCUUCUUAUGGUAUUAAACUUAUAGUAACCCUUUUCCACGAAGGCUGGUUUAUAUAAGCAGCAAUUUGGGAGUUUGUUGAGUGCAUUUAUGUGAGGCUUGGCUAACCUUGAAUGCCCCAAAAGUGAGGUUUUAUAAUGUUUAUUGUUAGAGCUGUUGUUUACCAUUGUCAUAAUUUUGCAUCACUAGAGAUGUUGAAAGUUUUUUGUAUGAAUUGUAUAAUCAACAACAUUAGAAAAGUUAUCCAGGAUGGAAAAUAGAAAUUGUCGUUGGCGCAAUAUAACAUGAGGAUGUGGUUGUCAAUGUGCACAAGGAGUCUUUGUUUUACUUGGCUUUGGCUUUGGCUUUGGAAAGGAAAAGUAUAUGUUGUGUCGAUGGGUCUAGACUCUAGAAGAGGUGGUAAGGUUGUUUGAAAUUGAAAUAAAAGAUGUAGAGAUGGGUAUAAUUUGUAACAAAAAUGUGAAUGAUUCACACAAAAAUUGAUUGAUUCUAUUGAAGUCUUGAUUGGUAUUAAACAUAUAGUAACCAGACAAAUUCACACAAAAAUUGAUUGAUUCUGUUGAAGUCUUAUUUGUAUUUUUUUGGACAAUCUAUAUGUUUGUGAGUUAAGGCUACCUAUAUCUACCUUUUCUAGACUUUGAUGUCGAGUUUGUAAUACAAAUAACGCUGCAGUUUAUUCAAUCUUCUCAUUUAGUACUAAUAUAGUGUCAAAUUUUCCCUAUUUAGACUACCACCAUAUUUUCUACUCUUGAUUUUAUACUUUAGUGUCCCAAAAGCAAUAGAUUCCCUGAGGUAGGAGAAGUAAUAAGCAAUAGGAAUAGUUUCAAAAAAGCAAUAGACCUCAACACUUUGAGGUCUCUAUGUACAUGUAUUGUAUAAUGAAGAAAUGAAUAUAUGCUUUACUUGCACACUUUUGUUCUUACAUCUACAAAACAGUAACACAAUACUCUAAGAAUGCUCUUCAUUGGGUCUGUUCUAAGAAACACAAUAUUGAAACACACCCUUUUACUAAACUUUCAUUAUUUUCAAGACAAAUUAAGGAUCAGCAUAUUAUGGAGGUUGAGUUGGGGCUCAAGAUCACCAGAACCAGAGAUGAUACAACUUCCAUUUCUGAUUUUCAAUUUGCAAAAGACAGAUCAGGACCUCUCUUCUUGUCUAAAGAAACUGAUGCAAUGUUUAUCCUCAUAGUACAUCUUAAAGGUUUCUUCUUGUUUCCUUUCUAUGUUAAGGAACAUGUUUCAUGUACAACACACUGUGACAACAAUGGGACAAAAUUGUAUUUCCCUUAGUUAUUUUUAAAUGCAUAUAUACAAUGAAGAUAAAAAUAUAUAUAUGGGAGAUUGAGAUAAACGUACAAAUAACAUAACUACUAUGUGUUAAUGAUGUUUAGUAUGUUAACAUAUAAUUAAAUGCAGGAUAUAAGAAAGAGAACAUUGACAUAAAUAUUAGUGAAGAUGGUACUGAGAUUUCAGUGAGUGGAGAGAAAGAGGUGCAGGAAAUGCAAAUGAUACCGUUCAAGAAAGAGCUGAAAAUCAAAGGGUUUAGAAAGAAGUUUAGAAUUCCUGAUGGGGUUGUUUUGGAUAGGAUCAAAGCUAAGAAGUAUAAAGAAGAGGAUGGUGUUUUGACAAUUAUGAUGCCAAAAAUGGUGAAAGGGGUGUGUGGUAUUGGAAUUGAGGAAGUGAAGGAAUUAGAAAAGGUUGCUGAUAGAGUGAUACCAGAACCAAAACCAGAACCAGAACAAACUAGUGUAUCAGAAAUGGUUCAAGAUAAGAAGGAAGAGGAAGCAGCUCCACCAGUGAAGAAGCGAGGUUCCAAAAAACUAUGGAAGCCUUGUCCUCCUUUGUUUCUAGGAGGAUCAACUUUGCUUGUAUCUCUUAUCUUUCUAGGAAUACACUAUAUUAGAGUGAGAAAGGGUAGUUGAUUUAAGCUUAUUAAAACAUGCUUUGUCUUAGUUCAUGCUCUUCUAAUAGUAACAAAAAAAUACUUUACAAUAAUAUUAGAACAACCUUUAAUCCUUAAAUCUUAUAUGUGCAUUUAUCCUUGAGUUUCUACCCAAAACUUAAGAGAUUAAUCCUUUUGAGGUUUAAAGAUCUUAUAAAGGAUUUGGAAAUUACUUAAGUGACUCUUGUUUUUCACCAACAAAAAGUUUAUUCAUACAUGCAAUAGUAAUCAAACUCAUAACAAUAUGUUUAAAAAAUCAUUUAUUUAUCAACUUAGUCUAGUCUCAUUUGUUUGGCUGGAUCUAUUUAAAGGGUUUACCGUUUAUUCAAUUCUAUUGGGAGGGAUAAUCACACAUCCUGAAAAGAACUAACUUUAUCCGUAGGAAGAUGAGAUAAAGGACAGAGUAUUUUAUUUCUUCAUUUCUUCAAAUUGUAUUGAGCUGGAAAGGUGGCAGAUGGUUUGCCACUAAAUAAAACAUUGUGUGUUCUUCAAAGUUAAAACCUUAUACACAAGUUUCAGACAUAGCACGUGCAUACAGAUAGAAAGACAAAUCCAUUAUCGUGAGUUCCAAGAAUGUGGGGGCACUAUCCACAAUAAACCCAUGUCUUAACAAUGAAUGAUGCUUAAAAAGACAGAAAAAUAGUGUAAAUAGAAUACUAAAGUUGUGUCUUUUGCAUAAUUGUAUGUGCUGCAUGAGAUUUUGCUAUGUUUAAUAAUAAAAACAAAUAUAAUAUUUUUCCCAUAAAAUAUUAUUACUCAAAAUCAAAAGGUAAAUGAAGAUGGCAUUACAAUAGGUCAUAAGAAUACAUUGACCAUUACAGAAGGUCAUAACAUGAGAAUUCCUUGGCAUGGAAGAUAACUUGACCAGGAACUAGAGUCACAUGACAAGGAAUACAAUUCUUGAAGGCAAUAAACCAAGUCAAAGUAAACCAGCAUCAAUGACCUGAUUGGAAACUCAUAUUCAUCAGAUAUUCAUAUAUAACACUGGUAACAUUUUCAUUUGUCAUCAAAUACAAAAUAGUGAAAUCUUAGCAAUGGAAAAACAACGGUCCAAAUAAGACAGAAAUAACAGAAUAAACAGAACAAAGGCUGCAGAACACAGAAAUAAUCUUCAGAAAUUUGAGUAACUAAAUGUCUUCUAAUCUUCUAUAGUUAGCCCAUAAAGUUUAAUGAAACUGGAAAUAUUACAAAAUUCUAUAAUUAAAAGCUUUUCUAAAUACAAUUUAAGUAUAUGAACCAAAAGAAAAUGUAUCUGAUACAUAUUCCUCAACAAAAUCGGCUACAAAGAAGGAUGCGGGAAGUUAAAAAGAAAAUUGCUUAUACAAAUACCAACAUCAUCAGACAAAAACAACAGGGAGGAAAAUAAACAACAUCAUCCACUUCAACUAUCCUUAAUUCUAUACAAUUUAUAUGACUUUUCAGUACAAGAAUCCCCCCUUACCACUAUUUUGUAAACUGAAAUGGAAGCAAAAUUAGGCUAUUGCAUUAACUCAACUUCUACUUCCAUUAAGCACCAGUACUGUUGCAAUAAGUUACUCGGAAUGGUUCGGCUUGCCAAGAGUUUCAAGCCCUUCAGUUCGGCUACACACGAUUCUAUGGAACACCUCCCUCACUUGGCGCUCCAACGGGUCUAGUCCAUCUUUUAAAGCAUUGCAAACUUGUGAAAUUUCCUGCACUCUCUUCCUAACCUCCCUUUCCUUCUCUUCUGUCAAAGGGAAGUGCACAGAAUCAGCAAAUUCAUUCAUCAUUCUAGCAUAUUUCUCAAUCUGAUGAAUCUCUUUGAGCAAGCCACAAGUGUUCUUCCGAUCACGCUUCUUCGACUCGUCCGUGAUCCUGUCAUGAAGCGAGAACAUCGGAGCAGCCCACAAGGAAUUCUUAGGAGUGUUAAAUUGGACUUGUAACCCACGAUCCUGGCAUGGAAUUGCAGCCACAAGUGCCCACAUCACAAACAAAAGGACCGAAUUCAUGAUAUACACGGUCAUUGCAAGACCAUUAGUUGCAACAAUAUCAUUUGGUUUAGGAGGAUACAUGUUGUACCCAAUUGCUUGGAUCUGCUUAGCAGCAGACCAAGUACUGGAAACACUCCAUGAAAGCGAUCGAAAAUGAGCCAAUGACCGGUGAUGCUGGUGAAGGUUGCUAAUAUUAUGAUUACCAUUAUUGUUCUGAUUCUGAUGAUGGUCUUUGCUAGCAUUGUUGCGGCCGAAAGAUCGGUUUCUAUUUGCGAUAGAAGCAGCAGAUUCCUUAUCAUCAAGCAUACCAAUUGCUAAAUCAAUGAGAGCCUUCUUAGCUCUACGAAAUUGACCAUGACCAAUGCUCCUCUGAGGCCCCACUGCAUAAACUACAAUCUCCAACAGCUUCUGCCAUUGCCGAAUCUGCUCAAUCCCAUCGCGGAUCGCGUUGCAAACAUCCAAAGCCUUGACACUACGUUCAAAAUAAUCAGAGAUCAUGCGAUCCAUUGGGUGUCUCAAAAUCUGAACCCUAUGGGUUUGGAGAAUGGCUCUGAAUUCCUCAUGGCAACAGAUGAAUGAGUCAAGGAGUUUCCGAACCCAUGACAAAGAAAGAAAAUCAAUGUCAUCAACUGAAGAGAGUUCAAGUAAACGGUUAGUGAUGUGUUGCUGAAAGGAUUCAAGUUCAAGUUCCAAGCUUAUCCCUUCCAUUGAGUGAACUUGAUGAUGAUCACGAUGACGGAGACUCAGAAUUGAACGACCGAAAUGGGACAAUGAUGAAGGAGACGAACCUUGAGAAUCCGUCGCAGGCAUUCUCAAACAAAAGUUGCAGAAGCUCUCUUUUUGAAUCACUCCCACUUCUUAAUACCAAAUAUAAUUUCACAAACCCAGUUUCUAAAAACUCAUAAAGAACGAAAAUUUAUCUCCAAUUUGAAGACCCAGGAAUCAAAAACCCCAAACUUUCACAGAACAAAUUUUGAAAAGCCUAUGUUGAACCCCUCACCUGAAAUUAAAAAAAAAAUACAAAUUCUCUCCAAUUUUGAAUCUUUUUUCAGUUUCAAUUUUGAAAACCCAGAAAUCAAUAACACCGAUUUCGCAUACCCAUUUCCAAAAGUACAAAAUUGAACCCAUGAAAUGAAAAGGACCCUUCCAUAUGUGAAACCUUUUAUCAGUUUAUUUGAAAACCCAGAAAUAAGAACCUGUUUAGAAUCUAAAGCUAAGGAAAAUUGAAUAUUGAAAAUUUAGAACCGAAGUGAGAAAGAUUGAAAGGAUGAGGAAGGAAAUGAUGAAUGGAGAGAGAAGAGAGACAAUGAGAUGGAACCCUAAUUGUAAGGGAGCUGGAUUAUAUUUGGGACAAUUGGACCGCGUUUUAUGGUAGUUGGAAAAAAGUCAAAUACGCAAAAACAAAAAUGAACCAAAAUAGUUUUUUUUUUUUAGCAUUGUUAUAUUUUGUUAUAUCGGCUCCUAAAUCCUCCUACCCACAAAAAAAUGACACAUGUCACUUGUAAAUCAAUCAUUAAUAAUUAAAAUAUCUUAUUAUGACACAUGUCAUCUUCUUGUGGGUAGGAGGAUUAAUAUGAGGAUAUAGUAGGAGAUAUAUCAUUUUCCGUUUUUUCGUACCUCUUUUUUAGAUAUUUCAUUAAGCGUUUAAUAGAGUGCUAUGAUAAUUGGACCAGAAUGAAUAGUCUGACUGAUUUGACCACUGAUUAAGUUUAAAAAUAACUUUAAUUUAUAGUCUUAACUAAAUAAGGAAUUAGACCGCUUUGAAUCGGAGAAAUUUCAAUCCAUCCAUAUUAAAUUUAGUUAAACUACAAUAACCCAUGAACUUAAUAAUUAGUUGUGUGUAAAAAAUUGGAGAUAUUAAAAUGAGUUUUUUUAUUACCCACCUUCGAUGAGGACUAGUUCAUAAAAUUGGAUGCUUUCUAGAAAACAAAGAAUUAGCAAUGUGUUAUGUUAUUGUGAUGGAUUGACGGAUAUAACCCUGAUGUGAAGGGUUUUUGGACCCUUUCAUUUCAUUCAUAACUAUUUUGUCAUUAUAUGACUACAUUCAUCUCACACUUAACUCUCUUGCAUCAUCACUAUAUAUUUUUUUUUAAACUAUGGCUCAGAUAUACAAUGAUUCAACGAUAAAAAUGCAAAAUAUCAUUUUCAGAAAUACAUUUUAAGUUUGUUAACUUCAAAACUACUUAUUACAACCAUGUAAAAAGUAUUGAUAAUAUUAAAUCCCUAAUGAAGAUUGCAUCAUAUGAAAGUUAUUUCCUAGUAGAAAUAGAAAAAUAAGUCAUUACAUUAUUUUGAAGAGACUAAUCCAUUAUAAAUGUUUGGCAAAUGUUAUUAUGGGCCAAAACAUUAGACCAUAAGUUUGUAAGUAAAAAUUAUCUCGAUUAAGUAGUUGAAGAAAAUCCAAAUAGGUGAGAUAAUAUUCUUAAUAAUAUUAAAAUCUGAAGUUUUUUUUCAAAAGACAUGUCUUUCAUAUAUAUAUAUAUAUAUAUAUAUAUAUAUAUAUAUAUAUAUAUAUAUAUAUAUAUAUAUAUAUAUAUAUAUAUAUAUAUAUAUGAAAGACAUGUCUUUUGAAAAAAAACUUCAGAUUUUAAUAUUAUUAAGAAUAUUAUCUCACCUAUUUGGAUUUUCUUCAACUACUUAAUCGAGAUAAUUUUUACUUACAAACUUAUGGUCUAAUGUUUUGGCCCAUAAUAACAUUUGUGGAUGAUAUCGAUGCAGACAAAAUGAGGAUAUAACCAAUAUUUUGGCACAAUGUGAAUGGCUUUAAGUUGAAGAAAUUGAAAACUUUAUCUAAUAUUCAAUGUGUAUUUUCAUCAUACAUUAGUUUGGCUGGCAGCUAGCUCUUUUGUUUUUUAUCAAAUAAAUUGGACAGCUCAGACACCAAAUUUUUCAUUAUUUAUAUGACCUAAGAUAUUGGAGUUGCUGUAAUGGAUUUAAUUUUAUUUAUGUGAUUGCUUAGCCAAAGUAUUUUAGUGGUGAAAUAAUAUAUAUUUUGGAAAUACUGUAAAAAAUACUUGCACAAGAUAGAAAUUAAACCGUAUGAUACUCAUAUAAUAAUUUGAUAUACUUUUAAAUUUGUAAUAGAUAGAAAAAAAUUAAGAUAUUAACGUAAGCAAUUUUUUGAGGAUAACUACAUAUAUUUUCGUUUAAAAUACUAAAUAUAUUACUUUUCCAAAGUAUAUAUAUAUAUUAGUUCAAACACAUGAAUGUAUAUAGAUAAACUUUUUAUUUUAUUUUUCUUGAUCUAAUACGUUAAACCUUGUUAAGAUUAUUAAACAACCUCACGUGUGUGUUGUUCUUCCCUAGACCAUGGAAUCGAUAAACAUAGUUUGAUACUUAAACUAUAUGCACCUUUCCUUGUUUAACUUAUGAACAAAAUUGCACUUAUAUGGCCUUCUAUCAUUCACCAUUAAUUUGUAAUAUUUUUGUUUAAAAGUCAAUGAUAAUUAACAUAUCAAUGAUGAAAAUUUGUCAACAAUGUAAAAAACAUUUACACCAUUGGUGCAUACAUUUUAAAUACUGAAGCUGAAAGAUUAGAACAGAAAGAUCUUGGACAGAUAUUACCACUUUAAUUAUAAGUACAUGUGAUGCAUAUGAUAGGGAAUAAUUGCACUCUACUACUUGGAAGUUAAGCAUCAAACUGUGGUCCUAAACAGGAUUACUUCCCAUAAUCAUAAUUUAUAUCACUCUAUAUAUCAUAAAUUAUCAUUAAUCAGAAAAAUACUUGAUAAUUAAAUUCUAACAUAAAUAUAUUUUUUUAACCGAUUACAAUCUUAUGACACAUAGAGUGACACUCAUUAUAAUACAGCAUCCCAAACUUGUGAAGUUGGUGGACACUGGAUAAAAAGAAGAAGAAGACAUUAUGAUGCAUGCGCAUGCUAGGUUUUUGACCAUUAAACAUUUUUUAUGCCUUCAAUUAUUUAUAUUUGAAAACAUUUAGUGUCGAACAAAGUAGUGAUCUUCCAUUUAUAUGAUGGGUUGCUAAUAAAAAAUUCAAUGAUUUUAAUUGAACAUGCUUGAAAUUUAACUGUUAUUUCAACAUUUGUUUUAUAAUAUGAUGAUGAUCAAAUUCCUUCAACUUCUAGAAAUGUUUAAAUUCACGAAUAUUUACAAGAAAAUAAUAUUGUUUAUAAACUUUAUAUCCUACAUAGGACUCUACCUUUCUUUAUAAAGAAAAUAUAAUAUUCUUUAUAAAUGAAGAUUCAUCUAUCACUCUAUUCAGUCAUUAACAAAAAGUUAUUAUUUGUACAGAUAUUAAGUAAUCACUUGCAUAACUUAAUUAUAUAUCUCAUUACAUUGAACAUAAUAUUAAAGGUGAUUUUAUAUUUAGCAUUUCACCUCACUCCAGUUAUAUCCCUGUGGGAAAAGUCUCCUAUCACCACACUCAAUCAUGGAACAUAGAAAGAUAUAAUAUUUAGUAUUUAAAGAGAAAGAUCAUCUGUCCCAAAAUAAUUUUGUUAUCGUAUACCUAAUAUUCUGUGUACUUGCACAAAAAUGUCUACAUAUUUGACAGAGGGCAGAUAUGAGACACUUGUUCCAACUACAUGGCUACUAUUUCACAAUUAAUUAAUUUUGAUUAAGAAGGUGCCAGCUUUUCAAAACUGCAGCAAAAUGCAAAAAAACUAUGUCAACUUUGACAAUUUCUAGUCAUAUUUACCAACAGUGAAUACAUUUACUGCCAACAAUCAUUUUUCUUUUCUAGAUUAAGCAGCAAUAUUGCAUGUUAGAGUAUCUUCAUUGAUGUAUUCUUAUAACAUUUUAUUGAAAUAAGAAUAUUUUUUACUAAAUUAUCAAUGUAGAAUUCUUAUUUCUUAAUAAUAUUUCUUGCACAAAAACAUUUUUAUAUUUAUUCUUAUAAUAAAACGUAAGUUUCAAAGGUAACAAGUAGGAAAGAGUAACAUUUAUUAUUAUAAAAUAUAAGAGUUUGAUUACAUUAUACAAUUUAAAUAUAUAAAAAAUGAUAGUUGUUAUUAUGAAGAAAAAUUAUAUAUUAUUCUUAAUUUAUGAGAAUGUGUAAUAAAUUAUACAAUAAUAUGUGAGACUCAAAUAAAUUUAUCUUAUAAAAUUAUAAAUUAUGGAGAUACUCUUACAUCCUAUUCAGCACUUUUGCUUCUCCAGAAAAGGUCAGCAAUAAAAUAUCUCGUCCUUCAGUUUGAUGUCAUGCACCACAUGACAUGAUCAUAAAUAAGAUAACGGGUGAGGACUAAGAUUGAGACAAAAAUAAUGUGUCUCAAAAAAUUCCUAUCUCCAUGUCAAAAGCCACUUACAUUAUAAUAAAUAAUAAAAAAUAUUUUUAGCUUUUAUGAUUGUUUUUUGUAAUUAAUUAACACUUUUUGAUAGAAUUAAUAUAUAAUGAAACAUCAAAUUUUGGGAUAAAUGAUCUCGAUUUCUAAGUUUGACCAUUUAAUAACUCCCAUCCUUUGCCAUAAAUGUGGGAGGGAUAAGGAGAUAAGGUUGAUUAUUCUACCCAACUAUAAAGAUAUUUUAAUGACCAAUUGGUUAGUAAAUGUAAGCAUGGGGUCAUAGUGGUAGGACCCUCCUACUCUUGUUUGACUCCUACACACAACAAUUAAUAUUAUUCAUCUCUUUGGUCCCCCAACAACAUAGCAUUAUUCAAUUUUACCAUCCCUUUGGCACCAAGUAUUCUUGACCUUUGAAACAUUCUAGGAAUUGAAGCACUCAAAGAAUGGCUCAAACAAAUGCAUAUUAGUCAUGUAUUGAUAUUACAAUGUGCACUUUGUUAUGGAGGGCAGAUCGAUUAUCCUUAACCCUGUUUCAAUCCAAUGAAAUUGUGACAUCUAUUAAAAAAAAUUGAGUAUCGAGAAACAUACAUGUUCAUUUUUUAUUAGGUAUCACAGUUUUAUUGGAAUAAGAUAGAGUUAGAGACAUGUUUUUGGAAUAUAUGAUUCCAAAUUAUGACAGGGAAAAAAGAAAAGGUCAAAUGAGGCAUUGAAACUUGGGAUCUUAAAUUGACUUGGUUCCAUUUCUAAAGACCAUACAUCUUAGGGGAAAGAUAGCAAAGAAAAAAGCCUACAUUACAUUUGGUUACAAUCUAUGAUGAGGGUAUCCAUAAAGUCAUAAGUCACAAUCAAAACAAUCCCAUGUUAUCUCAUUACUACUUCAAUGGAAUAGUUCAAAACAAAUUAGAAAAAUACAUGGUUGUACAUCUAAAAAGCUGAUACAAAAUAAUCCCAUAAUGUCUGAACCUUCAAAUUGUAUCUUAAGGUAGGCAAAAGGGAAAAAAUAAAUCAUAGAUCAACAAUAUUCACAGCACUAGCUUGGCUACACUAAGCAAAAAUUUGACCUGCUGCUGAAAUUCAAGUAUAUGAUGACCACCUUUCUCUAUUCAUUUUAACCAUUAUAUCUUUAAAGUUACACAAAUUUUAGGAGAAAAUGCAUAUACAUCUCAAUGUGUAAUGUUGCAUUUGUAAUGAAGAUCAAAAUUUUGAAAACGCAACAAUCAGAAUAACAAGGAAAACAACAAAAGGAGAACCCAACAUCUGGUAUUGACAAAGGAAAGAUGGUGUGAUGGCCACUUUUACCCUUAAAUACAAAAACAAAAUCAAUAACUUGUAUUUCCAGUAUUAGAGAUGAUUCUUUUCGGUCUGGUUCAUAAUUCAAUUUAAAAGAAGAGUAGGCAAAAUACUCCUGUUUAUCCUCUAUCUUUAUUUGUUAUUUUUUUCAACUUAUACAUUUGUCUUGUAUUAUGAAUUGAACCUAAAGCCAUUCAAGGCACUUGACAUGGUGCCCAUAAAAAAAAGACAUGGUGCAUUAGCACCCCAUCUAAGUCCUACUAAAACCAAUAAAAUUCUCAACAUUGAACAAAACAGAGAAGAAAAGUCACAUACACUUUAAACUUUAUAUACAUUGAAAGGUUUAAAAGAAGAAAAGAAAACCAAAACAAACCAAGAAAGGGACAACAUAAUGGCACAUUUUACACAUAUUGAUUUGUACUUCACAUUUUAACUAUGCAGGUGUACAAUGACUUAAUGCAGCUUCUAGAUCCUAUAAAUAACUAUGAUGGAGAAUGGAUCCUAUUUUUCUUGCCACAAAUAUCUCUUAUAAUUAUUCACAUGCCAGUUUUGAGUCAAAGCUAGUCAAGCAUAUGGCAAAAGCCUGAAAUGCAGAGAGAGGGUACCGAUAGUCCAUUGUAAACAUAUCCUUGCCGACCCUGCCAAACUGAAGAAUAAUCUUGUCAUGGUCAGACUGUGUUGUUGGCUGAGAUAGUGUAGAACCUGUUCCCGAAGUAGCACUAGAUGUUGCAGAGAUCAGCUGAAAAUUCUUGACAGAGGCGAUGUUAACUCUUCCCCUGAAGUUGAGGCACCAACACUGCAGUUGUUCAUGCCAUCUAGGUGACUUGUUCUUAAGAACUAGGGGUCUCACCUUUCCCUCUUUCUCUUCUUUGCCAGCUCCGAUAAUAUCCGAGAACCUAGCGCUGCUAAACUCGGUUGAAGUGUCGAAUGAUUUUGACAAGGAUAUACUCCCGAAAGAAUCGCCGAGGGUGCGGGGAAGGAGUUCUGGCUUGCCGGGGACAGUGCCACCAGGCUCAAGGGAUGAUGCAGGGAUUGAGUGCAUGGUGCAGUUCAUUCUUCGCGGGCCUCUAGUACCGAGGACAUUCAACUCAUAGGUGACCUGGGCUAUAUUGUAGCUGCCACUAGGGACCUUUGGAGAAACCUUUUUCGAAUAAAACCUACUCCUUCGGCCUGGUGGAGAAAGCUGAGCAUAGUUAUAGGGAGGCUGUGUAUCACUCAUUAUAAAUUUGGUACCGAGAAAAUUUGACCUGAAACAAUAGGUAGAUAACAUAAUAGUAUAAGUCAGUGCAGGAAGGUAGAGAAAUAAAAUUUUCUAGCACUCAAAUUUUUGGAAGAUGGUACAAAAUUAUGCAUGACCUUUGAUCUUUUCCAAGUCAUUCAAAACAGAACUUCUAAAUAUAAACAAUGAUUAAUAGCGCUAAAUGGAUUCAUGCAGCCAAAAAAUAGUGUACCCAAAAAGCUAUACCUCAGUUUUCCAUUGUAAGUGCUAAUAGAUCUAGAUAUGUUAUCUGCAUCCAUUGAUAAGAUAUACUCUGUGCAAGUCGUGCGUCUUGUCCGUUUUGCGGAGAGAAGAAACUUCCCAUUUUCAACAAGCAAGGCUGCAAGAACACAAUUAUGAGUUCAGAACAAGUGCUGCUAACAAGCAGCAAAAACUAUACACCUACUCAGAAACUAUGGUCAUAACAAAGUUUAAAUGGAUGAUAUGACCACAGCAAGAAGUGGCAUCAACAUCCAAUCCUUGAGCAGCUUCUUAACCGGUAGUUAUAAUCAUGAACUUCAAUAUUAACAUCCGAAACUCAAAAGUGGACCAGAGCAAACAAUUUGGCCAUAUUAACAACAACGGUCUCGUACCUAAUUUGGACAAACAAGAGCUUACUUUCAAUGAAAACUUAAUUUGGGGAAUUACAGUACUGUCGCAUGGAAGCUUUCAAUAAAAUCUAAUUUAUUGUGGCACCAAAAAUAAAUGAAGAUCAUAUACAAUUUAGAAGAAUCGAAAAUCAAGGAAACAACAACCAAGCCUUUAUCACACUAGGUGAGGUCGACUACAUGGAUCGAACAACGUCAUAAUGUUCUAUCAUAAAUAAGGAAACAUAUAUAAAUUCUACAUUGAAAAAUCAACUCAGCUUGGAAUGAUAAGGAAUAAAAUAAAUGCAUAAGUUAGACGCCAUGUGUCAAUAGUAAUAAAAAUUCAAAUAAACCACAAAAGAUAAUAAGAUAAAAUCAUAUGCAUUGGGUGUGAACAAAAGAAAGUAAAGUUUACCAGGACUAAGGCAAAGGAAGAGGUGAUAUGUCAUCUUAGACUUGUCUCUCUUGAUGAAGCACUGGAUGGGUCCAUCCCUAUACCCAGGCUGAAAAAACCAUCAAAGAAACAUUAAAGUGCAACAUAAGACCAUGUUUCCAAUUUUAUAUCACUAUAUAAAUGAAGCAUUUAUUUCAAAAUAUAUUUUAGAUGCAGCAGAAUAGAAGUACGAGAUUAUCUCACCUGCUUCAGGGAAAUCGGGAAAGUAAUCUUCCCACAGAAUUCGGGACUAUUGACAAUUUCUUUGCACAUAUCUCUCCACGACUUGCACACAGCCGCACAUGCAACAACGUUCCUACGGCCAGGCCAGGUUCUCUCACUUGCUUCCAGUCUCUUAAUAACAUCACGAAGAAGCUCGGGUGGAAGGCUAGCCCAUCGACUAUUCUGUAUAACUGGAGUUUGUUCCUGCAACUCGUGUACUGAAUUGCGCGACUUUCCCCUAUUAUGGCCUGGAAGCCUAACUUCAAAACUCCGCCUUGAUAAGCUUCCAAAUCCAUCCCUUACAUCACGAACUAUACUGCGGAACGACAUUUGUUCCAGCACACUGACAGCCCAAGAGCUCAAUAUCUCAUCAAAUCCACUAAAAAGAUAAAUAUUACACUCUUACUAAGAAGAUGUCACAACUUUCAAGUCUUAGGAGUGUGAAGAGCUGCAAAUGAACCAAACUUUAUUUUAAACUCCAUCAAUUCUUAGUGGUCAAGAAAUGAAAGAGAAUAAAACAAAUAGAGUAAAGCACAAAGUGAACAAAAUUUGGAAGAAAAAAACAAAAUAAAAGUGAGAUUCUCACAAAAGAAAGCCCCACAUGGAGCUAAAAGCUAAAGGAACAUACAAUUCAAGAUUUUUGCCAUAAACAAUGUUUUGGUGUGUUUCCAACCUGAUCAUGAAUCUAAGUUCCUAUAGGAGCAAUAAACCAAAAAAUCAAAAUAAAUUACUAACCAAAGGACUACACUUGCAUCACAAAGAUAAAUAAAUAAAUAAAUAAAUAAAUAAAAACAAAGAGAGCAAAUACAAAACAUGUAUUUUGUUUUGGUACUACAAGGGUAUCCUCUCACUUUUUUGGGAACUAAUUCCUUCCGGGCUCAUGGCUGCCCCUCCCAACAAGUAGAGCUCACAAGAAUCGAACUCUUAACUUUUGGGAUCCAGUGAAGCCUUUUACUACUAGACGAACGUCUUGUUGUUGGUAUGUAUUUUGUUAUAUGUAUUACAUAUAUAUGUGAUUGUACAAGGGAAUCUAAUUGCCCUAUUUUUAGUUCAAGUUGCUCUCUUUCCUUUAUUUUUGUUGUGGAAGCUACAAGGUAAGAAUCAAAUGAUAUGAAAUGCAUCUAAUACACAGACACAUGAGAACACAAGCAGAAAAGAAAACAAUAAAAGUGAAGGUGAGAGAGAACAAACCUAAAACAAUACCAAACUUGAGAGUGAUAAAUAAGGAUCCCUUCUCCAAAACACUGAAAUCAUGGAACAUAAGAGAUCUGUAAAAAUCACACACAAUAAAUAUAUCAGAGAACUCCACUAAAACCCUUAAAACUAAAAAAAUAAUAACACAGAAAAUAAUUCGAAAAGUAGUAAUAGGGCAAAAAAAUUGACAAUUCAAAAAAGAGAGUUGAAAAAUACAAAAGUUGAAUAAAGGUGCAUUGAAAGAAAGAAGGUGAGGAAGAUAAAUUAGAUGAAGAAGUAGGUGAUUUUUAAUCAUCUGUCACGAUAACAAUUAUUGGCUAUCAAAUAAAAUAAAAGUAAUACAAAUUAAUUGAUAUAAAAGCUAUUUCUCUCACUAACUAUUUCUUUCAUUUUCAAUUACCCAGUAAGCAGAGUAAUUAAGCAUGCAAUAUGAUAUCAUCACAAAUAUUGAAGUUUAUAACAAAAAUUACAAUAACUAUAUGUGUAGUGAUAUAUGAUUCGAUAAUGAUGUAUAAUAAAUUGAGCUAAUGAUACAUAAAAUAAAACUCCACAGCAUUGUGAUGCAUAGUGGUUGUCUCAUUCUCACUAUCAACAAUGAACAGGUUGAUUCAAUAGUACAUAUAUUUUAUAUUGUGCUAUAUAAUAUAAUAUAGUACUUAUCAUAUAUGAGUUUUAUAUUGUACUAGUUUAUGUUGUUUUUUUCUCAAUAUAAUAUUGUGCCUCAUUUGUGGAUAAGAAUUACUUUUUGAAGUUCAAUUUGAGUAUGACUUUGUUAUACUUCAUAUUGCAGAUUUAUGGUGUUGACAAGUAAAAAUGAGAGAACACUGCAACUUGCAUAAUGGUAUUGUUCCAUUUUCUUAUGUGGCUAUUAGAAAGCAACACAUUAUCUUUUCAUUGUUGUCUACACAAAUUAGUAUUAAAAGUCAUAUAUAGUUAAAAUGCAAUAGUAGACUAAUGAUAGGAUAGUAUUAUGAAAUUUGUUAUGAUGUUCAUUAAUCAUACAAAAAGAAAAAAAAAAUAGGAUAGUAUAUGCUAUUGGAAAUUGUAUAUAAUGAUUUCCUUAAACAAGAUCUCAUGUUCGAGUUUUGUGGAUAGAAAAAAUACUAGUAGGAGAGUUAGCUUCACAUACUUAUAGAUGUUUUUAGCUCAGGAUUGCCUCUAAUGCGAGGAUAUAUAUGAGAAACAAAAAAAAGUAUGGAAAAACCCAAAAACAGUGUGUAUGACCAUUCCUGUAGAGUUGGCCCAUUUUUAUUUGGGCCUCAUUCGUUAUAUACUAACUCAUUCCUGCUGAGUUUUUCAAUGGAUAUGUUUACAUUGGAUAUUGCUCAUAGUUGCUAAUAACAUCUUUGAAUUGGUUCUAGUUCACAGAAUUGAUUAUGGAUGAACCAAAAAGUGAUCUUUUUACUUCUCUAACCUUUAUUUUGAGAUUUUACCAAGAAACAUUUACCUGAAUCAAAUUUAUUGUACAUGUAUGUACCAAAAAAGUAAAUAAUUGUAUAUGCACAUAUACAUCACUCGAGUUAAUAUUUAUCCAAAUGAAUAAAAAGUGUCAAUUUCUCUUCUACCAAAUUAUAAAACUAAGCAUAAAUUAAGGCAUUAAAUUCCGUAUCUUUGUAAGUAAAUAAAUGUGUGAGGUGUGCUUGGCAGAGGCCUGCUAACUCAUGCAGUUGAAAACUACUUCUUCUAGUAGACGUGCAUUUUUACUUUAUACUUACUAGGGUGUCGACCAACACUUUGUAUCAAUCGACUCACAUUAUUUUUAUUUUAAUAUAGAGUGUAUUAUAUUCAUCUUAUAUCAUUUAAUAUAGGAAAUGCAAUAUAUAAAUUUAAUAGAUAGAGAAGAUUUAAGAAGAUAAUUUAUGAUAGUUGAUAUGAUAUACACAAAUUUUUUGCCAAAUUCUCAUUUUAUGUCUCUAAUAAUCAUUACAGAAUUGUUGGAGGUUUUUUAUGUGUUAUUGUAUGUUCUUCUCGGGUUGAGAAAGAGAAGAGGAUAUAGAAAUAAGGGAAUACGUAGAAGAGUAAUGAUGUAUUUAUAUAAAAAUGAAAGCAACGUGUGAAAGUUUAUACUAAUUAUUAAUGAAAUAAAUUAUAAAAACAAUAAGUUUGGAAUAUAAAAAUUAUGUGAUGAUUGUUACUUUUAUUUAUAUAUAUAUAUCAUAAGAUACAUCAUCACCACACACUAUCUAUCAUAGGCUCAUCAUGGGUAUGGGUCCUAACUAUGGCAUACCCUUUGUUUUGCUUCAAAUAGCAAGCAAGUAGUAAUAUGGUCCCUUUAAAAGCUUUUAAUUGUUCGACAUUGCCUUUGAUCUACGACAAUAACCCAUUUCUAUUAGCUUAUAAUGCGAUCUUUCAUGCGAUUUAUGUGAAUGGAAGAAAAUAGCAACAUGCAUUUGAGGUAAUGGAAACACUAUCUAGAAAAAGCAAAGACAUAUAAGUAGCAUAAUUAAAUCUUGUAACUAGUUGUGUGUAUAAUUAAUAUGCAUCUGCAUAAGCGUGCUAUUGAAGGUACAAAAUAAAUGAUGUAGGACUUGUAUUGGUGAAAAUUACAAGGUAGACAUCUACAUGAGCAUAUACACAUGUUUAUGGCAGUUGGUAGGUGCAAAAGAGACGCAUGUGCACCAUAUAAAUAAUAAUGGCUAAUUUUCAGCUCACGUUUAUUUGUUUAUUUAUUUAUUUAAGAUGGUCUAUCGAAUUGUUGGGAAAUUCAGAACCAAAUUCUCUCCUCUGUGUGAUAUAAAAUGGACACUUGCAGAAGCAGCAAGUGGAUAAAGAAAAUAGAGAAUAAUAGAAGAAUAACACCAAGAAUUUUAACGUUGAAAAACCUCCUCAAAGUGAGAAGGAAACAACCACAAGACCUAGUCUAGAAAAUAUCUCCACUAUAGAAAGUAGGAUUACAAUAUUUGACUUUCUCUUACAAAGAAGAUAAUACUCAAUUUUACCUAAAAAAGAUGGAAAUACAAACUCUCUAGUAUCUCACUAGGAAUACAAAUCUCACACUAUGUUGAUAUAAACUCUCUCACUUUCUCUCUAUGUUGUUUUUUCACUUACUUGUUGUAUAUUCGUCAGAAGUCCCUUAUAUAUAUAGUGAAGGAGAGGAAAGCUCCAUCAUAAAGACAUAGUGGAGAAUUAAUUGAUGUCAUAUUUUUCAAGACACUUUGAAAAGGUGUUACUCCAACUUUCUAAGUUAGACUUCAUAAUCUGAAGACUCAAUGAGUAAUUCCAAGACCUUGGAAUAGCCAUCAUUGAAUUAUUCAAUGGUUCAUAUACCAAGAUUCAUUGGUAUUACUUUCACAUCAAUUUGGAAGGAUUCCCAACAGGAAUCAAUAAGACUUCUAAAAGUGAGUUGUAAUACUCAUAAGGAAUAUGAACUUAAUUAGUGGAUUCCAAACGGUUGACAAGUAGGAAAUAAUGGGAACCCUAUAAGGAACGGUUAUGAUCCCCAAAACAUCAAAUCAUACGUAGUUUUUAUCUCUCCCCGUCAGAGAGAAAACGGAGGUCCCAAAAACAAUUAAGGAUUUGGUUGAGAAAUAUCAUUGUACCAAAACUCUCUCAAAAGGUAUAUCAAAUGAGUAGACCAAAGAACAUGAAUUUAGGUAUGACUUUAUAUCGUUGUUUCAUAUUAUAUGUAAGAAUCAUGAGAUUCAAUAUUCUAGAAUUUGUAUUUUAUCAAUCAUCAGAAAAUAUCUAACCUAAUACAUUUCUCGAAAUUGUGCUUUAUAUAUUUACCAAAAUAUUGUGGCACUAUUUAACUUUUUUCAUUGGCUGGUUUCAUCUCUCCUUCUUUUUAAAUGAUAAAAGCACUUUUAAGCUAAUUCAAGUUUGUGGGCAACCUUAAAAGUUAAAGUACACAUCCCUUACAUUAACCUAAUGUAUUUAGGAGAAAACAAUUCUCUUAGGUACUAUAAUUAAGAUUCCAACAAAAGAUCGCACACCUCCUACUAAAUCUUAGGACUAUUCUCCCAACUAUAUUGAUAUGUUUAUACCAUACUCAACUUUUUUAAGACCUGGAAAUUUAACUUUUUUUCUUCUUCUUUUUUCUAUCUCGCAACUUUAACUUUGUAAUUAUUGAUAGCUAUGUGAUCAUAACUGAGUGUAUUAAUUAAUCCAUGCCAAUAUCUGUCAAUGUUUAAAGGUAUUUAUAAUAUGAGAAAAAUAUUAUAUGCUCAUUACUUUUCGAAAAAAGUAAUCAAAAUAAAUAUUGGAUAUUGUACUGACUUAGAUUGUUGACUUUGUAUACAUCUUUACACUGUCAGUGUAUAUAAUGAGUUAUUUGUAUUGUAUAAAUAUAAAAUAUAAAUGCAUUUCUACAUCCUACAUCAGACAAUGCCUUGCGUCCGAAGCGAGCAAUAAAAAAAAUCGGGUUGUUUGUUGAGAUUAUUUAUCUCUAAAGUCACCUGUUUUUUUAAAAUAAUUACUUAAAAGACAACAUAAAAUUGUAUCAGAUUAUUUUAACCUUCAGUAUCUCAAAAUAAUCAAUUAUUAGUUGGUGUAUGGAUCAAUAUUCUUGUAUUGAAAGUUGCGGAUAUUGUUUUUUUUUUUGUUGUUUGGAUUAAUACCUUUGUGCUAUCUUAAUACAAUUUCUUUAUCUUUGUACAGCAAAAAAACUUUUAUAAAAAGUCAAUCAGUUUUGUAUGGAAUCCUAAAAUCACUUAAUUUAGAAUAUUAAAGUAAGAGAAAAAUGUACGUGCUUAUAGUGUAUGAAUUUUAUACACUUUCAGUGCAUUCUACCAUUAAUAUUUAAGUAUUAUUGACUUUUUCAAAAUAAAAGAAAUAUUCUAAAUGAAUGAUAAAUGAUAAAGUGUACCUGUAAUCAUUGAAUGAUGGGCGGCAGUCUAUAAUAUUUUAAUAUAAGGGUGACGUUUUAAAUUACUUCACGCUGAAAGUCAUCUUAAAUAACUAUAUCCACAAGCAUAACUUAGCAUCCAAGAAAAAAAUUACAAUUUAAUUUUAAUAAAUUAUCUAUCAUUUGUAAAUUAUUGAUUUUAACUUUUAAAUAAAAAUAGUUUAUCUUAACGAUAAAUAUAUAAUAUUAUGAAAUGGUAAAAAUCUCUACCUUAUACAUUUUUAAACUUUCCUAUAUAACCUUGUAUAGUACAAAUCAAAUUAUAGUUUAAUAUAUAUGUAUAUAAUGUGAAUGUAAAUUUUUUACACUUUCAAGUACAUUAUUAGUAGUUCAUAUAUGUUAAUUUUAUUUAAGUUAGAUUUAAUGAUAAUUAACAUAAAAGUAAUGUAAAUUAACAAUGAAUGAUAUUAUGAUUGUGUAUAAAUUUUUAUAUUAUUUAAUUGUUAUCUCUCAGUAAUACAUGUCGACCACAAUAUGUGAAUCAAUCAUUUCAGGAAAUUGAGAAAGAAUAAUUGAAGAAGGGAACAAAAAGAGAAGUGGGUGAUUGAGUUUGGAUGGUGGGGUGUUGAGUAAGAACCAUAAAAACUUUAGGGUUAAAAACCACAUGCAAGAUAUAAUUUGAAAGGAGCAUUAACAUGCAUGCCUCCACUUAUGUCUAUAUGUAAAACAUAUGUUUUGGAUCAGACUGUGACCGAGGAGUUUCAUUGUUACAUGGGUAUGAGAAAAGUGAAGAGUUAUAAGUGAAAGACCACAUCUUGAACCAAAACGUAAGACAUUAGUUCAUGAGCAUUUCCUUCUUAUAAACUCUCUCACUCUUCUCUGCAUAUCCAAUGUGAAACUUCACACUUGAAUAAACCCAACAAUCUCCCCUCAAUUUGAGUGUCAGCAAUUCACAUUAAUUAGGAGGCAGAGGGGAGAUUAUUUUUCAUUUAGUUAGAAGAAGUUGUUGAUUAUAAAGAAUGUUUUUAAGGGAUAACAAUAACUCUAUUUGAUAUAAAACAUAAAAAAAUAAUAUACGGAAUUUGAAUUCUUAAAGGAGAUUCUACAUCAACAAACAGACUCAGACGCCUCUGUAAAGUAUAGGUCUAUUCCUUAUCAAUUGAACUAAACUAACAAUUAUUAUCUAAUGUAAAUUUUAUUCUAGGAACUUUUAUGUGUUUUCAAAUAAGUUUUUACUUCAAUAAUAACUAGAAACUCAAACUCAUAGUCUAACCACUGGACCAUUUAUAACUCUCAUAUGUUAACGUUUUGUUUUAAUUAAUUCUUCGUUUUGGCUUGCACAUAAACUUUAGUAGAUUCUUUGUCAUCAAUUAAUACAUAUGCAUGCACAUUACACUAGCAUGCAUGAUUAAUACAAGGAUGCUUUAUUGGGUAAUAAAACAAGAAAGAUAAAAGGAUUGGGCAAAACUAAUAAGAAUCGAUUGAUCCAAAAUUGUAUUCUCAAUUAUGUCUCAUUUAGAUUCUAAUAUUUAUUAAAAAUAUUAAGAUUUGCGAAACAAAAUUUAAAUUGCAUAUUAUUUUAGAUUAUAUAUUAAAAUCUGAUUAGAUGUGAUAAGAUUGAGGACACAAUUUGAAAACAUCUUAUCUCUAUUAGGAUGCCCCAGGUUAGGGCAAGGUAUUAUUCCGUUUCAGUAUUUACAGCACACGCAAGAGGAGUAACAAUACGAAGGGGAAAAACAAAUAACAUUUAAUAAAAAUAAAAUCAACCUAACAUAUUAUUACCAAAAGUAAAAUAAUAUCCAGCUAACAUAUUUACACAUAGACAAAAUGCAAAUAAACAAAGGAAAUGAGACUCUUCCUGACUACAAAUUCUAUAACAAUAUAAUUAAUUAUACACAUAGAUAAUAUUAACAUGUUGUGACCUUAUAUCAUUCAACAUUAAUAAGUGAAAAACAAUAUUACUCUCUUGUAGCGAAUCCUUUCAUAUCAUAAACUCAAAGAAAACUAUUAAAAAAUAAACAAGAUAGAAAAUACACCAAUGGUGAUAAAAUACACUUAUAAAUGAUGAGUUAUUUGGGUCCACUCUCUUGCAUUAUGUUUAUGUCUUAGCUUGAUACAUGUGUUAUCCCAAUCAAUAAUUGAAUUCUAAUCAUAUAUAUUUUUUGUUGUGUGUGUAUAUAUACAUAAUAGUUGUAAUAAAGUCAAUUUGAGCCAUAUCAUCGUGGUUUUAUUUGUCAAUUUUAUGCAAAUUAACUAAUAGUUACUUAGAAGUUCAAGGUAAAGUUGUACUGAAUUACUUUACCAAAAAAUAUGUAAUUAUUUAAGUUAAGAAAAAGAAAUACACUAAAAAUAGUAAAUAAGAAAAAGAACCAUUCAAAGUUGUCUGCUUUGAGUUUUUCUCACUUUUAAUGUCCAUUCUCUGAAGCUAACAUUUAAAUAGACAAGAGGCACUCAUCUCUAGUUGAGUUAAAAUCAAGAGUUUAAUUAUUAUUCUGAUUAAACUUUAUAUAUACGUGCCUUUACUAGUUCUAGAAAGGUGAGGAGGAAGUUACGUGGUUCAAGGGGAAAUUAAACUAGCAUGAUUAAACUUUGGGGGGCUUAAUUUUAAUUAUAUAUAAAUGAUGGUCAACGAAAUUGGUGAUGAAUUACAUACUUUUCAAAAAUUCAUAUUAGUUAUCCAUCAGAUUGUAAUUGUAAUUUUUUAUUUAAAUAUCAUUAUUUACACAAAGAUAUCAACGUUUAUAUAAUUUUUCUAAAUAAAAUAUUUACAAAAAUGAUAUUUUAUUUAAUAAAUAAAUAUGAAAAUGUAUAUUCAUUUUUGUUUAUUAAAGGAUCCCGUGCAAUGCAAUGAUUACUAUAAAGAACCCGUGCAUAUGCAAUGUUUACUACAAAGAACCCGUGCAUAUGCAAUGUCUUCUAUAAAAUGUGUUUACGAACGUAUAUUAGAAAAACUCAAUUAUGUUGGUUGUAUAUAUAGAUAAUUUAGGGUGUUAAUAUUUGAUCUUUUAAAAAGUAAUAAUUUCAUAAACUAAUUGUACGGUUUACAAUUUUACCCCGCAUCAUAUUUAUUUAUGAAUAUAUGAAUUUUUAAAGAGAUUUGUUAACUAAUGUCCUAAAGAUAUUGUUUAUGGAAUACAAAAGAAGAAAAUCAAUAUUGGGGAACCAAGUGCAACACUUCUUUAGAGUGAAACAUCAUUUUUCAAUGUAAGUUUUGUCUUUUUUUUAAUUAAACUAUAUUAUUAGGACAUACACUUAUUAACAUUCUCAUUAUAUUAAUGAUUUCAAUUAGAGUAAAGGCCAAAGUACUAAUAGGUGGUUGAUGUAAGUGAUAAAUGUUUGAUUUUCCUCCAACAAGGUUUAGGUUUGAGUCUUAUAUAUGUAAAAAAACUAAUCUUACCAUAUUUAAAGGUUAUUGGCUCAAACAAAAUUGCUUCUAAAGGAUAGAUGUAUUCUAUACAAAAAGGAAAAAAAUAGUAAAGUUAGUGAUCCCUAAAAAAUAAAAAAAGUCUUAAUUUAGCAGUUAAAAAUAUCAAAUUUUGUCAAAUUAAUCAUAGGGCAAACUUUUUAGAAUUUGGAAGCUUUUAUCAUUACACAACUCAAUCAACUAAAUUAGCCUGUAAGAGAUUAAUUGCAAGUUGAAUUUUGAAAGGGAAUAAAAAGAAAUGAAAAACUUUAGAGUUAUCGAUCUUUUAAUUAAGUGUAUAUCAUAGUUUUCAAGUUUUUUCUUCCUUUUGUUAUCCUCUAAGAACCAAUUUAUAAACGAACCCUAAGUAUAAUUUAUAUUAAUGUUGUUUAUAAUUAAAAGACCAAAGAAACAUUUAAAUAUCAGGCCAUGCAAUUUUCUUCUGAGGUAAAAGCCGAAUAAAAUGAUAUGAGUUAUCUUAAAGUGCACCACGUUGAAGCACGUUGUGGGGUCAAUACAAGUUAAUGGAACUAUUGGAUCCAAAAACUCCAAGAUAUGGAAAAUACAGCUAACAUAAUGUUAUUGAACAUUAUUAGUCACAUUGAGAAAGAAUACGGAAUAAUGGAGUCAAUAACUCUAUAUCACAAGUCACAUAUUCUCUGGGAAGUCUUCUCAUGAUGCAUGCACACCAUUGUAAAUGGUCCCUAUAAAAAAAUUAAUAAUUGGUCAAAAAUGUAGAGUUAGAAAGAUUUGUAGCCAUCAAAAAAUUCAUUCUAUUUAUUAUGUUAGGUCGAAGCUAACAGAAAUUGUCACCGGUUACUUCCAUUCAUAAAUGGUCUUUGCCUUCACAAAGUGGCUAACAUCCAUCUAAUAAAGAUUAAUUAAUUCUUUUUUGGUAUUAUCAUCACUUUUUUUGAUAAGGAAUUAAUCACUUUCGGUAGUUGAUCUUCCUAACAAGUGUCGCACUAAGGAAUCGAACUAUUAAUCUUUUCCUCGUCCCAGAGAUCUGGUGGGAUUUUAUAUUACUAUAUCAACAUCUUGUUGCUAAUGAAUAAUUAAUUCAUCUCACAUAUAAAAAACUAAGAUAUAAAUAUUCAUCAUUAUCAACUAAAUAUUGAAAAAUUAAUAUUUUUGUUAACUAACUUGAAACUCUUUUAUAAGUUUAGUAGCGUAAAGUCUUACUAAAUCCUUAAGAUAAUCAAAAGGUUAAAGAUUUGAUUUAUGUGAUCGUGAACGAUACUUGGUAACUUCAAGUUUGCCAAACUAUGGUGUUCUAACUUUCUACUAGGAAGCCUGCCACGUGCUUAUGAUGACUUAGAUUUUGCUCAAGUUAUUACCAAGGGUUAAGGGAUAUGAACGUGUAAAAAAAUUAUAUUUGCAUUUAUUUUCUUCAUGUUUUGAUAUGUGAGAUUUUAUUUCAAAAAUUGCAAGAGAAAAAGCAUUGACCGGUUAAAAUAUUAUUGAAUUUCAACGUACAAUUUUUACACUUAAAUCUAUAUAUUAUUACAAGUAAUAGUAGAAAGUAACGUGUAAACGUCAAGGAAUUGGAAUCUACAAUUUUCCAAACAUAUAUAUUUGGAGAGAAAAAAUUAAGAUGGAACAAAAUUAGACGUGGCAUUUUAUAUGCAUGUUACAUGCCACACGGUAAAAAUGUAUUUUCUUUUAAAUUAUCAAUCAAGUUUAGAGAAAAAAUGUAUGAAUAUGUAUAUUUAGAUAUAAGUAUAUUUAUGUUUUUAUGCUUUAUUUAUAAUUAAAUUUUAAUUAUAGUUAAAAUUUUCAUAUAUUGUUAAUAUUGUACUAGUAAGCAUUAUAUAAAUACGUUUUCACAUAAGUCUUCCUCUUAAGUUUAAUGUAUUUUGGCAAAUCAAGCAACAUUGACACAUGUAGAUUAAGUGGAUUAGAUUUAAGUUUGUUAUUUCUUUUCUUGAAAAUUGGUGGAUUAAAUUGAUUUUUAGUCAAAACUUAAUAAUAAUAUAUGGGAAAAUAUUAAUCCUCCUACUAUUUCUUAUAAAAAAUUUAUUUUCCCAAUCGGGAAGUAGUGAUAAAUGUUAAACUUAUCAGAUAAAAUUCUCUCUAUUAGAGAGAAUGAAUUAUUCUUGAUUUUGUAUUUGCUUUUAAAAGUAAAAUUGUCAGUUUAUUAAAGAUAAAAUAAUAAAUAUAUCAUAACAUAUUGAUUUUGCAUUUUCCUCCCCUUGUCAUUGCUCAAAAUUAUCACCUCAUUGUUAAAGAAAUUGGACACGUGAGAGUUUGAUGAUUAAUGAAAGAGUAAAUUACAUUAAGAUUUUUUAUGUUUGAGUAAAAUUAACAAUUUGUUUCUCUCAAAUCUUUAUCUGUACCUAAACAAAUCUCUCAUAUUUAUAUACAUACAUUACAAUAACUAUCUACAUGAGAAAUAAGUGUAAUAUUUAAAAUAAAUAAAAAAGGUGAUGAGUAUAAUAAAGUUAAACAUAACAUGAUAUAUUGUAUAGACAAGUCCAAAUAUUAUAAGAAUCAAUAUAUUUUUAUUGUUAUGAGUUCAUUAUAAAAUGCAUAAAUAAUUCUAAAGAUAUAUUGUUGUAAGUCACUCUUACACUAUAUUGUAACGAACCGAAAAUAAUAAAUAUGUAUUGAUUCUUAUACUAUUUGCACUUAUCUCCACAGUAUACAACAUUUUGUUUAACUUAAUUACACUUAUUAUUAGUUUGUUUAAAAUAUUACACUUAUCUUUCUUGGAGAUAUGUAACGAGUAUAAUGCAUAUAUAAAUUAGGGAGAUUUCGUGUAGGUGUAAGAAAUGAAGGAAUAAUUUGUAUAAUUUUACUAAAACUUAGAUAAUAUUAUUAUAAUUUACUGACAAUUUGAUAAUUUCUAAUGACCUCUUUACUAUUGAAAUCCAAAAGCAUCCAAUAAACAAAGGUGAUCUAUAAAAAUGGGCAAACUUAUUAUCUCCUUUAGGGAUGAGACAAAAGCUCCUCUAUGAGUAUCACCAAAAAUAGUUUAUGAGUACGAAUAUAUAUUAUGGUAUUUGUCCUCUCAAUACCAAAAUAUUCAUAAAUAUUAUACUUUUUAUUAUUUUAUAUUAUAUAUUAUUUAUUUUAUAAUAACUUUAGUGAUGUAAAGUAAUGAUAAAUUUGUUAUGUACAUAAUUUUAUUUUUGUUGUAAUAAUUAUUGAUUAUUAUAAAAUAUAUAAACAUAUACUUAAACUACUCACACUAAUACUAAUAAAUAGUACGAAUAUUGGCACGGAAAAACUUUACCUACAUCCACCCUUGUCAUCCCACUAAUACACAUCUUCUAAAAAUUCUAAAGAAACAUGUAUCCACCAAAUAAAUAGUUUAAUAUUUGUACAUUAACAUUGUAAAAUAUUAUUUUAUAUUUUAGUCUAUCAUAAUCAAAUUUUCAUAUAUUAGUUUUUAGUAUCUCUAAAAUAAAAGUAAGUUAACAUUUAUGUAUUUUUGUGUAAAAAUUUAUAUAUAGUCGAAACAUAUUCUACCAUUUAUUUGUAUUAAUUUUUAUGAAGAAUCAAUAAUAAUUAAAUAUAAAUGAUAGAUGAUACAGUAAAAAUAUAUAAAAUUUAUACACUGUUAAUACAUACAUUUUAUCUAAAAGUAAUACGUGUGAAUGAUAUAUUUUAUAUAAUGUAAAAAACUUUGUAGGAUAUAUAGAUUAAGGUCUCUAUUAAUAAUUUAUUAUUAUUUUUUCCUUUUUUUUAAUUAUAUUUCCCUAUCAUUAUUUUCCCUUUAACUUUAUAUGUUUAUAAAUUAUCCCUAAGCUUUUCUUUUCCUUUUUUGACGCACUUACGUAUGGCACACAUAAGAGAACCCAAAGUGACCCUUCUCUGUCUUUCUUUUCCAAUCCAACAUUACAAAAAACAUACAAGUGAAGAUUCCAUACCCCUAAUCAUAAAUAUUAAAAUAAUAAACAUCAACAAUUAAUAAUACAUAUCCAGAUAGAAAAAGUUAACCCAGCUUAAAUAAAGCAUAAUUUUCCAAUUUUAUAUCAUGAAAUUGACAGAGAAGUCCCACCUAAAAAUAAACAAAUAUAAUUAUUCACCUCAACCCAAAGCAUCUUAUUUCCAUGAGCAUAUAAUAAAAACCCUUAGAGUUAUACUAUUCCACUUGUUUUCAUAUAUAUUCCAUAUUUCUCAUCAAGGUGUAAUUGCUAUUAGGGAGUGAGUAGGGAACAUAUAUUUUAUCCUCGAUGCAGCUGGGUGACCCAACUGUGUUGGAGACUUCCUCCGGCGAGGCCGUGGCGGAGAAUGACGGAGGCAGCGAGCAGAAGGGAAUAAUAAGAAAUGAUAGUGGUGGUGAUGGUCAUGGAGAUGAGAGUCAUGAGAAGAUGAACGGUGGAGGAAACCGGUGGCCCCGCCAACAAACAUUGGCUUUAUUGAAGAUAAGGUCGGAUAUGGAUGCUGUGUUUCGUGAUUCAAGUCUUAAGGGUCCACUUUGGGAAGAUGUUUCAAGGUACUAUAUUAUAUAUAUAUAUAUAUAUAUAUAUACAACAGUUUCUUCAUCUUUGUCUAUGCCGUUUUCUUUAUGGCUUUCAACAAACUAUGCUCGAAACCAACUAGCUUAAGAUCAUGUAUGAAGAGCUAUUAAUUCGUUUUCAUUUUCCAAACUCAAGAAUAAAUUAGCUGUGGUGGCAGAUCUUGUUCAAAUCUGAGAUAGCAAUUCAUUGUUAUAUGAGUUAUGUACUAAUUAUUGACAUUACUGAUUAUCCAUUUAGUACCUACGAUUAAGGUGGUCGAUGGUGAGGAUGGAGGGUCAAAAAAUGAGUUAUAAAGAUAAUUUAAUAGUCAAGGUAAGAGAAUGAAUGAGGUUGAAAAUUCGAAUCUCACUCACGAUAAAUAAUAAUAUAUGUCGAUAAAAAAAUAAGAUUAAUGCUCAAUUGUUUUAUCAGUCUUGAGUUACAACGGACCCAUAGCUGAAGUCAAUCUUUCUAUAAGAAUUUGCUCAAAUUAUGUUUAGCUCUUUUUAGGUAAGAACUAACUUCAUAUUUUUAAUUUCAGUAAGAUGAGGCUAGUAUACUUUCUCUCUCUAAGAUUUUACCUUUGAUCUUUACAUGAAAACAGUAACUUUCUUUUUUAUAAUUUCUGAUAUUUUUAAUGGAUAAUAUAAAUUUUCUUUUUCUUCUCCCUCUCUCUUUCUCUCUCCCCUCUAUAUAUUUUAUGUUCAGGAAACUAGCAGAUCUUGGUUAUCACAGAAGCGCAAAGAAAUGCAAGGAGAAAUUUGAGAACGUGUACAAGUACAACAAGAGAACAAAAGAGAGCAGAAAUGCGAAAUCUGAAGGAAAAACAUACAGAUUCUUUGAUCAAUUACAAGCUCUUGAGAAACAAUUCAAUGUCUCUUCUUACCCACCAAAACCACAACCACAACCACAACUUACGUUGUCAAAAACAAACAACAACGUUUCCACUGAUACUAUUGCAUCUAUUCCUUUUAUUUCCACCACCACUGUUCCAUCCACAAACCCUAGCAAUGAUAAUAAUAAUAACAAGAACAAUGUUUCAUAUUCUUUGCCCAAUAUCACAAACCUUUUCUCUAACACAUCUUCAACAUCUUCUACGGCUUCGGAUGAAGACUUGGGAGAGAAGUACAGGAAGAAGAGGAAAUGGAAGGACUACUUUCGGAAGCUGACGAGGAAGGUCUUGGCCAAGCAAGAGGAAAUGCAGAAGAAGUUCUUGGAAGUGAUAGACACAAGGGAGAAGGAACAUGUGACACAACAAGACGCUUGGAGGAUUCAGAAAAUGGCAAGGAUCAAUAGAGAACAUGAACUUCUUGCUCAAGAAAGAAAAACUGCAGCAGCAAAAGAUGCUGCAAUUGUUGCAUUCUUGCAAAAGUUAUCUGGUGAGAAGAACCAUACAACUUCUGCAAAAAUAACACCAACACCAUCACUGUCAUUAUCACCUCUACCGUCACAUCCACCAGUAUUACAAGAAUUACGGCCACAGCCACAACAAAAACAUAUGCAUCAACUGCCAUUGAUGGUGAUUAACGACAACGUUGAAAUUCAGAAAAUGAAUAACGGUCAUAGUAAUGGUGGUCCAUUAAACUCUUCUUCAAGGUGGCCAAAGGCAGAAGUUCAAGCUUUGAUAAGGCUGAGGACUAGUCUCGAUGCUAAGUAUCAAGAAAAUGCACCAAAAGCUCCAUUAUGGGAGGAUAUCUCAGCUGGGAUGCAAAGGCUUGGGUACACUAGGAGUGCUAAGAGAUGCAAAGAGAAAUGGGAAAACAUCAACAAGUACUUCAAAAAGGUGAAGGAAAGUAGCAAGAAAAGACGGGAGGAUAGUAAAACAUGCCCCUAUUUUGAAGAGCUUGAAGCUCUAUACCAAGAAAAGAGCAAAACUCAGAACCCCUUUGGUGGUGUUGCUUUUGCAUUCAACAAUAUGAAGCCAAAUGAGAUGAUGGAGCCGUUGAUGGUGCAACCAGAACAACAAUGGAGGCCACCCUCUGAAACUGAGUUGAAUGAGAAUAAUGGAGAUAAAGAAAGAGAGAUGGAAGAUGCAGAAGAAGGAGAUAGCAUGGAAGAUGAUAAGGAUGAUGGUGAAGAAGAUGUAGAUAGCAUGGAAGAAGACAAAGAAGGAGAUAACGGUUAUGAGAUUGCUACAAAUAAAAUUUCUUCAGUGGACACAGUUGAAUGAGACAAGUAGGUUUGUGGAUAGAUACCUCAUGUCCUAAAUGAGCUCUCAUUCUAUGUUUCAAAUCAAUUAGAGUGCUUCAUUUUAUUAUUAUUUGUUUUUUUAAAUUUUGUUUAUUCACGUGUCAAUGUACCAUUGGAUUGAGAUGGGACAACGUUAAAACAAGUGAUCUUCAUCCAUAAGUUUGUGAGAGAUGGGAUCACCUGUCCACAACGGUACCCUUUUCCGUAUCCCAAACCAAUCAUAUAUUGAACGUGGGUAAAAGAAAAAUUUAAAAAUAAAAAAUAAUAAAAUAUAGCAAUUUGAUCGAUUUGAGAUAUGGAACAAAAACACAAUUUAGGGCAGGUAUAUCCUUCAGGUUCUUGAGUGGAUGGAUGGAGAAUUUUUUAUUAUUUUUUCAAUUAAUUUUCUUUUUUAUGCAUUUGGGAUUAUGAGAUGUCACUAAAGUUUGUGAUAGGCAAAUAGUAGUGUCAUUAAAGUGAUGGCCACAAACACACUGCACUAUAAAAUUGAAUUCUUUUAAUCAUGAAAAGGCAUACCCAUCUGGGAGUGCACAAGGUAACUAUGAUCUGACACAUUUUUCUGGGCCAGCUUAACAGAAAAUGAUUGGAGUUGUGGGUCACAUUUUCAGCCUCCAUGAACUGCAGGGAUCAAAGUUUAACAGUACAGAUAAUAGUUCACAUGGACCAGCUUAGGCUCAUAAAUUUAUGUUUAAAAUGUAAAUUAAGGAUGACAUAGAGAGAAGAGAUCCCAAAGGAUAAAUCUAAUAACAAAAUGUCAAUGCAAGUCUUUUAAUUUUUGGUUUAUUAAUUUUAUAAAGGGGUGGAAUCAAAACAUGUCCAAACAUUUUCCGUACCAAUCAAAAUAUUCAUGUCAGUUAAAAAAAUUAAAUAUUUAUUAUUAUUUUUCUAUUUUUACUUUAUUGUAAUUGAUUAAGGACAGACUUUAGCACAAGUAAGACUGUUCUCCAUUAAUGGAGAGAUAAAUUAUAUUUUGUAGUAUACUUUUAAGGUCAAAAUGGUAACUUCAAUAAAAAUUAAAGAUUACUGUUUUUUAUUUUUAGUAUAUUUUUUCAAAACUUAUCUCUCUAUCAAUGAAGAUGAGUCUAACUCCUCUGAUAUAAUGCUUUAGGAUAGAAGAUCUUUAUCCCAAUAUAGAUCAGAAAACCACUAUGCAGUAGUACUUUCAGUUUCCUUUAUACUACUUGCGUGUGAAUUAUUGUUGAAUGGUAGGAGCAACUUGUUAACUUUUGACCAUUGACUUUAUAACAUGAUGAUAGGAAUUAGUGCAUAUUACAUUUGGGAUUAGUGUCCUUUCAAGGCAAACUUGUACAAGUUACAUUACUUUAUGGCUUAUAAUACAAAUAAAAAAAUGGUUCACUUCUCCAUUAAUAUUAUAAUGACUUUUAUAUAAUUAUAUAUAACAUAUAUACAUAAUUAUAAUUCUUCCAAGUGACUAAUGAUGAUAGCUAGCUAAUUAAAGUUAAUAGAAGGACCCUGUGUCUUUUCUCUAGUUUUGCAACCUGAUUAUCACAAUCUUCCAAACAUAAACCUUAAUUUGUUUUCUUGGAGCACAUCAUAUAUGAAACUCAAAACUAUGAGCAUGCUUAUGGAUGUUAAUUGUUUUGUUAUAUCACGGUAUUAAAUUGUAGAAUAAAUUAUAUUGACACCCCUGAUCAUCCUUGCAUAAGAAAUAAGUGUAACAUUUUAAAAAAAUGUGAUAAAUGCAAUUAAGCUAAACAAAAUAUGAUAUAUUGUGGAGACAGGUCCAAAUAAUAUAUGAGUCAAUAUCUCUUUAUUAUUUUUGGUUCGUUACACUAUAUUAUAAGAGCGAUUUAAACAAUAUUUCUUUAGAAUUGUUGAUACAUUUUGUAACAAAAAUAAUAAAGAUACAUUGAUUUGUAUAUUAUUUGGACUUAUCUAUACAAUAUAUCAUGUUUAGCUUAAUUGCAUUUAUCACAUUUUUGUUUAAAAGAUUACACUUAUUUCUUAUGCAUGGGUGGUCAGUGUAAUGAAUGGAAGUAUAAAAAUUAGGGAUGUUUGUGUAAGUGUAAAAAAAUUAGGGGUGAUUUGUGUAAUUUCACUAAAACUCAGGGGUGUCAGUGUAAUUACUCUAAAUUGUAUAAUCUUUCAAAAUUGAUAUUUUAAAACUUUAAAUGUAUAUAUACAAUAACAAGUAACAACUUAAAAUUAAUCAGUUUUUUCUUUAAAUAUGAAAGUUUAAUUAAAUGCAUCCUUUUCUCAACGACUACGCCUCUAAUGCAUAUCUGGCAACAUAUGAAUUGUUGAUGAAUUGAUUUUUCUCCAAAAGGGGAAUCCCUAAUUUCUGGAGCCACUCUAAAUUGACAACAGGUGUUGUUAAGUUAGGGAGGAUUGAAUGUUAAAUAAUAAUAAUAAAUUAAGUAUUCAAAUGGAUAAAAUCUAAUUGAUAUGACUCACCUUGAUUAUUAAAAUUUAAAAGGCAAUUAUUUGUUAUUUUCUCCGACCCUAUGCACACAUUCAAAUUAAUAUAUGGGACACUUUAAUGCAUAUGAAUUUAUUGAGUCCAAUACUAAAAUAUACAAAAAAAUAAAUCGUUUUCAAUUUUAAUAUUUUUUUAAAUCAUAUGAUCCAUCAGAAUUUAUUAUGUAUAUACGCCAAUCAAUAUGGAAUUUCUUGUCUCAAUUGGUAUUUCAUUUAAUUGGAAAAUUCUAUUUAAUUAAAAAAAAUUAAUAACAAGAAUUAAUAUUUGUAUAUUAUUUUAUGCAAUUUGAUUUGGAUACAUGAGGACAUGAUCUUUUUGGGACAAAAGUGUCCCUUUACUUCUACAUAUGUACACGUGUUGGUAAAGUCCUUGCACCCACCUCACAUGUGCUACGCACGAAUAAAAUAAUUAGGAGCUUAGAGAUAUUAGGAACACUAAAUGUUAUGUUUGCUAGUGAAGAAGUAUAUAUCAUUUUUCAUAAUUUAUAAACUCUUGAUAUAUUAUGAGAUUCAAGAUCAUAGAUCAUCAGAAAAUUUUAACAAUUUGCACUAUAGAAACCUUGGAAUCCACCUUAAGCACACAUUAAACUUUAUCAUGUAACCAAAAAAAUACAAUUAAACUCCAAUUAACUUAGUAAUAGUAAAAAACUUCCGUUACAAAAGGAGGGUUUUAUAUAUAUACAGUCUCCAAAGUUGUUUGCUCUAUUACAUUGAGACAUAGGAACAGGAUCUGUAGACUUUUCUGCAUGAAUGCAUGCAUAAUUAAAUGGGCACACUGUAAUUUUUCCUAUAUUGAAUGGGGACACUGUAACUCGAUGGAGCGUUUAUUUCUCAAACUGUUGCUGCAUAACAGUAUCAUUAUUAUGAAGGCCAAUCAAUUUUGGUGUGGGGGCACAUAUUUAACAUACAAAUUGUCACCAUUUUCAUAAAAAUGGACAAUAUUGUUGGAAUGAGAUCAACUGUCCCAUUUUUUUGUGUUUUAUUGAGUCUCAAUCUAAUAAAAGAUUGAAACAUACUUAAAAAGAAAAAUAAAAAUACAAUUUUUAUGUUAUUUAGUGCGAUAUGAUUGGUUUGGGACAUAAAAACAAAAAGUUUUGGAAACAAAUACACCAUCAUGAGCAAUAUUGGCAUCUGCCAAAUACAUAAUUUGUAAUGUAAGAGCACCUGAAAAACUUUCCUAGCGCCUAUUGAAAUCUUGUAUGUGUUUUAUCACCAGACAAUUUUAUUAAUAUUACUCUUAGUGAUUUUGAGAUAAUUUUAAUUUGAGGAAUUAUUGACAGAAGUUAUAUAUGUAGAAGUAGGUUUUUAUAUUCUUUAUGCAUGUUUUCCCCUUUAUAAUAGUAAAUUAUAGAUUCAUGCACUUAGUGUUAAGAUAAUCUGGAUAAGUGAGUACAUAUAUGACUUAAACUAUAUUUGGUUACACAAGGUUAUAACUUAUAACUUAUCUAAUACCUUAUAGCAUAGAUGUUUGGCGAGUAAAAACUAAAAGAAACUAGUAGGUUUUAAAAAUGAACUUAUAUCUUCUAAAAGCUGCCUUUUAAAAAAAUUAUUCCACAUAACAGCUUUUAAUAAAUCAUUUCUGAAUAUUACCCUUAUUUUUUAACAUGUAUUGUUAAGAUAACGAUCAUAAAUAUAUCCACAUGCAUCAUAAUUUCAGCCAUUUGAUUAGGCUAAAAUUACAAACAUAGCAAUUUUCAUUCUUUAGUAUACUAUAUGUACUUUGAUAGAUUUUAAUAAAACAUGAUUAGCAACCAUAGAUGACGUUGAAAUCCUAACAGUAGCACAUUUAACAGCAUAAAAAGUUUAACCCAAAUAGAUGAUGAUGAUGAUGAAGUUUAUCUCUUUCUUAGUACUGACACACACUUAUGAAGAGAAGAAGUUCAUCACCUUGUCUUUACAGUGCAACAGAGAUAUAACAAGUGCAUGCUAUUGCUUUAGGUUCUUUUCAGAGUAAUGUGUUUAUUAACACAACUUACAUGAUUCCUUUGUGGUGGACCCUUCUUCAAGGGUUUAUCAUUCCAUGUGUGAUGCUGCCAUUUUCUGCUUUUGGAAGGGCCUUGUUAGUUUUUACAAUGCAAAAGGUUAGGUCAGUGUCUCUUCUCUACAAUCCCCUUAUAUUUAUCUAAUUUCCCUAUAUUGAGAAAAGUAGGUUAAAUUUAUCAAAAUGUUAGCAUUCCAAAAGUAUCAUUUUCACAUUCACUUUUCUAUCUAAUUUAAUUAUCACUAUAUGAAAUUUGAAAGUUUUACUGAAAUAUAAAUGAACUAAUAGGAAUAUUUAGAAUGAAUUAUUUCAUAAUAUUUACAUAUUAUAAGGGCUGAAUAAAUAUAUCAUGACAUUAUGUAUUCCAUUUAUCUAAUCAUAUCACCUAAGUAAACAACUUCAUUCAUAUUUCAAACAAUGGGUAUUUUAUAAAGGACUUGUAUUAAUUAAGUUUGACUGCACAAAAAAUACAUAUAAUUUAAGGUCCUUGAGAAUGUUAUAUAUAUAUAUAUAUAUAUAAAUAUAAGAGUAUCUUCUUAUCCAAUAAGUAACAUACUAAUCUCUCAAACUCACAUGCUAAUUAAGUAGGAACCCUCUCAAAAAUAUUUUGGCAUAUAACAAAUCUAAGUGAUGAAAGCUCCGACAGAGUGUUACAUUAUAAUUAAGUGGAAAAAAAUACUUCUGUUUUUAUUCUCAAAUGAACCCAAUUUUAUUAGUGCUGCAAUAAAGUUUUCAUCAUUUUUAUGACACACUACUACUAAUGAGUUAGUAGUACAGAAGAGAAAUGGGACAAUCAAUUCACCAAAAUAUAAACUAUUUCUGGUUCGUAUUGAAAGAAAUUUUUUUGAAGACUUCGGUAAUACUUUAUAUAAAAUAUUUUAUAUUUUCAUAUGAUAUUUAUUAUUUUUUCUCUUAUUUAUACUUUAUUCAUUAAUGAAAAAAAAGAAUGUGUGAACUUUUCGAAAAAAUAAAUUAAGAGAAUAAAAUUAUAAUAAUGUAAUAUUUGUUCAAAAAUCAAGCAAAAUUACUAAUAUUCACUUUCUAUAUUGAUUAACAUUACCUUAUAAAUAUAAGACAAAAACCCCAAUCAAUAUCAUACCUCAUGUUUUUUAUAUAUCAUAAACAUAAAACAGGUUGAAAAACAAAUUAAAAGGUAAAAAACAUGGGGUCCCUCUCUUCUUUAUGAUUCAUUAUUUUGGAACCAGCCUCGAUGUCUUUCUUGAAUUCAUUUCUGAUUCAGCUUAUUAAAUAUCCCAAUAAAUAAAUAAAUAAUUUUUUUUAUAAAAUGGAAAAAACAUAUAAUCUCUGACUAAAUUCUGCAACAAAAGUACCAAACCCCAAACCCCACCACUUUAAUACCAAUGUGUCAUUCUGCCUUACACCUAUAUUCAAAUUCUUACACACUUCCACAACCACCACCACCAAUAGCCGCCAACCACCACUCUUUUCUGCCCCAGGCUCCAUUUUUAAGACAACCCUUCAAGUACGGAGGGAGAUCACCUGUCUCAAAUGAUACCUUAUUCUAUAUCUCAAACAAAUUAUAUAUUAACAUUUGAACGAAAUAAAAUUUUUAAAAGCAAAAGGUAAUAAAAUGGAGCACUCUGAUUAGCUUGAGAUAUGGAGUAGGAUAUCGUUUGAAGCAUGUGAUCUCUUUGACACUCACACGUGUCAUUCUUUUGGGGCACUUUUGCACCUUUCAAUGCAGUACUACUCACCUGAUGCAGCCUUGUUUGCCACUACCUCAUUCUUGCAACCUUCACUUUCUUUCUCUUUUUCUUCUACAUUCUUCUCUUCAUCAUCAAAAUCAUCAUGAUCUUCUUCCCUCUGCUGUUGAGGAGGCCAUUGCUGUUCCGGCUGCACCAUCAGCGGCGCCACCAUACUCUCCGGCUGCACCAUCUUGUUCUUCUCUUUAUAUAAUGCUUCCAGCUGCUGAUAAUAAGGACAUGUUUUUGAAUCUUCUGAUCUUUUCUUGUUACUUUCCUUCACCUUCUUGAAGUACUUGUUGAUGUUCUCCCAUUUCUCUUUGCAUCUCUUUGCAUUCCUAUUGUACCCGAGCUUCCUCAUUGAGGAUGAAAUCUCUUCCCAAAGUGGUCCUUUUGGUGUGUUCUCUUGGUACUUCAUGUCAAGCUCAGUUCUCAGCUUUAUCAAUGCUUCUAUCUCCACUUUUGGCCACCUUGAUGAGCUUGCUCCUAUCAUAUUCUCCCCAUUAUUAUCAACUCUCACGAUUUCCGUAUUUGUGACUUGUUGUUGUGGUGGUGGUGGUGGUGGGACCACAGGUUGCAGUGGUGGGCCAGGCUGAACAAUAAGUUGUAUUUGUGGUUGCACAAGUGUUGGAGCAAUAGUUGGUGCUGGUGGUGCAAUUGGUUGUGCCACCACUUGUGGCUGCAAUUGAGAUUGUUGUUGCUGUGGUUGUGGUGGAAUGCUAAUGUUAUUAUUCAAUGCUUGUCCAAAAUUUUGUUUUUCAGCCAACUUUUGCAAGAAAGCCAUGACUGCAGCAUCCUUGGCAGCGGCUGUGGAUCUUUCUUGAGCUAGAAUUUCCCUCUCUUUAUUGAUCCUUUGUAUCUCUUGCACUCUCCAUGCUUCUUCUCUUACCAUUCGCUCUAAGUAACAUACUAAUCUCUCAAACUCACAUGCUAAUUAAGUAGGAACCCUCUCAAAAAUAUUUUGGCAUAUAACAAAUCUAAGUGAUGAAAGCUCCGACAGAGUGUUACAUUAUAAUUAAGUGGAAAAAAAUACUUCUGUUUUUAUUCUCAAAUGAACCCAAUUUUAUUAGUGCUGCAAUAAAGUUUUCAUCAUUUUUAUGACACACUACUACUAAUGAGUUAGUAGUACAGAAGAGAAAUGGGACAAUCAAUUCACCAAAAUAUAAACUAUUUCUGGUUCGUAUUGAAAGAAAUUUUUUUGAAGACUUCGGUAAUACUUUAUAUAAAAUAUUUUAUAUUUUCAUAUGAUAUUUAUUAUUUUUUCUCUUAUUUAUACUUUAUUCAUUAAUGAAAAAAAAGAAUGUGUGAACUUUUCGAAAAAAUAAAUUAAGAGAAUAAAAUUAUAAUAAUGUAAUAUUUGUUCAAAAAUCAAGCAAAAUUACUAAUAUUCACUUUCUAUAUUGAUUAACAUUACCUUAUAAAUAUAAGACAAAAACCCCAAUCAAUAUCAUACCUCAUGUUUUUUAUAUAUCAUAAACAUAAAACAGGUUGAAAAACAAAUUAAAAGGUAAAAAACAUGGGGUCCCUCUCUUCUUUAUGAUUCAUUAUUUUGGAACCAGCCUCGAUGUCUUUCUUGAAUUCAUUUCUGAUUCAGCUUAUUAAAUAUCCCAAUAAAUAAAUAAAUAAUUUUUUUUAUAAAAUGGAAAAAACAUAUAAUCUCUGACUAAAUUCUGCAACAAAAGUACCAAACCCCAAACCCCACCACUUUAAUACCAAUGUGUCAUUCUGCCUUACACCUAUAUUCAAAUUCUUACACACUUCCACAACCACCACCACCAAUAGCCGCCAACCACCACUCUUUUCUGCCCCAGGCUCCAUUUUUAAGACAACCCUUCAAGUACGGAGGGAGAUCACCUGUCUCAAAUGAUACCUUAUUCUAUAUCUCAAACAAAUUAUAUAUUAACAUUUGAACGAAAUAAAAUUUUUAAAAGCAAAAGGUAAUAAAAUGGAGCACUCUGAUUAGCUUGAGAUAUGGAGUAGGAUAUCGUUUGAAGCAUGUGAUCUCUUUGACACUCACACGUGUCAUUCUUUUGGGGCACUUUUGCACCUUUCAAUGCAGUACUACUCACCUGAUGCAGCCUUGUUUGCCACUACCUCAUUCUUGCAACCUUCACUUUCUUUCUCUUUUUCUUCUACAUUCUUCUCUUCAUCAUCAAAAUCAUCAUGAUCUUCUUCCCUCUGCUGUUGAGGAGGCCAUUGCUGUUCCGGCUGCACCAUCAGCGGCGCCACCAUACUCUCCGGCUGCACCAUCUUGUUCUUCUCUUUAUAUAAUGCUUCCAGCUGCUGAUAAUAAGGACAUGUUUUUGAAUCUUCUGAUCUUUUCUUGUUACUUUCCUUCACCUUCUUGAAGUACUUGUUGAUGUUCUCCCAUUUCUCUUUGCAUCUCUUUGCAUUCCUAUUGUACCCGAGCUUCCUCAUUGAGGAUGAAAUCUCUUCCCAAAGUGGUCCUUUUGGUGUGUUCUCUUGGUACUUCAUGUCAAGCUCAGUUCUCAGCUUUAUCAAUGCUUCUAUCUCCACUUUUGGCCACCUUGAUGAGCUUGCUCCUAUCAUAUUCUCCCCAUUAUUAUCAACUCUCACGAUUUCCGUAUUUGUGACUUGUUGUUGUGGUGGUGGUGGUGGUGGGACCACAGGUUGCAGUGGUGGGCCAGGCUGAACAAUAAGUUGUAUUUGUGGUUGCACAAGUGUUGGAGCAAUAGUUGGUGCUGGUGGUGCAAUUGGUUGUGCCACCACUUGUGGCUGCAAUUGAGAUUGUUGUUGCUGUGGUUGUGGUGGAAUGCUAAUGUUAUUAUUCAAUGCUUGUCCAAAAUUUUGUUUUUCAGCCAACUUUUGCAAGAAAGCCAUGACUGCAGCAUCCUUGGCAGCGGCUGUGGAUCUUUCUUGAGCUAGAAUUUCCCUCUCUUUAUUGAUCCUUUGUAUCUCUUGCACUCUCCAUGCUUCUUCUCUUACCAUUCGCUCAUGCUCGCGCUUCUCUAUAGCUUCCAAGAAUGUCCUUUGCUGUUCCACUUGCUUCUCCAUCACAUUCUUCAUUAGUCUAUUGAAGAAGUCUUCCCAUUUGCGCUUCCGCUUGCGCCUCCCGUCCAAUAUUUCAUCGGAAGAAGUCGAUGAGGACGAGAUACUUGAGUUGGACAAGAGAUCAUUUGGGAUGUUUGGGAAAGAUAUUGGAAUUGUAGCACUUGUAGUAGGGUUUGUUAAUGGUGGUGGGAAGUUUGUAGGGUUUGUAGGUUGAUAGGAAGGGACAUUUAUUAGGUUUAUUGAUGGGGUAGAAGUGACAAUGCCUUGAGGAAUAGAGACAUGAGGGACACUAACACUACCAAGAGUGGUGUUAGCCACUGGUGGCAUUGGCAUUGGCACUGUUGUUGUUGCUGUUGCUACAAUUGAUGAUGAUAUUGGUGGUGGUGCUAGUGAUGAUUGUGGUGUGUAAGAGGAAUGAAUUGUUGGAGGGUGGUGAUGUUCAAGGGCUUGUAGUUGAUCAAAAAAUCGAUAAGUUUUGCCUUCUGAUUUGCCACUUCGACCAUCUUUGGUUCUUUUAUGAUACUUGUACACGUUCUCAAAUUUCUCUUUGCAUUUCUUGGCACUUCUUUUAUACCCAAGUUCAGCUAGCUUCCUGAAAGUCCCAAAAAACAAGACAAACGAUAAAUAAAGGAAGAAAAAAAAGGUAUCUAUCUGGGUUUAUUUUAUCCCAUCAAAUUCAGCUAAAAGACAAAGGGUAAAAAGCAUUGGGGGCAUAACAUUAUUAACAUAAAGUGAAAAUAUGUGUGUGGUGAAUUAACUUUUUGGGUGCAAAGAAUAUCAAUUAAUGGAGAUGAUAAAGUAAGUGAAGGAGAGAUUGGGAAAAAUAACAAACUUGAUGUAAUUAAAGUUUUAAUUGAUAACAAAUCCCAAGAAUUGAUAGCAGAAAUUUCUAUCAUGAAACCAAAGUUAGAGAAUUUGAUAAUUUACCUGAAUUUCCCGUAAGAGUGGGUAACUGAAAUAAAGGGGGAAGAAAAUCUUGCUUUUCACUAUGUAAUUCAAGUUGGUAACUUAUUUGGAAAAUAAGAUACGAACCAAAGUGGAUUUUAAUAGUUGGAAAAGUAAAUCAAACCCAAAUCAUGAAUACUCCACACAUCUAAACUCUUUUAUAGUAACACAAACUCAAAAGGUAAAAAGAAAAGAAAAAAAGAGGAUUUAAAGGGAAUGAAGAAAAAUACUACAGGAAGAAAACCCAAAUGAUUGAGAGAGGAAAAAUAUAAAACAUUUCCAAUAAUCAAAGUUCAACCACAACUGAAUUCUCAGAUCUCUACAUCCCUUGAAUUUGAUGUGUGAUUCAUAGAACACCAUAGUUUACAUUGAAGUAAGUGAAAUCAAUGAGAAGAAGCAAGCCAAGGAAGAAGAAAUAAAAAAAGAUUAAAUUUUUUACAACCCCAGAAUUUACAUUGAAGUAAAAUGAAUGAGAGAAGAAGCAAGCAAAAAAAUGAAAUGAAAUUAUUGAACCUUGAUACUUGUUCCCACAAAGGAGCUUUAACACUUGCAUCACGAAACGCCACGUCCAUAUCCGACCGUAUCCUUAACAAAGCCAAAGUCUCUUGUCUUGGCCACCGGUUUCCACCGAAGCUACUACUACGGUCACUUUCUUCCAUUCUUCUCUCUUCAUCUCCUGAAGUUGAUCCACCACCACCACCUACCACCACCGCCGCAACCUCUCCGCCACCACCUCCUUCUGAUGAGUCCCCCAACAUGGUUCUUCACUCACUAUUUUGCAAUUACAGCAGUGAGGGGAACAGAAAAAUUAAAAAUAUAAAACGGUGGUGGUGAAUUCUAUGAAUUUUGAUGAUGGGUUUUUAUAUUUUUAUGUAUAGUACUUACCAGGACUAUAUACAUAUAUAUCAAUAUAUGUAUGUAUUAUGUAAUGAAAGGUGUGUGAUGGAGGUGAAUUUAUUAUUAUUAUUAUUAUUAUUAUUAUUAUUAUUAUAUUUUCUUGGGAUCUCAUACAUAGUAAUAAGAAUCAAUAUUUUUCCCUUUUCUUAAUUUUGCUUUUCAUUAUUUAACUUUGACAUGUUUCCUUUUGUGGAAUCUUCAGACUUUUUUUAAUGUCCUGCUUUGGUAAAUUCACCAACCUUUGUUCAUCGCAUGUAGAACAAAGUGGCACAGAAAAAUAUAUGCAGGUAUUUACUGCUAUUAAUUAUUUAUGAAACAAAAAUAAUGAAUAAAUUCAGAGAUUUUUGAACAACUGCACUAAGAGACGAUAGAGACAAUAACUUGGCUUUUCUCUGUCCAGCUAUAUUUAGUUAAAGGCCAGCUUAUUUCACUCACCCUUUAAUGUAUUUCCCAUUUUAUUAUUUCCUUUUUUUUUUUCAUUUUCUAAAUAUUUUCUUACCUACUUUCUGAUUUUUAUUCAGAUUAUUUAUUUUUUUUAACUUUUAUUGGGAGGGAGAUGAAUAUUGAAGCUGUCUUUUUGUUUGAGAUGUGUGUUAUGCAUGAUUGGUUGGACAUGCUCUAGAAAUAAAAUGACCAAACAAGCCCUAACAUAUUUCCUUCAUUGGCCUUUUAAUCAUGACAUUUCUUCCAUAAUGAUCUCGUUCAUUUAUAUUUCUUAGAAUGAGUUUAAAUUACUUACUCUGAAGUAAUAUUAUCAAUUAAGAUUGCUUGUCUAUUGACUUUGUACCCAUGUAAUAUCUGCUUAAAUUAGGAUAAACAUUCAUGCUUGUUUUAAAAUAUAACACGAAAUAUCAUGUUCUGUCCAAGCAUGAGCAGAACAGUUUGCGAGUCGCCAUAAAUAAAAUUAUAUAUAUAAGUAGUGAAUAAAAUAAAUAAUAUACCAUAUAUUUAUCAUAAUAAAAAGUUAUAUGAAUAGAACAAUACAUACAAAAUGCAUAUAUAUAAUACAAAAUAUGCAUAGGAUAUAAUUUAUAUACAAAUACAAAAAUAAAAAAGCAUAUGCAUAUAUAAUAUACAAAUUACAAACAAAUAAGAAAAUGAUAGUAUUCUCUUAUAUUUUAUAUACAAAUGCAUAUAUAAAAAAAUAGAACACAAUUUCUCACAUUUGACAAAAUAUAUAUAUAAUUGCAUAUUUGAUGUUCAAUAAUUUCUCUAGUAAUACAUGCGGGCCACCUAUUUUGCAUAUUUAAAAUAUCCACAAACAAAUGGAGCAUACUAUACAUGCAUUUUAGGAUAGAAAGACACAUUUUUCAUAUUGUGCAUGCCCAAUGCUACUUAUGCACCUUUGAGGCACCUAAGUCCCAUAGAGGGUGUAUUCCCUAGUAAGUUAAUUUGAGAAAAUUGAUCCUGAAUUUUGCUCUCUUUAAGGGUGCCUUUGGUAAAAGAGAGUAAGUAAGGAAAGAGAUUUCUUCUCUUAUAAGUUUAUUAAAUUUUGUAUGGUAUAUUCCCGAACUUGUAGUUUCUUCUCAUUGAAUAAAUGUUAGAUUUGAAUAUAAUAUUUUUUUUUAUAUUUCAUAUAAUAUGCUUAUCUUUAUCUUAUAUUCAUUAUUAUUUAUAAGGAUAAAAUUGUCUAUUUAAUAAAAGCAUAUUUUAUGUUUAUUAUUCAUGUGAAUUACUUUUUUGAAUGUAAAUGAUUAUUAAAUAUGAAUUAUGGAUAAUACAAUAAUAGUAUUUAAAAUUAUUCAUUAUGAGUGUAUAUAUUUUUUUCUCUUCUUUCAUAUUUCUUUCCUACCAAACGACUCUUAUAAUCAACUCAUUUUCUCUUCUUUUUUUCUUGCUACCAAGGAGAGUUGGUUCAAGUGGUAUAUGUUUGAUUCCCCUUAAGCAAUGUCUUGGGUUCAAAUCUUGUAGAUGGAAAAAAUGUAUGUUGGGAGAAUUAGCCCCACGUAGCUAUGGAUGUUCACGGCUCGGACAAGAUUGCCUCCAGUGCGAGAAGAACUAUAGGAAGCCAAAAAAAGUUCUCAUUUAUUAUAUAUAUCUCUCCCCAAGUUUUUCUCUUCUUACUUAUCCAAUAUUUAACAUAAGCUAAUCUGAUUUUAUUCACAUCAGCUUGUUUGUGAUUUGUGCCUGUCCAUCACUUUUACAGCCUCUAUAUUUUUUAUUCUGCUUUCUUUUAUAAUGAUGUUCACUGAAAUUUCCAAAAAUACCCCUGUUUUAAAAAGUACGUUAAUGGUGGGAAAGAAAAAUUGAGGUAUUGAUUUAAUUUUCAACUUGUUCCCUUGAACUGUGGUACUCUACAUGUGGCCUUUGGGUCCUACCUUGAUUGUGAUAAUAGCAAUUUGGACAAAUUUCUCUUCAUAUAAUAAUUGAACAAAAACAUUGGUUAAAUAUAUCUUACAAUUAUACACUAUGUUUUAUAUUCAAACUCGAUUUGUGAUUAAGAAGAAAAAACGUCUGAAUAGUGCUACAUAUAUUCAAAAUUUUGAAAAGAAUAGAUUACUUUUUUUAUUAAGUGGGAAUCACUGUUGAAGUAGAAUUAAUUUGGUAGAGGUCAUGUUAUUAGGCCAAGCCAUUUAUGAACAGAAGUAAAUGGUGGCCAAUUCUGUUGGGUUUGUGACCUACCCUAAUAAAUUGCAUGUAAGUUUUUUUUUGGCAGUAAUAUUGUGCAUCAUGAGUGAUUUCUUCAUCAACUAUUGGUUUUUUUUGUUUUCUACUGUUAUUCUCUCACACUGGAGGCAAUCUUGUCCGAGUCGGGAAUAUCCAUAGGUACGUGGGGCUAACUCUCACAGCGGACAUUUUUCCACUCACAAUACUCGAACCCGAAUGAAUCAAAUAUGUACCACUUGAACCAGCGUCCGUUGGUUUCAUUAACUAUUGGUUUGUUAUUAACAAAGUAAUUGUUGCAUCCAUUUUAAAACAGAUAAUAACCUGUACAAAACAAUAACAUUGUAUAAUUUAAUUUGUUAUUUGAGAAGCUAACAUAACAAAUAAAAGUAAUAAAACAGACACAAAUUCUUCUAUUAUUAUUAGAAGAGGAUAUAAAGUUGUGUUGUAGUGGAAAUAUUAUUCGAAUAAACCCAAACUUGAUCGAAAUGAUACAUUCCUGUAGCAUAUCUUUUUUGGAACCCUUCAAGUUAUCUUCUAAUUACACUCUUAAUUGUUUGUAUGUAAUCAGGUUUUGAUAUGAUGGUCACAUCAACAUGUGUAUAUCAAUAAAAAAACAGUUUUCAAGUUUUUAUUAAAAAUGAUAUGUCCUAAAAAAUCAAUAAAUAUAUGUCAGUGAAUUUGAAUUUAAAGCACUUAAUUUAUGACACAAUAGUAUUAUUAUUAUUAUAGUUAUAGUUAUUAAAAAUAAUUUAUCUAUAGUUAUAAUAAUCGGGUGGUCUGUGUCUAUGAAAAAAUAAUGGGAUAUAAGUAUACCAAAAAAAUAACGGAUGGUUUGUCGAUUUUUAUACAGUGGAAUUAAGUAUUAACUCUGGUAAUUUUAAUAGCUCACUUUCAAGAGAUUGAUUUUAGUUUUUUAUAGGAUUAUUUUUAAACAUGUAUGUAAUUAUCUGAUUUGGGUAUCAAAAUGUCUUGAUUAAUUAACUUGCAGUGAAAAUAUAAAAUAAGUACGUUAAAUCAUUUUAAUGAAACUGAUAUUCUUAAUUCCAAAAGAAUCCUAUAAAAAUAUUGAAGUUUGUAUUUAUUAUAUAAUCAACAAAUAGACAACGGCUACUACCCAUAUUCAAUUAUGGCACCAGCGAUGUGGUAAAUGAACGUUGCGUUUCUUUUUCGAAUUUUAAAGUCCAAACCUCUUUUAUCGUUGCACUUGAAAAUGACUUGAUAUUGUGACAAGGUUGUUGAAAGUUGAAGCACAUUUUUAUGAUGUUUUCUUAUUUUCUUGGAUGUUUUUUUUUACUUAUUAUAUAAAGUUCCUUUUGUAUUUUUCUAAAUCGGGUCUAUAUAUUAUUUGUCAAUUUGGAAUCCUAUUUACCAAACAUUAGUCCAUUACCUUGCAUGAAUCAAUUUUUUAUCUGUUAUGAAAUUGCUCUAAAGUAGCAUCAUAGACUCAUAGUAAAUAUUUAUUGAAAUAAUUUGUAUUUUUCAGGAAUGCUUUUUUAAUUAUGUGAAUAUUUAAGGCUUGUUUGAUGAUUGGGAUAUAUUGGAUAAAGAUAAAAGAAAUGCGCAUGCUAAGCCUCUUAUUAAUAUUUUACACAAUUUUCAAUGUACAUCCAAUAACAAUACAAUUACAAAAAAAAAAAUCAAAUAACAAUACAAUAUUAUAUAAAGUAUUAUAUGUGUAUGUGACAAACUGAGUCUUCACACUUGAUUCUUAAGAUUGAUGAUACAACUCUUAUGAGCGACAUUUGUUAUAAGAGGCAGUCACGAAUCCGGAAAGAGUUUAGUUCUUUAUCAAAAAAUGUGAGAAAUACGCUUGGUAGUACUAAAAAACUAAAUUUUACCUGAAAUUUAUAUAACAAUGUUCAUACCUUAACUCGAGUAUAUGAGAUUGGGUACGGAUGAUAAUGAAUGUGAGAAUUAGGGCUAGAUACGAGUCGAACCAUGGUUCAACUCGAUAAGGAUUUGCUUAGCUCGAAAUUUGACUCAAGUUUGAUAUGAGUUAUAUUUUUAGUUCCAAUUAGGCUUAGUUAAAGUUCACAAACCAUUUGGCUCAACGAAUUGGUUCAUUUAGACAAAUUAAAUAAUUAAUUCAAUUUUAAAAAAUAUUACACAAACUUAUACAUAUACAAAUAAUGCAGAAUCAUGAUAUAAUAACAAUAAACAUAAAAAAAAGUAGGAGGAAGAAGAAUAAGAAUGAAGAUAAUUUGUUUCACUUUUUAUGUGCCAAUUAUGUCUCGAUUCAAUUAGAAAUUGUCACUUACUUAAAAAGAAAAAUAAUAAAGAAAAAUAUUCUUUGAUAUUAUUUGGUUAGAUUUGAUUGGUAUGAGACAUGAAAAGAAUUACUUUCUUAUAUUAAUUUAAUAAUAAAGGUAUACAUAACAUAUAAAUUGGUAUAUCCAUUUUUUAUUUACAUUUAUCAUUGUUUCCAUAUCUUUCUGCUGCCUUGUUUUUUUCUGUAUUUUUAUUUCUCUCUGUACUUAUCUACACUAUGUAUUGUAUUUGUGAAUGAAAGUUGAAUAUCAACGUGCAUUAUACAUGAUCAAUCACAAUAUAAAAGUAAACAUAAAUGGUUUUACUAUUACUUGUCAGGUUCUGAUGGAUUAUAUUUAUUUAGAUAUAUGCCCAUACAAAUUUCACUUUAUAUAUAUAUUUGUACCAUGCUUGUAAUGUUAUAUAGCUGAAGAGGGUAUCAGUUAUGCACUUUAAAUGCAAGCAUCGUGUGCCAAAUAAUGUAAUAGGAUCUCACAUAAAUGCAGUGGUAUAUAUUUUCUGCAGAUAUAUAUCUAUUUUCACGAAAGUGUGAUGGAACAUGUGGACUAAAUUAUGUGAGUGUGUGUGUGAAUUAAAGCAUAUUCAUGUAUACCACUAUAUUUAAAAGCAAAUAGUAAAUACUUCAUUAACAAUAUAUGCAUACCAGAAAAACGAAAAAGACAGUGAAAUGAAAAGACUAACAAUAUUCAAACUUUUUUCCUUGUAGGAGCACUAACAAAGGCCACAAUCAAAUCUAACAAUGCAGACACUAGUAGUGCUAUAUACAAUACAUGUCUUUCAAAAAUAAUGGAGUUAUAAUUAUUCAAAGUAGAUGGGAAACAAAUUAAUCCCUCUUUCAAAGAGUAAUGAUAUUUUUUCUGAAUCUGCAACAAAAUUCGAUUUUGGGUAUUUUAAGUAAGGUAUGAAGAAACAAUUACAAGAUUAUUAUUUCCUUCUCAUAGUUUUAAUAUUUGUCUUUUUAGAGAACUUCAAAAAAAUAAUUACACAGAAAAAUAACUAAAAAUGUGUUAUUAUAUUGUAGAAAUGGAUAUACGAAUUAAAUGUUAUGUAUACCUUUAUUAUUAAAUUAAUAAUCUCAUUAUCAUCAAAUAUAUUGUUCUCUUUGUAAUAAAUUUUAAAACAAUGUGGAUACCAGCAACUCUUUUUAUAUACUAUCAAUAGUAUCUUCUCAUUAUUUUUUGGUAAAGAACUAAUCUCUUUCGGGGUUCGUGGAUGCAACUCCCAACAAGUGUCGCUUUCAGAAAUCGAACCCUCAAUGUUGGUGAUCUAGUGAGACCUUACACGAUUAGAUCAACGUCUUAUUGAUACUACGUUUAUAAUUUAUCUAGACAAAAAUAGCAAAACUCUGUAUAUUUGUUUUCGAAGUUUAUUUGAUACAUUAAUGUAUUGCAAAUGGAUUUGUUUUUAUCAAAUACAAAAUGGGGUGCAACGUGCAAAUUGCAAUCUUAUACAAUAAGUAUGUUUCAGGGAUUAUACUGUGUGCAUUAGUUUAGGUUAAAAAACUACACUUCUCAUGGUAUAUAAUAUAAGGAUCCCACCUCUUUCUUUGUUUCUAGUAAUAAAAUUUCCUCAAAAGAACAAUACAAAAAAAAUGGAACUGUGCUCAGAACCGACCUUGCAGACAAUUGGAAAUUACUGAAAAUAAAACUUUUGCAGUUGCUGAUAUGGGGAAAAGUAAGAAAAUUGUAGUAUAUACCUGUAUGCAUAUUUUUUUCGGACAUUUAUUAUCGAACUGGAGACAAUCUUAUCCGAGUCAGUAACAUCCACAUGUAAGUGGGUGAACUUUCCUAUUUUCUAUCCACAAUACUCGAAUCUGAGACCUUACUUAAACGGAAUCAAACAUGUAUCACUUGAACGAACAGAUGUGUGCUUAAAUACGUAGCAAUUUGUGGAUCUUGGUGAGUUUAUAUUUACAGGACCCCAUCAUAGAAAUAAAGUUUUUUACAUGUAGACAAAAGGGUUUACUUCACAUGGGUUAUGCAUGUGAUAUGAAUGUACACUUACAUUUUUUGUCUACCAUGUGGAUUUAACCCUUACAUUUAUCUGUCACCAGCUAAGCAAUCCACCAUUUUGAUUCUUCUUCUCUUCCAUUCCUUUCUUUUUCUCUACCCUUCCUUUAAUUUUCUCAUAAUAUUCUUGUCCAUGUUUAUUAAUUAAAACAUCACAAAUACACACAUGCACCACUAAGAAAAAGGGUGAUUAUUCACCUUGCUAGCAACUAUUUUUAACUUUCAUUUCCUUUAUGAUGAAAUUAUUGCUGCAACUUGGAUGAAGCAUGAUGGGUUGAAACAAAUGCUAGCUACCAUUAUUCUUAUCCUUUUCACACACGAAAUUGACACUUGUAAUAAGCUUUAUUAUGGUUCAUCCUAUAGGGGUUUUGAGCAGGUAUAUAUGGAGCAAAAUAUUUAUCUUUUACAAUUAUCCAUAGUUUUAAUUAAAUUAUUGCAUAUAGUUAGUAAUGUCCUUGUUCUGUAUAGAAGCUACCUUAGUGGUUUAAUUACAAUGAUUCAUUUGGCAUAUAACAUCUAUUUUGAAGCUUAUAAUACAGAUUAAACAACUAUAGAUAAAUGGUGGCAAAGUGAAAAGUAAAUCGCAAGCAAUCAUAACCAUGUGCAAAAAAAAUUAGUCUUCAAUAUCGACUUUAAUUUACACGCUCAUAACAUCUCUUACUUACAAGCUAAAAUUACAACAAUUUUUUAUUUUAUUUUCAGAAGUUUAAUCAGUAAUUCUACAUCUGUUCUAAAUGAAUCCUUGUUGUAAGUUCUGCAAAUAUUUUUUAUUCAAAAAUGAGUGAAAUUUUUGUGUAUAGCUAAAGAUUUAUAAAUAGUUAAUAUAACAUUUACGAUUUAUUUAUAUUACUUAUAUUUAAAAGUGUCAAUAUUAAUUAAAUAUGAAUGGUAAAUGAUACAAUAAUAACAUAAAAGUAUUAUACCAUUAAUAUAUACAUCUUUUUUCUCUUCAAAAAAAUUACUCAGUGUAUGUUCUAUAGAAGUGCAUUAAAUAAUAUGAAUGAAUAUUAUAAAUAUGUAUAUAUAUGUCUGUGUUUAUAAUAAAAAUUCAUUAUUUUAUGGGAAAUGGUACUAACUUGUCUCAUUAGGGUCGUCUGCAUUAUUCUUAUUGAAAAAAUGCAUUGAAACAAUAUGUAUUCUAUGCUUCGAAAAUUCAAAAAAAUUGUUUUUCAAUGGACUUUUCUCUGUUCAAAUUCUUUUAUCAAUGCCGUACUAGAACAUUUUUAUUUAACUAAGCUUAUUAGGAUUUAUUGUUGAAUAAAUAAUACAAUUAUUGAAAAUUGGUGUGUAAUUUCUUAGGUAUAAUUGGAAAUUAUAUGUAAUAAUAUAUUCAUGAUAUUUUUAAACGUUAACAAAAACAAAACAAGAAUAAAUUAUCAUUGUAAAUUAUUUUGAAGAAUUUUGUUAACAAAUGUUUUGAAAGCGUACGUAUUCAAUCCUUCAAGCUACAAAUGGUUUUUAAAUGGAUUUCACAUGAUUUUUAAUAUUAUUUCAUGAUUCUCACUAACUUAGGUAAUAAUUCAAUUAAAAUUUUACUAUAAAGUUUAAAAACCCACCUAUGGUUAUUAAAUGAACUUCAUUUUAUGACCAAAGAAAGCAAUAACACAUCUUUGAGCAAUUCCACAUGAGUAUGCUUCAACUAUAAACCUCUUUAACCAGCUGUUUUUGUACCCAACCUUCCUUAAUAAAAACAAGGGUUGAGGGUGCUCUAAAGAAACACAUUAACCAAACUUUAAAAAAAGUCCUCCAAAUUUCACUAUAGAUUCAUUGGAAUAUGUAACCAUGUGCUCAUACCUUGUAGGUUCAUAAACUGAAUUUUAUGCAAUCACAAUGAUUCUUAUUAUAAUUUAUUGCGAAAUUAAUGUGGAAGCGUAAAAGAUAAAUAUUACGGAUAUUUCUCAUUCUUUGAUCAAGGCAUGAAAAACCCUAUUUAUAGUACAUGAAUAUGUAACAAACUUACCUAACUAACUAGCUAACAAACUAAUAAACACAUGUUGUAAAACAAUUCAACAUGUGUUAAAUGUGGUAGCUUUGUUCUCCAAUAUAAUUACUGCUAACAUUUAUGGGUAACUAAUAAGCCAUAUGAGUUAUAUAUACCAACCAAGUGUUUUAAAUUGUGGUUGCAAUAACGGGUAUGGUUAUCGAUUUCUGGGGCCCAAUGUGGGUCAUAAGAAAGUAAGCACUCAAAAAGCCCAUAUUGAACAAGGAAGUGUGGAGGGUCCAUGUGCCCAUAAACAACUACUUACAAUAGUGGGAAAGAAAGGGAUAGCAUGCUUAAAAAUUAAAGACAUCCUUGAAGGUUCAUGGUUUGGUUUUCAACUUUUUUUGUUUAUCUUCUAAUAAUUUAAUAGCAUCAACUUUUUAUUUUAACUUUUCUUAUCACUUUUUUUAUUUUAUUUUCACUCAUUUGCUUACGUGAUGAUGUAAACUCCAAAACAUGUGGCACUGAACCUUUUAUAUAAGCGUGAAAUUUCAACUCUCUAUUAUCAUUUUAUGGACCACAAAGGAAAAUAACCACACAUAGAUCUAUUUAACUUAACAUCAUUCAUCUAUCUCAGUGCCAAAAUAGAGUGAUGAACAUUAUUUGAAGUGUUGAAGUCAUAGUGGAUAGAAACAAAAAAAAAAUAAUAUAAAAUUAAAGCUGAAACAAAAGUUAAAUUCAACAAAAGGUGUCACUGUUUAUAAGCCACGUCUAACUUUUAGUGCCCACAUUUUUUUUUUGCUUCGAUAACUACGUUUCAAAUGUGUGGAAUUGUCUUCUUAUGCAACUUCAUUAAUUCCAAUUAUAUGGCGUCAGUGGCAAAUGAUUAAGAGUUUAAAAUCUAUGCACUGCAUUAUCCACCAUUGAUUUGUAUUACUUUUGUUUAAGAGUCAAUGGUGGUUAACAAAUUAAUGGUGGAUGAUUGACUGACAGUGUGAAAAACAUUUACACUUUCAGUGUAUACAUAUUAAAUCCAAUGAUUAAUAUCUGCUUGAGAAAGUUAAAUUCCAGUUUUGAACAAAAUAGAACAAUUCUGAAUACACCUGUUUCAUUAUCAGGAUUUAAGAAAAAUUGUAGUAAACAAUUCAUCAUUGUUUUGAUCAUAAAUCUUACAUGCUUUGUUCUUAAAAAAACAACAAUUCUUUUCCAAAACUUUUCCCGUACUAAGUCAUCAAAAGUUUUACCUUAAUAAAAGCCUCUAUUUGCAAUUCUGAUUUUGGAAUUUUCUAACUCAUCAAACUCUCCAAAAGUACUUUCAUCCAAGGUCACGCGAUAAUUACAAUAACUAUCAUGUUUCAUGUGUAUUAUUUUAUGAAAAGCAUUAAUAAAUAAAUUGUAUUUUCGAUUUAUUGGAGUGACAAUUGUUAGGAGAUAUAAUCAUAUAUCCCAAAAGAUAUUAGUUACUUAAUCAAAAAGGUGAGAAGACACUCUUAAUAGUAUAAAAAAAAAGUUGAAAACAAUGUAUAAUCCCCGGUACCUCCAAGUGGGUGGAAAUAGUGAUUUCAUGAAAGCUGGAUUUAUUUCCUUUUUCCUCUGUACCAAACAUGAUAAUAGUCUAGUGUGAUUUUUCAUAAUUGAACCAAUCAAUUUACAAGAUUACAUUUCUUCAAUUUGGUAGAAAUCACUUUCUCAUACCAAAUGGCAUUUUUGCUAAUCCACCUUUUACCCUUUAAAUCAUAUAAUUGAUUCACUACAUCUAACAACAUGCACCCUUCAUAUAAGUUUGUCAGACUAGGCGAAAGGUUACUUUUGACCCAUAACUAAAGGACACCUUUUGGCCUAUGACAACCGGAAAUAAGUUGGGUUGUGGCUUUGAUACCAUGUUAAGGUUCUAUCUCAAAACUAAUUGGCAAUGAGAGGAGUAGCCCAACAUAUAUUUAAAUUAUUCCCUAGACAAUGAAGUAUGCAAUGUGAGACAUACUUUCUAACACAACAAUGGAGUAGCCAAAGGCAUUGUUCCUCCAUAGAGAUGAUUGAGAUUUCAAUGGCCAAGCCAAUAAUAUCUACCACAACAAAUUCAUAAUAUCAUUUAUUGAAUCAACAGAAUAACAGACAUGUUAUCUUUAUGAAUGAAAUUCAGCUCCAUAAUUAGGUCCAAAGCAGGCUUCAAGAGUAGGAUUUCUACAUCUAACAGAAUAAAUGUAUCACUGGUAAAUUUACAAUUUUACUCUGCACAUAAAUUAACGGAUUUACAUAACCAAUGACACUCAUCAAAUCCAAUACAAGCAAUUUCAGAAACAAUCUUUUUGCAUCUCCAGCUAUGCAUGAAGGCAUAAUCUUUUACCAGAAAUGCAUCGUCACGAUCAUAUGCAUCGAAAAUAAAAUGGAUAAAUAAAACUACUUUAAUCUCAACAUAAGCAACAGUCAAUAAACGUUAAUAAAAUAUCCAUACUUUCAAGUUCCAGUUCAACUAAACAUAACAUAUCUUACCAUAGGCAGAAAAAAGCAUGGAGCACCAUGCACUUAAUGCAACUACGACAAAGCUUGCAAGAUUGUCGGCCUAGUUAAAGCCACCUAUUUCCUUUCGCUUCAGUUCUAAAGCAAUGUGUUCAUUUUCAAGCCUCAUCCUUUCGUUUUCCAUUCUAAGUUUCUCCAGCUCCCGAUCCUUCUUCUUACUAAACCUCUCCCACUUGAAUCUCUGCUUCUCUAGUUCCAACAUCUCAACCUGAAUUUGCAGCUUCUGUUCUUCUAACUGAAGUGAGUGAGAUUCAAACCAUUGCUUCUGUAACCAAGCUGCUCUUGUGCCUUCGGGUAGAACUUGACUAGAAUCGGAUUGGACCAUCUGUGCAUGGGGAUAUGCAUGUUUGUUGUGAUCCUGACAGCUUAAAGGAUUAACAAAAGUAGAAGCAUCUUCAUGGCCAUGGCACUGUUUCAAUUUCUUCUUCAUAGACCCCCCGAAUGGCCCAUAUAUUCCUCUACUGUCUCCAUGAGAAGCACAGUUCUCUUCAACCUCAUCAUGACCAUCUACUUCAUCAUCUUGAUCAUCUUCAUCAUGAUCAUCAUGGCGGGACCUUCCGAUAUCAUCAUUAUCAUGAUCAUCUCUAUUUCGGAGAGCUAACUGUAGUGAACGUUGUAAUGCAGGGUCAUGGGGCAAAUGCAAUCGAUUACUAUUAUGAUAAGAACACAUCUCUUCGUAGAACAGGUGUUUUGAGCUUAAUAUUUUGCGAACAUCAUCCUUUUCUUUCUCAGAAAGAUAAUCUAUUAAAUCCAACAACGCAGGAUUUUCAACAACCUGACAAGAAGUUCCCCUCCCGAGCAUAUCAUUAAGCUUUUUAUACCUCUUAUUGAGAUCAUUGAACUUAUCCUCACACUGUUGAGGUGAAACGUGAUAACCCCUUUCAGCCAUGACUUUCGAAAUAGAUUUCCACUUGCCUUUUUUCUGUAGAAUCACAAAUUUUCUUCUUCUGCUGCCGCUGCCAUCGGAAGUCCCAUCCUCACCUAUAUAAGAAACAGCUGUUAUCAGAAGCUUCACCAUCUUAUCACUCCACUUCACACGUUGCCAAGGUGACCCUUUUUUCCCUCUGCCAGAUUCAUGGUGACCAUCAAAACCAUCCUCAGUAAAACUCGGCUCAUCUUCUUCACUUGCUGAGUUUUUACUUCUAUCUGCCUUGCUAAAGUCUGUCAUUGGAAUGGUGUGAUCACAAUUCUGUAAGGUUCCCAUUGUAAGAGGAAAACCUUCAUGAACUGAAGAAUGUACGGAAGACCCUUGACGCGGAAGAGUUUGAUGCUGGUGCAUGGUACGGGAAUGCUGUGCUUGAUGAUGAACCUGAAUUGAUUCUUGUAAACCAAAGCCACCAAAAGAAUUACCACCUUGAAUUAUACCUCCCUGUGACAAAUUUCCUUCCAUUGCUUCUCACAAACAACAACCUAUAUUAAACCAAUAAAACCUAGUACACCUCAAAUCCAAGUUCAACCCCAAUUUUUUAACUACUUUGCACCUAAUCUAUAGAUUAAAAUCAUGCAAAUCCAUGUCUAUUCAAUCAUAUACCCAAACAGCUUCAGAUCUCCAAGACAAAACAGCCCUCAAUCUAACUAGAAUCCUUGUCUCAAAUAUCAUUUCAGAGUAACAAAUAAUCUCAAUCCACAAAUAAAAAGCUCACAAUCCAGCAGAGAUUCAAUUCCAAAAUAAUUUACCCAGAAGCAAAACAAAAAGGGAAUGUUGAAAAAAUAUCCAGAAUAACAAAAUCAAAAUCCUUCAAGGGUUCACCAGUAAGAGGAAGCUAAGUUACUUAUCUGCUGCAAAAAAGGAAUUUGAUAAGACCCAGAAGCCAAAAAAAGCAACUUUGAUGCAAACAAAGGGUGAAUGAAGAUCACUAAGAAGCAUCACAUCAUAUCCUGAGAGAAAGAAUGAUUUGCUGAAAAGAGAGGAGGAAAGUGAGAAAAGGUAAACCUUUCUUCUUGUUCUUCUUGUUGUUGUUGUUCUUCCCUGAAAUAAUAGAAAAGAAGAGCAAGUGGGAAAUUGGAAGGUAGUUUAACAAAGUUGUACAUAACGUUAACGCCACACAAACAAAACAACCUUAGCAGGUUCAAUGUAUGCCAAGAUCCGGUGGGUCCACCAAUCAGAGUACAUGCCACACUCCAAUUCCAAUACUUCUUAAUCUUUAUCAUAUCAAUUUAAUAUCCACACAUUUACAAUAUAAGUGUUUUUUAUACUAUCCGUAAAUCAUUUAGUAUUAAUUUAUUAAGUAUUGUUGACUAUUAAAUAAAAGUAAUACAAAUUAAUUUGAAUAAUAUAUUUAUAGUAUAAAAAACUUUACACGGUUAAUCAUAGAUUUUAAACUCCUAUAAUAUUAUAUAUAAAAAGUUAUACAUAAUCAUUAUUACAUCCGGUUUUCAUUGUAUUUAUUUAGAUUUUUUGUUUUUGUUUUUUUACUAAAUAAGAAUCAACAAUAAUUAGAUAUAAAUCAUAUAAUAAUAUUGUAUAAAAUGGUAUAAAUUCAGUUUAUACAUUUUUCUCUACCAUAAGGAUCAAUUUGAUUUGUGAUCACUAAAAAGAGUAAUAGUAGUUUUAAAAAAUUCAUCUGUAAAAAUUUGUUCUAAAUAAUUUUCAGAAAAAUGGACACAAUGAAAACUUUGACAAAAUGACGUGUGGAUUAUAUGAUGACCCUUUCUUAUACAAGUUAAUAUGUUGGAUGAAUAUAAUUUUCAAUGGUUGUUUUGCAAAAAAAAAUUCGGGAUUGAGGUGAGUGUAGAAAAAAAUCAUGGGACCAAGUUGAGUCUAUUAUACUUUUGGAGAAAAUUUCUAUUAUUAAAUGAAAUUUGUUGCAGAAAACAAUGGAUAUUUAUAAAAUGUACUUCAUAAAUAUUAAAUAAAGCUCACAAACAAUAAAGAAUGUGAUAGAAUAACAAAGGGUUGAAAAGACUAUAUUGCUAAUAUUGUUCAUGUUCUUUUAAUUACUUUUUAGAAAAUUAAUUAUUUUUAUUUAUAUGUUUCUUUAGAAGUGCAAGAUAAUCUUAAUUGUUGUUGUAAAGAUUUACUAGUAACUAUUUGGUUUAGUGGUGUAAAGUCUGACUAGAUCUCAAACUCGAGAGUUUGAUUUUUGUUAGCGACACUUAUUAUGAGAGGUAGAAAGUCACGAACCCCGAAAAUGAUUAAUUCUUUAUUAAAAAAGAUGAGAAAAUAUUUUUGGUAGUAUUAAAAAUAUAUAUAUUCAUACCUAAUUAAUGAAAGAUAUAAAUUUGAAUGAGUGCAAUUAUUAUAGAAAUGGUAAAAUAUUAAAUGUGAAUAUUAAUUACAUUUUUUUAAUUAUUCUGCUUUAACCUUAAAAGAGAAUUGAAUAGAAGGAUGUAAUAUGUGUCAGUAAGUUUGUUGAACACACUUUUUUUUAUAAUCAUCAAUUUUAUGAACAUUUAAUAAUUUAGAUUUACUUACUAAUUUAAAUCAUUAGAUUUUUUUAUAAUUAAUUAUUAAAAUAAAGAGUGAGUUUAAAAAACUUGGAGUAUGUGGUAUAUUAUAUGCACCGAAUAAUUGAAGAUGACGGAAGUCGGCAGAAAAAUAAUGAAUAUUGAUAGUUUGAGGUACAUUGUUGGAACUUGGUGGUCUAAUUAAAUAAAAAAGAUAGAUCAAACUAUGCAAUAACAAUGUCAUGUUCAUGUAUCUUUCGCUUUUAAUUAUAAUUAAAAUAAUAUCUCCUUUCUCCCAUAUAAUUUGAGGGCCCAUUUCUCCAAUAAUAUAGUUUUCUAGUAUAAUCAUUUGUUAUUGGAGUAUUCUGGUUCAGAGUUUAAAAAAAUAGGGUUUCAACUCCUUUUCAGAUGAUGACAAGAGUGGCACAAUUUUUUAAAUACAAAGUCUCAAAUAUGCAACAAUAAAAUAGUAGCCAAUCUUUUUCAGAUACGUGUAUUGUUUACAAGAGCCAUGUUUAAGUAUAUUUAUAAAAUAUUAAGUGCUAACAUGUAUUACCAUUUAUUAAAUAAUAUUUCAUUUCCUCGACAUUUAAAGAAUCUAAACAAUUAAACAUAAUGGGAUUAAAAUAAACUCAAUCAACAUUGAAAAUUAUAUUAAAGACAAAUGAAAAAAUAUGAGCGGAAAUAUGAUUUAAAAAUAAAAAGAUACUUAAAAAAUAAUAUGAAUGUGUAUUGAUUUUUUAAAAUAUCAAUCAAUUUGAAAAAAAUGAAAAAGUUAAAAUAUCGAAAUAUAUAUAAUGAAUAUAGUAACUAAAUGUCUAACUUACACAUAUCAUGUACCCAAAAAAAUUAAAAAUAUCAAUAAGAGUUUUCUUAAUUUUUUUAAAGAUACCAUAACAUUGUAAAUUUAUCUUCCUUGAUCUCUUUAGAAAAAUUCACAUAUUUUUUAUUUCUCAUUAAUGAAAAAAAUAACAAAUGUGAUAAAUAUUGUAUAAUAAUUAUGUCAUAUAUUUUAAAACAAAAAAAAUCAUAAAACCUUUUUUAUUUAUAAAAUGAGGUGAAUUUCCUCUAAAAUAUAGUAAAAUUUUGCAAAACAUUUUGUUGUUGUUGAAAAUAUCACCCAAGUUCCUUCCUAACCUCUAUUACACAAGUAGUUAAAAGUUAAAAGGACCAAGAUGUGAGAUGUUGAUAACAAAGGAUAAUUACUUAAUUGAAUUUUAGAAUUUAGCAAGCUUCAAGUUGAUAGUAAAUUAAGCUUUUUAUAGAUUGUCCUUUUUCAUUUCUUUUAAUAUUCUUUCCUCUAUGGGGCUCUUAGAUUAAGAACACCACAUUUCCCACUAUGCUUUGUUUCCAAUUUUCCAACCAUUACUUUUCUUUCAUAGAAAGUUGGUAUUUUCCUCUCCUACAAUUAAUUGCUGUAAUUUGUUUUUCUAGCUAGCUAGUUAUAGAAGAUGAUUCCUAUUGAUAUAAACUUGCAUUAUUACAAAAAGAAUAUAAUUAUGAGAUAUUAGUUAUGGAAAAUAUCUAACCCAAAAUUGUAUUAUCUUAAAGAGGAUUACAUGUUUCAAAGUCUAUGCCAAUUUCCUGUCCCCACCUUUAAAAAUUGAUACAUAAGAAAAUUAAAAAAAAUUAAAAACAAAAUGAUACAUCUUUAUAUUACUAAUUUAAAGUUGAUUAGACCGAGAUAGGGUUUUAGGGACAAAGUGUGAGAUAGAAGAUCUCCUCCCAUUACCUAAUAUUGUUAGCUAAGUCAUUGCUGAAAAAUUAACAAAAAAAACUUAUUGAGAUUAAAUUUGUCCACUCACUUCAUAAAGCUAUCAAUUCUUUAAGUACUUUUUUUUAAUCUUUCGGUAAAUUAUUGAGCUGGAAGUCAUAGGUUUUUAUCAUUUGUCAAUGGCUUUAACUACAUUAAGAAAAAGAAAAAGUAUCUGAUCUUAAGUUGGAUUUGAUCAAGAACCAUAAACAGAUCAAGGGAUUCAUAUUUAUUUUAGCUUUUGCUUUAGGGCGUUAAUAAAUGAUAUUUUCGGUGGAAAAUUAAACUUGUUUGUUAUUAAUUGGUUCCAUAUUACCGUUGAUUAAUCUUAAUGAUGUUCAUUUAUGAGCGUAGUGAAUUUGAAAUUUAAACAAUGAUUAAAGUAAAAUUUACAAACAUAAAGUUUGAAGAAAAAAUAAACAAACAUUUUGCAAAUAUAAUUAAAGCCAGCAUCAUGGAGUUGCAAAACGCCAUUUAUUCCAAGAGAGAAUAUAUUUAUUUUAUUAAUAUAUGUAAUUGAUUAUCUUACAAGUUACAACUCCUGGAAACACUGCAUGUUGUUUUAAUAGAAAAUAAGCAUCGCAUAAAAUGAAAAGCGUGUAACAUUAUUGCAACUAAAUUCUAUUAAUAGAAAAUAAAUUAACAUUUCUUAUGAACACAAAACGCUGAAACUUUGGUUCCAUUUCUUCUUAAUCUCUUUUUGUUUUGUGUAAUUGUGAAGCUUCUCUUCUUUCCAUCGCUUUCUUUUAUUCGUACAUCCUCCAUCUUCAUAUCAUAUCAUAUCCUAAACAACUUCAAAUGGCGAAAAUGAUGUUAUAUUGCAUGAAACAUUAAUGCAACAAUAAAAUGAUAUUUAUUAGUUCAAUAAACCUUACUUAGAAUCAAGAUUUUAAUGUAAAGUAGUGUUGAUAAAUUUGAAUUAACUAUGUAUUAUAUAUAAUAUUAUAGAUGGUAUGAAGAAGGUUACCAUAGAGAAUAAUAUUAGGUUAUCUAAUGGUGGUAAGGCGGAGGAGGUGAAGCAUAGUUGUAGGAGUGGACAGGAGGUGGAGGAGAUGGGUACUUGUAACUAGGCUUUUUGUGUGGUGGUGGUGGUGGUGGUGGUGGAGAAGCAUACUUGUAAGGCUUCUUAGGUGGUGGAGGAGAGUGGUAAACUGGGUGUGGGUGUACAUGCACCGGUGGAGGUGGUGGAGAUGGGUACUUAUAUGGUGGAGCCUUAUGAUGAGGUUGUGGUGGAGGAGAUUUGUAAUGGUAAGGAGUCUUUGGUGGGUAAACAUGCAGUGGUGGAGGGGGUGAUAGGUACUUGUAUGGUUUCUUAGGUGGUGGUGGUGGAGAAUGGUAAUGGUAUGGUGGAGCCUUCUUGGGAGGUGGUGGAGAAGGGUAGUGAUAAGGAGGAGGUGGUGAGUGUAAUGGUGGUGGUGGUGGUGAUGAAUAGAUGUAA
rnacentral:lncRNA from 1 species